rnacentral:lncRNA from 1 species
GAAAUUCGAGCCAGUAUUCCUUCGGAGAUAGGCAAUUUGCAGUUUUUGUGUGGCCUUGAUCUGUCCCAUAACUUCUUGACAGGAAAAAUACCACUUAGCAUCGGAAAGUUAACAAUUUUGGAAGUGUUGAAUUUAUCCCAAAACCGCCUUUCUGGCUUCAUACCCCAAAGUUUCAACAAUAUGUGGGAAUUGGUAUCUGUGAAUAUAUCCCACAACGACCUGGAGGGUCCAAUCCCGAACAUCGAAGCCUUCCGUGAUGCUCCAUUCAGCGCAGUCGCAAGCAAUAAAGCUGGGUUGUGUGGGGUUGCGGCUGGUUUGAAGAAAUGCUCUGAGAGGACUUAUAAUGAGAAAGGAAACAAGUUUAUGAUUCCAGUCACUCUUUUACCAGUCAGCUUCAUCCUGCUCACAUCUUUAUUCAUCGGAGUGAUUCUUCUAGCUUGCCAAAGGGCCAAAAGAGCAGAACAAGACUCAUUGGAAGCACAAGUGCAAGGAGAUGCUUUUGCGAUAUGGGGCUACGACGGAAAAAUGGUGUAUGAGAACAUUAUCAAAGCCACGGAAGGAUUCGAUUCCAAGUACUGUGUGGGGGAGGGAGGAUACGGAGUCGUAUACAAGGCCAAUCUAUGUGAUGAUCAAGCUUUUGCCGUGAAGAAAAUUCAUGUGCCGCAUGACGAGAUUUCCGGGUUAAUGUCACUAGAGCGGGAGGCCACUGCAUUGGCAAAUAUACGGCACCGUAACAUUGUCGAGCUCUAUGGGUACUGCUUUCAUUCGAGACACUCGUUCUUGGUGUACGAAUUCAUGGAAAGAGGAAGCUUGAGAAGGGCCUUGAGUGAUGACGAGAUGGCGAUGGAGUUUGUUUGGGCUAGGAGGGCAAGCGCGAUCAAAGGCGUGGCGGAUGCAUUAUGUUACAUGCACCACGAUUGCUCUCCUCCAUGGAUUCAUAGAGACAUCACUAGCAACAACGUGCUUCUGGAUGGUGAUUAUGAAGCUCAUGUUUCUGAUUUUGGCACAGCAAGGCUUCUCAAGCCAGAUUCAUCUAAUUGGACUUCAGUGGUCGGUACCCUUGGAUAUAUAGCCCCAGGUAUGUAUGUGCUUGCACGGUUGUUAUUAUAUAUCCUUGUCUGUAACUUUGGCUCACUUCUUUUUCAUAAAUUAGACUGUACUGUUAAAGAUUACAGGAUGACAACUUAAUACUACCCUUAUAUCUUGCAGAGUUAGCAUAUUCAGCAGAAGUUACUGAAAAAUGUGAUGUUUAUAGUUUCGGAGUAGUAGCAAUGGAAGUAAUUAUGGGAAUGCAUGUGGGGAAUCUCAUCUCGAGCUCAUGUCAAUCAUCGACACUGUCAGUACAAAUUGACUCGGGAACAUUACUGCAAGAUGUGCUAGACCGACGUCUCUCGCUUCCUCUGGACAAAGACGCAGAGAAUGUAGUCUCGAUCGCUAAACUAGCACUUGCAUGCUUGCGAGUCGAUCCUCAUCGUCGACCCACCAUGCAAAGAGUCUGUCAAGGACUUUCAAUUCAAGUGUCUUUAGUGAAGCCAUUCGCGAAUGUCAGAUUGAGGGAGCUGGAGGGUGUCCUUCGUUGAGGUAGCUGAAUAUUUUGAGGAAGUGAUUGACCGGGAAAGAGCCGAAUCGUUUCCUGUCUGUAAAUGUUUCGAAUUAAAUGCAGUGUUUCUUUCAUUUCAAGUGCUAUAAAAUAAGGAAGUGCUAAUGCAUUGAUUAUUUUCAGACAACUUCUCAUCCACCCAACUCUACUCCUCAUCGCCUUUCUCGCUAGAAAAACAUUGGAAAAGCACUGCAAAAGUCCAAUAACUGUAAUGGGAAGAUUCAAGAGAUAAUUCAAAAGUUGAUUGAGCUUAUUGAAAAUCUAGUUGAACUCACGUUCAUCAGAAACUUGAAUCAUCAUUGAUGAAUAAACUAGGUAUUACCUCAUCCAAUAUGAAAUCUUUUUUUUUCUUUGAAACUACUCAAAUGUUAAGAAGAUUAAUUUAUGAUAAAAAAUCAUAUACUUAUUGUAAUUGUACAAAUUCGGUUCUAAACUUUUUGUUAGGCCAAUUUAAUCUUAAACUUUUUGUUAGGUCAAUUCUGAUGUGGAUACUAGGUGUGGAUAAUUUAUAAUAAUAUUUUAAUAUUUACGAAUUUUUUGAUUAGUUUUUUGACAUUUUCUUUUCUUUUAUUUUCAUAUUUCCUUUUCUUUUUCCUCUUCUUCCCCUUUUCCCCACUGGAACGCCCGAAAUGAAAAGGCAAACGAAUCCCCUGUUCCUGUGAUGAACCCCAAACUUUCCCAUCACGAACUGCGGAUAAUGAUGAUUAUUUUCAGUGAGAGACGAUGGUCUCGAAGUAGUGGAUCCCGUCGAGCUCCAGAGCGAAACGCGGGAAGCUCUCCUUCCCCUGCUUCCACUUCUUCUGCUCUGCAGCGUUGCCGCUCUUGCUUUCCUUCCUCGGAACGUCGGGUCCCCUUUUGCCGCGCUGAAGCGGCGAGGGAUCGCCGCCGGCGACGGUGCUUGCUGCCGGUGGGAGUUGGGCCUUCACCUUCAAGCGGAAGAGCGCGGCGCAGAGGAAAUCGAAGGAACUGAAGAUGAAAUGUUAUGGCCGCGCUUGCUUCUCACUUUCGUUGAUGAUCUGCUGUUUAUUGAAUCUCUCUAUAUAACACCGUCGAUUCCUUCCCACUUCUACACACUCGCCAGCCACGGGCGACAGCCGCGACUCUUUUCGGCGGCGGGCGAGUGGUUCGCGGCCUUCGCCCAGUGGCCCGUGAGCCUAGUCGCAGCCCUACCGGCCACUGUAGAGGGAGAAGGAAAAAGGGGAAGAAGAGGAAAAAUAAAAAGAAAAAGCAAAAAGCAAAAAGCAAAAAGCAAAAAGCAAAAAAAUUAAUAAAAAUUUUGAAAAGUUAAAAUAUGAAAAAAAUUAUUAACGUCAAUUGAGGGACAGGUGUUCGCAUCACCACUAACUGGCUAAAUUUGAUGGGACAAAAUGAAUUAACACAAAAUUUAAGAAAUUUUUUUAUAUGUAAUUCUCCCAAUUUACAACNNNNNNNNNNNNNNNNNNNNNNNNNNNNNNNNNNNNNNNNNNNNNNNNNNNNNNNNNNNNNNNNNNNNNNNNNNNNNNNNNNNNNNNNNNNNNNNNNNNNAGAAUGGAAUCUGCCAGUAGCUAUGAAUGAAAGCUCCAUAACGUUAUCAAUCCAUAUUGUGAUUAUUUUGCAGUCAUACCAUGGUGCCUACAAUUAAUUUAAAAUUUAAUUUAAUUAAUUUUUAUAUUAUUAUUUACACGUCAGACGCGAAACUGCGUCAUUUUUGCAUUUUCUCCGCCAUGUCAGCAUGCAAAACAAGGCCGUUUUGGACCAAACUCGCCGGAAAGUUGCCACGUCAGCCAUUUGGUCGAAUUUUCACCGGAGUGGUACUUAAGUGUCCCAUUUAACUUCGAAACUAGCAAGUGUACCAUUUUGAAGUUAUGGCACUUAAGUGUCCCCCGGUGCCAAGUUAUGGCACUUGGGCUGUACUUCUGCCGUGUUUCUCACUAUGCAAAUGAGGUUCAAUCUUUGAUCCAAUAUGCAAAGUCACUCUCGAUUAUUACUUAGAAGAAAUAAUUACAAAAGUUUCUAAACUUUGAUCAAUAUGCAAUGUCACUACCAUUUUUUUUUAUGACCCCAGAACCCCCGUACAGCCGGUAGCCGACGAGGUAAACUCGGGAGGAUGCUAGCGGAUAACUCACUACCCCGACAUCCCAUGUAAGACACCAAAUGCCUCCAUUGGGUUUCGAACCCCUCACCUUUGGGGAAGGAUCAAUGGAGCUCUUAUCCAGCAGAGCCACCACGGCCGGUGGUGUCACUACCGAAUUUUUUAUCACAAAAAUUUUAGUAAAUAUUCAAUCUAAUCCCUAAACUACAUAAAAAUAUCAAAUAAUAUUUUCUAUUGAUUCAAAUUCAGGGUCAACAUUAAGCAUUUUCAUAUAGGUCAGAGAUUAAAUUGAACAAUUACUAAAAGAUUAGAAACCACGUUGAACAAAUUUAAAAUUUGAGGGCAACAUUACACAAUUAAAGUUUAGGGAUAAUUUGUCAUUUUCCCUACUUAAAUUUAAAAGUGCAACUACUAGUCACUCGUAAUGGUAUGGAUUCUAGUGAACCCGCUUUGCUAUUGAAUUAGCUUGGUGAAUUUAAAAUUGCCAAAUGCAUGCGAAGUGGAUUGGGUUAAGAUCAACAUGACUGCAAUUAUAAUAUUAGGAAUUGGUGCUAACACAUGCGGGAGAUGAUUUAUAAAAUUCUAUUGGCAGAAUUAGUGGUGAAUCUAUCUCUUGCUAGGCGGGCAAUAUUUGUUCUCACCGUCUUCCAAGGAUGGGAUUGCAUUGAAUUUGCAUUGUUUGGUAAUUUGCAACUCUCAAGACAACUCUAGUUCUCCAUGGCAACUUUAAUUGAGAGAUACUGUUGGAGAAAACUUCCUUAUUUGUUUUGAAACUGACAAAACGUCUCCAUCAGUCUAGUCUGAAGACUUGCAGACUCUUUCAACAAAGUCUGAAAACCACCAGACCUCUAGACUCAAGAUUUAAUAUCUGCCCUCAUUGACAGUUUCUAGACCGUUGAAGAAGAUUUAUCCAUAAUCGAGUAUUUCUUUAAGGAUUUGAUUCGAGUGGUUGAAGAAGAUCUCAUAGCUGGAGAUAGCAUCUCAAGAUCUAUUAUUCGUUUUGAAUUUAACUCGAGUAAUUUGGAUCCGUUGAUUGGCGAAGUAUACUUGGAAGGUUCUACUUAUAGAAACCUAGAUCCUGAUUGUAUGGGCGAGCAGGAUUGAUGGGCUAUCAUCACAUUCCUUAAGUAACUCGAGAUCUCCCUAAUUGAUUCUGUCCAACGGGUAGAUUAGAAGAACUCCUUUGGAAAGUGACAAUGAUUAUGAAGGCAUGGAGGAGUAUAUAAGGAAGAUGCUCUGGUUAUUUGAGUGUGUGCGUGAUAGAUAAAUUCCAAAGUCUGAAGCUCCUUGUUCUUUGUUGAUUCAAUUGUUGAGUGUAAACUUAUACUCAAAAGAGAGUUUAUACAUUUGUGAAGCCUUAAGGAAGUAUAGCAGAGUCUCUAUACUGUAGAAUCAAGGAAGUGGUACUGUAACAACUCUUUUGAUUUAUAGUGAAAUCCAGCCGAUGGGCUGUCAGUGCGGGAGAGUAGACGUAGGCUUAGAUUAAGCCGAACCACUAUAAACCUUGUGUUCUUAUUCUCUUCCCUAAACUCUUUUACUUUGUUCCUUGCGUUCUUAUUCUCUUCCCUAAACUCUUUUACUUUGUUUGUAACUCUAUUUAAUUAUUAGAGUCUAAUUUCCUUUUCAAAGUCUACCGCUAAAUAGACUCGGGUUAAAAGUAAAAUUUUAUACUUUACAAAAAUUUGUUUUCGCACCUAUUCACCUCCCUCUAGGUGCUCGUACUAGCAUUUACACAUACAAUCAAAACUUAUUUGCAGCCCUACCCAUUUGAAGAAAACUGUUUCGUAUAUGCAUUUUUUUGUUCGUGAAAUCUAAACUAAGGGUUAUUUGUCACUAAAUUUCAACUAAAUAAAGCUUGAACCCCCUUAGGUUCCUCAAAGCAAGUGAAAUAUAUCAUCCUAACCAAUGAGAUUAGAUAUCAAGAAUUUGACAUCUAAACUUGUACGCCUGAUAAUGCUAAUGCUAUUGAGGAAUUGACACUAUCUGUCCAUUGCCGGAAAAAUCUUUGCCUUAUUAAACUAAGUAGUCUCACCUUUUGUAAUAUCUUCAAUUUAGGGGAUUAAUAUCUCAGCAGUUACUUCUAUAGGGACAGAAAUAGACCUUUGAAUGGCUGACGUUAUCAUCAUCCCUACAAAAAGAACGUCUUAUCUAUAGUUGUUAAGAUGCUCGUGUGAGGGUGGUAGAUGAAAAAGUCCCACGUCAAACAAACAAAAAAAAAAUAUAGUUUAGUUGACCCAUAAUUCAUUGGUUCAUGGUUUUGAGUGAAAGUGAAUCUGAUAAGAUAUGUGAUAAGCUCAGAUUUGACUGUGAUCUUGUGAAUUUAUAGUCAUAGUGUGGUGAGUGAAUGCAAGGAGACUAAUUCAAGGGGAAGACAUUGAUAUCUCAUCAAAGACUCUUCUAUUGAGUGGAUCAUAAUGUUCUACCCAUUAAAAACGGAUUACGAAAAUUCAACUUGUGUCUAGACAAUAAACCUAUCAUUUUCAUUAGACAAUAACCUUUUACGUGCCGGAAGAAGACUACGAAGGAAGAGUUGAUAUCUCAUCAAAAGACUCUUCUGUUGAGUCCAUCAUAAUGUUCUAUCCACUAAAAUGGGUGAUGAAAAGUUCUGUCCUGAUAUCAAAUCUGUGAUUUUCAUCAGACAAUAAUCUCCAGAAAUUCAUGACGCCUAAGCUAACGAAUGCUUUUGCCUUGUUAGAGGCUCUAGGUCAAUAUCAUGCACUAGAUUGGAGGACCCCUCAGGUUUCGAACUUGUGACAUCCCCAAUUUUCUUCCUCUCUUUUUUCUCUCUCUCCUUUUCCCCCUCACAUCUCUCCCUCCUUGUCACGAAAUUUCCUCUCCCUCUCUUUUCUUCUCUCUUUCUCUCUCUCUCUCUCUCCCACUUUUUCCUCCCCCUCACUCACGCCAACACCUUCUAUCACAAUUUCCCCCCAACUUCCUCUCCACUUUUUUAUUGUUUCUCUCUACCCUCCCCUACCUCCUCGCGCCAAACCCCCCUUAGGUUGCCGUGGGUUUGAGAAGUCGCCGUCACUGUCGUCGAGCCUCCAUUCGAGCCGCGAGCGUCGCAUUCUCGACGUUGUCACGCCACCGUUGCCGCAAGCUCACCAUCGCUGGAAACCCAUGAGUUAACUUCCUAAUCGUGGAUUAGGGUGUUAAUUAUGUAUAAGGGUGGUUAGUUUAAUAUUAAUUACGGUUAGUAUUUUUUUUAAUUUUAGUUUAGCCUUAAUUGUAAUUAAUAAUGGUUUAGAUUAAAUUUAAGUGCGAUUAUUUUAAAUAAUUAUGAUUAGAUUAAUUAAUCGUGGUUAGAUUAAUUAAUUGAGUUUAGUUUAAUUAAUCGUGAUUUAUUUAAUUAAUCGUAAUUUAUUUAUUUUAAUCAUUAUUUAUUAAUCGUAAUUAUUUUAGUUAAUUUCGAUUAAUUUUUAAUUAAUUAUAGUUAUGCUAAUCAAUUGAGUUUAGUUUAAUUAAUCAUAAUUAGUCUAAUUAAUUGCGAUUAGUGUAAUUAAUGACGGAUUCUCCAUGAUGUUUGAUUGCCCAUAUCAUGUAUUUUAAAUGCUAUUUUUCAAAGAUGGCUUAUUGGUAAGAAAAUAGCAAACUUGCGGUGUCGUGUUUGGACGCCAUAUUUUACGUUAUAAAAGGGGCAAUGAUGUUUUAAAAUUUGAUGGGUUGAUUUUAAAUACGUGACCACAUGCGAUUAUUUUACUGAAAUUUUAAAUGUAAAGAUUUUUCGAAAUUUGUUAUUUAAGCAUGAGCUCUUUUACACUAGGCUAAUUGAUGGAAGAUAAAAAUUGGCUUGAUUGAUGGUGUGCUUGAGUGGUCAUUUAAUCGAACUCGUCACCCAACAGGAGUUUAGGGAUUUUUAUUGGAUGCCUAGUAGGGGUCCGGAUAUCGAGUCGUGGUUGAGGCCGGACCGAUGCUCCUUUAUGAAAUUCCAUCUAAUUGGGGGUUCUAGAUUAUGCCAUGCCCAAUGGGGUGGGACGAUGCCCGAUCAUGCUGAAAAAUCGCCAACUCUUGUGUUGGCUAUGGCCCUAGGGGUCGUAAUAAUUGGAACACAUGUGUUGACAAUGCGCAUUGAAUUUUUAGAAUGUGUUCUGAUUAUUAUUCAUGCAUGUUGCACUAUUAUUGCCAUGUGAGAUGUGCUAAUAUGUAGGGAUGUGCCAAUGCAAGGUAAGUUUGUAUGUGGUGUGUGUUUAAAUAGCCUCCGGGACGAAUUUGUGUCCUAAUCAAGGUUUAGGCUAUUAACUCGCUGAGAUUUAUCUCACCCCGUUGUUGUUAACUAUUUUCAGGGCCAUAGCGUAAAGAACUGCCGGGUGUGGUUGUGGUGGGCACGAGAGGCGACACCUUUUUGGCCAGCUUUGCCGUUAGUGAAGUUUAGGAUUAACGCUAAUCCCUGCAAGUUUUUGAGAGGGUCGAUAGGAAGUGGCUGUAGAAAGGCUUGUAAUUAUUAAAUUUUCUAAGGAUAACAAUGGAUAAAUAAAUAUGUUAUUUUCGACAAUAUUUAUUUUGUUUUUCUAUCAUUGUUGUUUGUUUAUUGACUUGGUGUUUAUUGAAACUGCUUCUGCAUGCGUUUAAUCGAAAGAUAAAAAGAAUGGGUCGGAGACGCUUUCUAGGACGUCACAUUUUAUUCGACCGCCAAGGGAUGUUCGCACACUCGGGGUUCAAGGUGUGACAUCCAUGUUUAAGUGGUAUCAGAGCCUGGUUAAGGUUUGAAGUAAAAAGGUGUGAUGGGUUUGGGGAUAGUUAGCUAGGCAAAACAUUUUCUUUAUGCUUGUGCUUGUGAUUGAUUGAUUGUUUUGUGUGGGUUGCUUAGAUUUCUAAUUUCCUAUUGGAAUUGAAAAGCAGGUUUCCGUAAAAACCUUGCGAGAUGAGCAAUCCUGAGCAGAGAGCCCCUUGGAGAAAGGCCAUAACGGCUUUGACAGGUGCCGGGGGAAGGGCACUAACUCGAGCUAGUGUUAGAGAAAGGGCAUGGAAACGGGCUGGUGCUAAAGAGAGAGCACCGGUGCAGGCAGGUGCUAGAGGGCGGGCACCAGUUGAUCCUAGGGUUGACGGGAUCCUGCAAACCAUAAAGACCUUGGGGAACGUGGUUAGGCAGCAAGCUCAAAAUCAAGCUGUCACUGCAGCCAUCGCCACCAAUGUUGCUACUACCGUUGCUGCACUUGCUGAAGUCCCACCUGGAAAUGGGAAUGGUGAGCGGCCUAUGCACAAGCUGGUGGAACAUUUUCUAAGACUAGAGCCGCUAAAGUUUACCGAAGCAAGUGACCCUGAGGCUGCAACCCUUUGGGUUCGAGAGUUGGCGAAGGCUUUUGCACUACUGAGGUGCUCAGAGGAGGACAAUGUGACCCUAGCCGUAUAUUAGUUGCAAGGUAAUGCGAGCAUGUGGUGGGAGGCUACUAAAGGAAGAGUAUUUCUUGAGGGUAUGGUCCCCAAGUGGGAUGCAUUCGUUGAGGUUUUCUAUAGGAAGUAUUUUUCAAACUACGCUCGAGAACAGAAGAUGGCUGAGUUCUAGCGCUUCCACUAAAACCAUAUAACUGUAGAUCAGUAUGAGGUGAGGUUCGCCAAGCUGUCGAAGUACGCACCAAGAUUGAUCGAGGAUCUAGUGGACAGAGCAAAAAGGUUCAAAGAUGGAUUGAAGCUGGAGAUUAAGGACCCGCUAGUGCCGCUGAAUCUCAAGGAGUAUGAUGAAUUGUAUGAGAGGGCCCAGUUGAUUGAGAGGAACCUGAAUGAAUGGGUAGCCACAUCUGGGUCGCGAUUUGUGCCAAAUAGAGAUAACAAUUAGUUUAGGAAGAUGUCGAUAACUAGAGGAAAGUAUCCCAUCCCUGCUAGUAGAAAAGGCAAUAUUAGAAAAGCGGCACCGAACACAAAUGGCGUGUGCCAAUUUUGUGGAAGGAAGCAUGGAUCAGCUCCGUGUUCUGCUAGAAUAGGAGCUUGCUAUGGAUAUGGCCAACAUGGCCACUAUGUGAAGAAUUGUCUGCGCAGGCCCAUGGGAGCACAGGUGCCGUUGUCGCAAGGGCAGUUAGCAGGGAGUGCGUCACAGAACGCACAUCAAGGUAUUUUGAGUAGGCCUUUGGUGCAAAGAAUGGUGUAUGUUGUCACCAGAAGGGAGGCGAAAAACUUGCAGAAUAUGGUGACAGAUACGAUCUUGUUGAACGACCAUGCUGCUUAUACUUUAUUUGAUCCUGGAGCCAUGCAUUCAUUUAGUGAUGAGCAGUUUGUUAAGUCAGUAGAGUUAAGUCCAAAACCGUUGGAAGUAGUCAUUACUAUAUCCAUCUUGUUAAAGGAUAAAGUGUUGUCUGCGAUAUGGUGUCCUAGUUGCAAGUUAGUGCUUGGUGAUUGAGAGGAAAGAAUAGAUUUGAUUGUGCUAGCGAUGUUUGAUUUUGAUGUGAUCAUAGGUAUGGAUUGGUUCACCAAGCAAUGAGCUACCAUGGACUAUUAUUGUAAAACAAUUCAAUUUAACCCGUUAGUGGGUGGUAGUUUGAGUUUGUUGGAAAUCGAGGAGGACCCUCGAUUACUUUAAUUUCAUCACUUAAGGCAACCCGGUUAUUGGAUGUGGGUUGCCAAGGUUAUUUGGCAACCAUGGCUGAUACAUCGGUUGAAGAGCCAAUGAUGGAGGACAUCACUGUAGUGCGGGAAUUUUUUGACGUUUUUUCCUGAGGAGUUGCUUGAUUUGCCCCCAGAAAGGGAGAUAAAAUUCGUGAAUGAAAGUUGGCCCUUGAGACGGAACCAAUUUCUAAAGCUCCUUACCGUAUGGCGCUAUUAGAGUUAAAGGAGCUAAAAGUGCAAAUGCAGGAGUUGUUUGACAAAUGAUUUAUUUGUCCUAGUGCAUUGCGUUGGGGAGCAUCGGUUUUGUUUGUAAGGAAGAAAGAUGGUCCGUUGCGUCUUUGCAUCAACUAUCAGCAACUUAAUCAAGUGACGAUCAAGAACAAGUAUUCGUUGCCAAGGAUCGAUGACUUAUUUGAUCGGCUACAGGGAGCUUUGAUAUUUUCCAAGAUUGACCUAAGAACAGGUUACCAUCAACUAAGGAUUAAGAAGGAGGAUAUACUGGAGAUGGCUUUUUGUACGAGUUACGGUCAUUAUGAAUUCACCAUAAUGCCGUUUGGUCUUACUAAUGCCCCAGCUGCUUUCAUGGAUUUGAUGAAUCAAGUGUUCAAGGAGUACCUAGACUAGUUCGUGAUCGUAUUCAUCAACGAUAUUUUGGUGUAUCUAAAGAGUCUCGAGAAGCAUGAACAACACUUAAGGAUGAUGCUUCAGACUUUGCGGGAACACGAGUUGUACGCAAAGUUCAAUAAGUGUGAGUUUUGGCUAACUUGUGUAACUUUCUUGGGUCACGUGAUUUCUGGCGAAGGGAUUUCUGUGGACCUGACCAAGAUUAAAGCUGUGAUGAACUGGCCGAGACCAACAACAGUGAUGAAGAUCCGAAGUUUCUUGGAAUUAGCAAGCUAUUAUAGACAGUUCGUGGAAAGCUUUUAUGCAAUAGCCAUGCCAUUGACACGAUUACUGAAUAAGAAAGAGAAGUUUGAAUGGACGAAUAAGUGUGAGCGUGGUUUCUAAGAGCUUAUGCAUAAGCUGACUACCGCACCCGUAUUGACAAUUCCGUCUGGUUCUGGAGAAUACGAGAUUUACAGCGAUACGUUACACAAAGGACUGGGCUGCGUGUUAAUGUAACAUGGGAGAGUUGUUGCAUACACGUCUCGUCAGUUGAGGCCUCAUGAGUUGAAUUAUCUGAUACAUGAUUUGGAAUAAGCAGCGAUCAUAUUUGCCCUGAAGAUUUAGAGGUAUUACUUGUGUGGAAAAGGAUUCCAAAUUUUUAUGGACUAUCAAAACUUGAAGUAUUUGUUCUCUCAGAAGGAGCUAAACAUGAGGCAGCGUCAUUAGAUGGAGCUUCUUAAGGACUAUGAUUGCGACAUCUUGUAUCAUCCUGGAAAAGCCAACAAGGUCGCAGAUAUGCUAAGUCGAAAGUCAACGAUUGCACAUAUGAUGGUUCAGGAGUGGAUUCUGCUUGAAGGAGUUCGAGAUUUGAAUUUCAAAUUUGAGGUAUGCCACAUUUCAAAUCUCAUGGCUACCCUCAUAAUUGAACCGAAAAUGCAGGUGAAAAUUAAGAUGUUGCAGUCAAUAGACCCUGAAAUCUAGAAAGCUUUGCAUGAGGAUACAGAAAAGAGGAAAGCUAAUUUCCAAGUUACUGAGGAUGGAUUAUUGAAGUUUUGUGGAUGAUUGUGCGUGCCCAACGAUGUGGAGCUUAAGGAGGACAUUUUGUCAGAAGCCCAUCAUAGCAGUUAUAGCAUUCAUCUGGGCAUCACAAAGAUGUAUCGAAAUUUACACCAGUACUAUUGGUGGAAUAGUAUGAAGGUAGAUAUCGCUAGGUAUGUCGUCAAGUGUUUGACGUGCCAACAAGUGAAGGCCUAGCAUAAAAAUCCUGGCCUAGCAUAAAAAUCCUGGAGGACUUUUGCAACCCCUGGAGAUGCCUGAGUGGAAAUGGAAACAUAUCACAAUGGAUUUUGUGAUGGGAUUACCAAGGAGUCAACGAGGUAAUGAUUCCAUCUGGGUUGUGGUUAAUAGGUUGACGAAGUCUACGCACUUCAUCGCCUAUGAAAGGACUUUGCAUUAGACAGAUAUGUUGAAUUGUAUGUGCGAUAGAUAGUUCGUCUUCAUGGAGUGCUAGUGACGAUCAUGUCAGAUCAAGACCCAAGUUUACGGCAGCUUUUUGGAAAAGUUUACAAACUGCCUUGGGAAUGAAAUUGCAGUACAACACAACCUAUCAUCCACAGAUGUAUGGCUAGUCUGAGAGAACCAUUCAAAUGCUCAAGGAUAUGUUGCAAGCUUGUGUGUUGGAUUUUAAAGGAAGUUGGGAGGAACAGCUUCAUCUGGUUGAGUUCGCUUACAAUACUAGCUAUCAGCAAAGCAUCAAGAUGGCAACUUUUGAAGUAUUGUAUGGUAGGGCCUACAGAACUCAUGUUUGUUGAGAUGAAGUUGGAGAGCGUAAGAUUACGGGCCCUAAGUUGGUUCAGUAGUCAGUGAAUGCCGUCAAAGUCAUUCGAGAAAGGCUUAAGACCGCCUAGAGCCGUCAGAAAAGCUAUGCAGAUAAACGGCGUAGGCCUUUGGAGUUCCAAGUAGGUGAACACGUAUUCCUCAAACUGUCACCUAUGAGGGAUACUUCGCAUUUUGGCAAGAAAGGGAAGUUGAGUUCGAGGUACGUUGGUUCCUUCGAGAUUUUGGAGCGGAUUGGGACUUUGGCAUAUUGUCUUGCGUUGCCAUCAAGACUUGCUUAGGUGCAUGACGUUUUCCACGUGUCAAUAUUGAGGAGGUACAAACCUGAUCCAACCCACGUACUGAAUUUCGAGGAAAUAGAUGUGGACAAGAGGAUGUCGUAUGUGAAGAGACCGGUUCGGAUAGUGGACCGAAAGGAGCAAGUGCUUUGUAGCAAGAAGAUUCCCUUAGUCAAAGUGGUCUAACAACACCAUGGAAUGGAGGAAGCCAUAUGGGAAAACGAAGAGUUGAUGAGACAUCAACUGUCACACCCCAAAAACUACAAAGAAUGGGGAUGACACGGCCGUCCUUCUUUAUAAAGGACGCAGCCUCAAACACAACCAACAAACUGAUACUAACUUAUAUAUAUAUAUAUAUAUAUAUAUAUAUAUAUAUAUAUAUAUCAUAUAAACCUCCAAAUUGGUUGCAACAUCAGAGUUUCUAUAAUCCAUCAAAAAGAGAAAAGAUAUACUUCAAAACUUAGAUGAUUCCACUAGUAAGGAUCAUUUGCACCACUUCCUUAAACCAUACCAAAAAUAAAAUAGAACUCCCCAAAAGUUUCCCACGAUGGCACACUCGCUCUAUUCGCCACUAGCUGAGGAACCUGAAAAGAUUAAAGGAGGAAUGGGAUGAGCAACCACAGCUCAAUGAGUAGUACAUAUCUUCUAAGCAGAUCGAACAACCACUAUACAUGUAUACAAAACAAUACCAAACUUCAUAAGCCAACUCAAUAUAUAAAAUAAGUAUUGAAUCUUAUAAGAGUUAUUUCUUAUCAUCAAGAUUUAUAGUAAUAUGGAAAACUCAUUUGAAUCGCCAUCAAAAUUCAAGUAUCAAUGGUCGAAUCCAUUGAAUAAUCUCCAUCAAAAACACAUAUCAAUGGUCUAUCCAUUAAUCAAUCUUUUGCUCAAUAACUAACCAUGGUCACGACACAACGCCUUGUGACAAGGCGACCAAGAUUCCCCCCUUGGCAAGGUCUCCACCUACAAAGCUGGUGGCUAGGCCCAGAAAGAUAUCCUAAACCUGGUAUGCAUACCCCAAAAACCCUUCAUUGGGUUCACAGUCAUAUUGAGCAUAAAUAACCAUUCUCAAAUACCAGAAAUCCAAUCCAAAAAUCAAUAUCUUAAACAAAACAAAUAAUAUUUUGCAACAUAGCCCAUCAUCCAUUUCAUAUCCGUUUCUCAAAUCAUCAUAAACCUUUUUAUAAAUCAGUCGCAAAGCAAUUUCAUAUAUGUUUCUUCACAAACCUUGUAUAAUGUGCUUUUCAAAGAUUCACAAUCAACCAAAGGGUAGCAAUUGCUCGAUCUGGCUUUUAUGCAAUAAAAAUGCUCUUCUCAAUUCAAUAUAUAUACAUAUAUAUACUUCAAGACAUGAUUUUAUAAAACCAAAGAAGAUAUAGUACCACUCACCUUAUCGUCUACGACCAAACGACAAACGAUAUUUGUAUCGUCGAACUCAAAGCCCUAUCAAAUAACCGAAGAAUAAUGUUAAAAUCUAAUAAAAUUCUAUCUCGACUACAAAACGACUAAGUUACGUCUUAACUCUAACAAAAGGACUUAUGUGCGCUAACAAGUCGCAUAACCAAAGCGAUUGUUUAAGCCAUUCGCAACAUGAAGUUUAAGCACAAAACUUGAUCGAGCCUUAACUUUCUCUUCCGAACCCCGAUCCGAACGUACUUAUAGUCAAUAGAGAGCCCUUGACACAUAUUACAAGAAUCUCAAAUUGGCCAUCCCAAAAUCAAGCCGAAAAAUGACAAAAUACGGGCCCAAAGCUGCUGGACGCGUACUGUUCACUGCGCGCGGGAAACUUUGGAAUUUUGUUUCGGACAAACCAUAAGCUCAAAUCACGAUCCGUAAAAUCUCACGGCUCCACAACACCCUAAAUUACCAUUCUUACAAAAAUACGUGGCUCAACGACUCCAAAAUUAGACUUCGCCGCUCGAUUUUCCAAAAAUUCCGAAUUUGAGUCAUAAAUCCAAAAAUUACCUCAAUCGGACAAACGAGGGGCUUGAUCUCUUACCGGGUUAUGGAGUCGAGUUGGCUUGGCAAGGCAUCCGAGGCAUGCACGUGCUAAACCUUCUUUCCUUUCUUCCCCUUUCUCUUCUUCUUCUUCUUCUUUUCUUUCUUUUCUUUUUGGUUGAGGAAACUCUCAGCUUCUAUUUAGCCGAGCUCUCUCCCAUCUCCUUUUUCUUUUUCUUGCGUUAUUAACUUUUCGACUUCUUUUUCCGUUUCUUCUUUUGGAGCCUUUAAAACUUCUUUUUCUGUUUCUUCUUUUGGGCAAUUUAAAACUUCUUUUUCCGUUUCUUCUUUUGGGGCCCACUAGCCUAAUGUUACAUCAACAUUCUCACCUUUUUUGUUGAAGAGUUGUAAUGGUUCAAAUUUCGAGAAUGAAAUUUUUGUAAAAUGGGAAGAGUUGUGACAUCCCAAUUUUCUUCCUCUCUUUUCUCUCUCUCUCCUUUUUCUCUUCCCCCUCACGUCUCCCCCUCCUUGUCACGAAAUUUCCUCUCCCUUUCUUUUCUUCUCUCUUUCUUCUCUCUCUCCCACUUUUUCCUCCCCCUCACUCACGCCAACACCUUCUACCACAAUUUCCCCCCAACUUCCUCUCCACUUUUUUAUUGUUUCUCUCUCCCCUCCCCUUCCUCCUCACGCCGAACCCCCCCUUAGGUUGUCGUGGGUUUGAGAAGUCGUCGUUGCCGUUGCCAAGCCUUUAUUCAAGUCAUGAGCACCACAUUCUUGACACUGUCGCGCCACCGUCACCACGAGCUCACUGUCGCUGAAAACCCAAGAGUUAACUUCCUAAUAAUGGAUUAUGAUGUUAAUUACGCAUAUGGGGUGGUUAGUUUAAUAUUAAUUACGGUUAGUAUUUGUUAAUUUUAGUUUAGACUUAAUUGCGAUUAAGGAUUAUUUAGAUUAAAUUUAAGUGCGAUUAUUUUUAAUAAUUAUGAUUAGAUUAAUUAAUCGUGGUUAGAUUAGUUAAUUAAGUUUAGUUUAAUUAAUCGUGAUUUAUUUAUUUAAUCAUAAUUUAUUUAUUUAAUCGUGAUUUAUUUAUUUAAUUGUAAUUUAUUUCAAAUGUAAAGAUUUUUCGAAGUUUGUUAUUUAAGCACAAACUCUUUUACACUAGGCUAAUUGACGGAAGAUAAAAAUUGGCUUGAUUGAUGGUGUGCUUGAGUGGUCAUUUAAUCGAACCCGUCACCCAACGGGAGUUUGGGGGCGAUGCCUGAUUUUUAUUAGAUGCCCGGCGGGGGUCCAAAUGCCGAGUCGUAGUUAAGGCCAGACCAAUGCUCCUUUAUGGAAUGCCGUUUAGGUAGGGAUUCUAAAAGAUGCCGUGCCCGAUGGAGCGAGACGAUACCAACUCUUGUGUUAGCCGUGGCCUGAGAGGUGGUAAUAAUUGGAUCAUGUGUGUUGACAAUGCGCAUGGAAUUUUCAGAAUUUAUUCUGAUUAUUAUUUAUGCAUGUUGCACUACCAUGUGAGACGUGCUAAUAUGUAGGGAUGUGCCAAUGCAAGGAACGUUUGUAUGUAGUGCAUGUUUAGGCUACCUCUGGGACGAAUUUGUGUCCUAAUCAAGGUUUAGGCUGUUAACUCGCUAAGAUUUCUCUCACCUCGUUGUUGUUAAUUAUUUUCAGGGCCAUAGCGUAGAGAAUUGCCAGGUGCGGUUGUGGUGGGUGCAAGAUGCGACAGCUUUUUGGCCGGCCCUGCCAUUAGUGAAGUUUAGGAUUAACGCUAAUCCCUAAAAGUUUUUGAGAGGGUCGAUAGGAAGUGGCCGUAGAAAGGCUUGUAAUUAUUAAACUUUCUAGGAGUAAUAGUGGAUAAAUAAAUAUGUUGUUUUCGGCAAUAUUUAUUAUGUUUUUCUAUCCAUAUUGUUUAUUUGUUGACUGGGUGUUUAUUGUAACUGCUUCCGCAUGCGUUUAAUCGAAAGAUAAAAAGAAUGGGCUGAUGACACGUCCUGGGACAUCGCAUUUUAUUCAACCGCCGAGAGAUGUUCACACGCUCGAGGUUCAGGAUACGACAAAAUUGAUAUACCACUAUUCUCAAUCCAUGUUCAAGUAGCAAAUUGACAGGAGCUUAAACUGGACGCUAGUGUCGAUUGACUUGGGUUGAUUUGCCUUGUCUUGACAGGGUCUAGGAAUUUUGGCUUUUUCCUACCAGUGAAACACAUGCACAUCUUCUGGUGGUUGGCUUGAUGCUUAUGGGUCAUGGGUCCGCCUUUGAUCGAGAUCCAUCUACAUAUUCGAACAAAUUGGAUGACCAAGCUUAAGGGUGACGUCCCCACCCAUCCAAUUUUGCUCUUGAUCUAUCCUCCUUAACUUGAAGAAGUCGGACUUUUUCAACCAAUUAAUCAGGACAAAGUCCUAUCUUUUCGUGACUGUUUGCCAGAAGGCUGAAAGCUAUUAUGCAUGUCUUUGACAAGGCUUAUGUGGUUCAGGUCCAGCAGGUCCAGCAGGUCCAGCAGGUCCAGCUAUAAAUACUUCAUUAUGGAGUUAAAGCAAUACCAUACAACUUUUUAGUGCAGAGAUUCAUGGUCUCCUCCAUAUUUUCAGAUAUAUCUCAAUAUAAUUUUGUUUCCAUGAGGUUGUCGCCCUACAUUAAUGCAAUAACGAUCACAGUUUUCGCCUCGUCUCUUGUUCCAGCUUAUUUCGGAGCUCAAGCGAGCAAUGGAACUGUGAAAGGAGAGGAAGCGCAUGCUCUGCUGGAGUGGAAAUCUGGUCUGGACAAUUAUAGUCAAGCUCUUUUAUCUUCAUGGCAAGGGGACGACCCUUGCAUAUGGAGAGGGAUCGGGUGCGAUGACCCGGGAAGUGUCUCGGAGCUUAAUCUCACGAACAUGGGUUUGCAAGGUUCGCUCAGCAAACUUAAUUUCACUGCUCUGUCAAAUGUCAUUAGCCUCAAUCUCUCGGCAAACUCGCUCUAUGGUCCCAUUCCUCCAUCCGUAGGCAACCUCUCUAAGUUGUCCACUCUGUCUAUCUUUGAAAACUCGCUCUCUGGCACAAUCCCUCUUGAAAUAGGCAAGUUGAGUAGGCUGAGCAUUCUUUACAUUAGCAGGAAUCAUUUACACGGGACUGUCCCUGAAGAAAUAGGAAUGCUGCACUCUCUUUUGAACCUCAGCUUGUAUGAAAAUAAUCUCACAGGUCAGAUUCCUACUUCUAUGGGAAACUUGAGCAACUUAAUAGUUCUUGCCUUGGGCCAAAACAAUCUCGUAGGGUCUGUUCCUCGAGAAAUUUACACCCUAAGUUCUCUUACUUUCCUUUCUCUCCGAAUGAACAAAUUAACCGGUUCCAUUCCUUCGUCUAUAGGAAAUAUGAGUAGUCUAAAAGUCCUUAACUUCCAAAGCAAUCAUCUUGCUGGUCCAGUUCCCCAGGAAAUAGGAAGGUUGAAAUCUCUGGCAAAGCUCACCCUGUCUUCUAAUAAUUUCAGUGGUCCAAUUCCUGCGUCUAUUGUUAACUUGACUGCCCUGACUUUAUUAUCCCUCAGUUCGAACAAUCUUUCCAGCUCCAUUCCCGAAGAAGUUGGAACUUUGAGACAUUUGAAGGAACUUUACCUGGGGGAAAAUAGUCUCAACGGGUCAAUCCCAAGAUCAAUUGGAAAAUUGGUCAACUUGAGUGAACUGACUUUGCACUAUAACCAUCUUUCUGGUUUCAUCCCGGAUGAAAUGAAUAAUCUCAGAUUUCUAAGAUGUAUCCACAUAGGUGAUAAUAAGCUCAUAGGGCGACUACCAGAUAACGUUUGCCUUGGAGGGUUACUUGAAAAUUUUACAGCUCCUAAUAAUCACUUCAAUGGUCAUAUUCCGAAGAGCCUGAAGAAUUGCAGUAGCUUAAAGAGGAUUCGACUAGAAGGAAACCAACUCACAGGAAACUUGACAGAAGAUCUGGGCGCAUAUCCCAACUUGAAGUACAUUGACUUGAGUUAUAACCGAUUCUACGGUGAGCUUUCUUCGAACUGGGGCCGUUCCGCUAACUUUACAAGCGUAAGAAUCUCCAGUAACAACAUUUCUGGUGAAAUACAUCCCAUGAUUUGGAAUAUGGCUCAGCUGAGAGUAUUGGACCUCUCAUCAAACUAUAUUACUGGUUGGCUUCCAAGGGAAUUGAGAAGAUUGACUUACCUGCUCGAGCUUGAUCUACAUGAUAACAAAAUCUCUGGUAAUAUCGCCCCUGAAAUUGGUCAUUUGUCUACACUGGAGAAGCUCAACUUGGGAAGUAACAAGUUUGGAGGCUCGAUCCCGCAACAGUUAGGACAGUGCCGAAGCUUGUGGAACUUGAAUUUGAGCAACAACGAAAUUCAAGCCAGUAUUCCUUCGGAGAUUGGCAAUUUGCAGUUUUUGCGUGAUCUUGAUCUGUCUUUUAACUUCUUGGCAGGAAAAAUACCACGCAGUAUCGGAAAGUUGACAACUUUGGAAGUGUUGAAUUUAUCCUACAACAGCAUCUCAGGCUUCAUACCCCAAAGUUUCAACGAUCUGUUGGGAUUGGUAUCUGUGAAUAUAUCCCACAACGACCUGGAGGGUCCAAUCCCAAACAUCGAGGCCUUUCGUGAUGCUCCAUACAGCGCAGUUGCAGGCAAUAAAGCUGGGUUGUGUGGUGUUGCAGCUGGUUUGAAGAAAUGCUCCGAGAGGACCCGUAGUAAGAAAGGAAACAAGUUUAUAAUUCUAAUCAUUUUCUCACAACUCAGCUUCAUCAUCCUCACAUCUUUAUUAAUCGGAGUGAUAUUUCUAGCUUGCCAAAGGGGCAAAAGAACAGAGCAAGACUCAUUGGAGGCGCGAGUCCCAGGAGAUGCUUUUGCAAUAUGGAGCUAUGACGGAAAAAUGGUGUAUGAGAACAUUAUUAAAGCCACAGAAGGAUUUGAUUCCAAGUACUAUGUGGGAGAGGGAGGAUAUGGAGUCGUAUACAAAGCCAAGCUAUUCGUUAAUCAAGUUUUCGCAGUGAAGAAAAUCCAUGCGCCGCAAGACAAUGAAACUUUGGGAUUAAUGUCACUAGAGCGGGAGGCCACUGCAUUGGCAAAUAUACGACACCGUAACAUCGUCAAGCUCUAUGGGUACUGCUUCCAUCCGAGAGACUCGUUCUUGGUGUACGAAUUCAUGGAAAGAGGAAGCUUGAGAAGGGCCUUGGGUGACAACGAGAUGGCGAUGGAGUUUGAUUGGGCUAAAAGGGCAAGUGCGAUCAAGGGCGUGGCGGAUGCAUUGUGUUACAUGCACCACGAUUGCUCUCCUCCAUGGAUUCAUAGAGACAUCACUAGAAACAAUGUGCUUCUAGAUGGUGAUUAUGAAGCUCGUGUUUCUGAUUCUGGCACAGCAAGGCUUCUCAAGUCAGAUUCAUCUAAUUGGACUUCAUUGGUCGGUACAGUUGGUUAUAUAGCACCGGGUAUGAAUGUGCUUGCACGUUUGUUAUUACGUAUAGUUAUCUAUAACUUUGGCUCACUUCUUUUUCAAAAAUUACAAGAUGACAACUUAAUACUACCCUUAUAUCUUGCAGAGUUAGCAUAUUCAACAGUAGUUACUGAAAAAUGUGAUGUUUAUAGCUUUGAAGUAGUAGCAUUGGAAGUAAUAAUGGGAAGGUAUCCGGGUGAUCCUAUUUCAAGCUCGCGUCAGUCAUCAACAUUGUCGAUGCAAAUGGACUCCGGAACGUUACUGCAAGACAUGCUAGACCGACGUCUCUCGCUUCCUCUGGACAAAGACGCGGAGAACGUGGUCUCGAGUGCUAAACUAGCACUUGCAUGCUUGCGAGUCGAUCCUCAUCGUCGACCCACAAUGCAAAAAGCCUGUCAAGUACUUUCAAUUCAAGUGCCUUUGGUGAAGCCAUUCUCGGAUGUCAGAUUGAGUGAGCUGGAUGGUGUCCAAUGGUUGAGGUAGCUGAACGUUCGAGGAUUGACAGAGGAAGAUCUUAAUCGUUUCUUGUCUGUAAAUGUUCAAAUUAAAUGCAGUUUUUCAUUUUAAGUGCUAUAAAAAAAAGGGUAGUGCUCUCGGGCAAGGAGUUUUAUAAAUGCAUCAGCCGAUUCUCUUUUGGAGCACUCUGCCACAUCAUUUGGAAGAAUAGAAACGAUAUUCUCUUCAGGGGUGUGCAGAUUUCUACUUCGGCUAUGAAGAAGCACCUUCUUAAGGUUGUUAAAGAUAAGGCUUGCACCUUCAAGAAUGUGGAGGAUUCCCCAAGAAACAGAAGAGUGCAACGUUCCUGGGAAGUGGACCCUGCUAUCUUCGAUGUCUAAGUUGGCCUUGCCUGGGUAGACACUUGGUGCUGCUUUGUGUUCUUCCUUUGGCGUGUUGCCUUGUUUUGGUGUUGUCGGCCAAUUGGCCUUUUUCGGCUUCCUUUCACUCAUCAUGAGCCUGUUCAUCUUGAGUGACAGUUCUUUGAAGCUGGUUGUCUGUACUUUUUGACCUUCCCCUUAAUAUUACUUACCUUACCAAAAAAAAAAAAAGGGUAGUGCUAAUGCAUAAAUUAUUCUCAUGCACAGGUUCUCUAAUUCACACUACUCAACUCCACAUCGCCCUUCUUGCUAGAAUAAGAUUGGGAAAGCACCACAAAAGUCCAAUACAUGUAAUGAGAAGAUAUGAGAGAUAGUUCAUAAGUUGAACUCAUUGAUCAUCUAGUUAAGCCCACAUUCAUUCAUAAACUUAAAUGAUAUAAUCACUAUCCACUUUCAAUGCGGGACCCUUUCUUUUCCUCCACACUAAUCAAAUGUGCACACAGGAAACACUAAAAGGGUUAAGAAGAUUAUUUACAACUUUCUGGCAGGUUCUGCUUAGGGUGCUUAAUACGACACACUUGUUUAAAAAAAAAAACUACUAGACUGGAAGUAUUGGCCUAUGAAUAUUUGUAUGAAAAUGACACGGCCCAACAAUAUUGCUUGUUUAACCAAGCACAUGCCAUCUUGUGCUUCCAAUUUGCCUACUUAAAUCAUGAACACAACAUUACUUUUUGAGGCGUAACAUCUAACUCAUCAAGCCAUUGUCGUGUAAAUUGAUGUGCGCACCACAAGUCUGAUCAUAUAGGUCAAGUUCAUCCCGACUAUUUGAAACUGAGGCCCGACCUGAUAAAAAGAGUCACCCAGAUUUGGUAGGUCGCAUGGGCACCAAGCUACACGGCCCGAUCCACGCAAGACCCGGUCCGUGACCGUGUUACCGGGUCGCGGCCUCGUCAACGACACGACCAUCGGCUUCUUUUACAGAUCCACCCAGGAAGGCAAUUCUGCUUCGGACGAAACGGUGAAGGCGAAUUGUCGAUAAAGGCGUUCUUUUUGUCCUCGGAUAAGUUCCUUGGGCUCCGUCUCCCACAGCAAAGAUUGUUUCUUUUUCGGUGUUCAAAGGGGUCGAUCCCGAGUAAGUUCCCGUGUUUGAUCACCCUUUUCUUGAUCUUUUUUCUUUAGAGAUCUGAAAUCUUGUGCUAGAAUUCUUGAGAUGCAGCUCGUGCAGUGAUCGUUUUGUUGGGAAAGAGUGAAUUUUUUUUUAACUGGGCUACUCGAGAUUUUUGGGUUUUGGGUUGCUGUGUAUGGUGCAAUGCGAGUGACUGUCUUGUUCCUAUUUUCGCCGUUUCUUGUCGGACCUCGGGAUUUUUGCGACGAGGGUAGUGCAUUCCUCGUAGUUUGAUUCUUGAACUUCUUGGCUUUUGGCCUUAGCUGAAAAGGAAUCAGUUUGGACUACAUUGGAGUUUGUUUUUCUGAGUGAUCCGUCGAGUUGAAAAUUGGGAUUGAGUGUUGUAAUCCCAAGUGAUUAGCAAUCAUCUGCAUUUCUCGAUCCUUUGUCAUUGCGCAUGCUUUCUAAGUAAUAAUUACCUUUAAGGCCAUUGCGUGAAGUCACCCAGAGGAUUCAUCUUUUGAGUGCUCUUGGGUGGGUAAUUUGGGUUGGACUAUGGAAACAUUUUUCUGCAGAAUCAAGAGUAUCUCCACAAAUGAUUUCUGUUGCAAAGUUGUUUAAGUUUCCGUUGCUUGUGCCAAAGAUACUCCAUGACUGGGAAGUUUGUAGUAACUACUGUUUGGUGACAAAGAUAAAUCAUUCUUGAUUGUCACCAUUGCAAUCGUUGUGAUUGCCAGAGUUUCUUAAGGUGUUAAUGUUGCAUGCGCAUCAAGAUCGACGUCUGUGCGGUCUCUCCUUUCUUGGUGGGCAGUCGAGAUUUUUUUGUGUCUGACUGGUGUUAUAUAGUAAUAAGGCAACCGGAUCUUCAACAUCAUGAUCGGAUUCCGAAGGUUUCUUUUGGGGCCCAUGUCUUGUGUUGAAAGAGAGAGUAUUCUAUGUAUUGUAUUCUCUUAAUCAAAAAAGGAUUACAAGAAUACAUACAAUAUAUAUAUAUAUAUGAGUAACCCUUUCAACAUAAGAUUAACUAUUGACUAUUUUAUCCUUAUUAUUAUUUCCCAACACUCCCCCUCAUGUUGGGAUGUAGAUAUCAAACAAUCCCAACUUGUUACAUAAAAAAUUCACUCUAUUUUCUCGUAAAGACUUGGUAAAAAUAUUUGCAAGCCGAUCCUUCGUUUUUGUAUGUUGAAGAGUGAUCUCUCCUUUAUGAACUUUUUCUUGUAUAAAGUAACAAUCAACCUCAAUAUGCUUGGUUCGCUCAUGGAAGACGGGAUUGUUUGCAAUAUGAAUAGCUGAUUGAUUGUCACAACAUAAUAUUGAUGGUUCUGAUGUUGACAUCACAAGUUCUGACAAUAAAAUCCUCAACCAGAGCAAUUCACCAGAGCAAUUCACUAGUCACAUGUGCCAUUGCUCUAUAUUAUGCUUAUGUACUUGAUCGAGAAACCACAUGUUUUUUACUCUUCCAGACAACUAAAUUACCUCCAAGAAAUACACAAUAACCUGAUGUAAAUCUUCUACUAGUAGAGCAUUUAGCCCAAUCCACAUCAGAAAAACCUGUGGUAUUUAGGUGGCCAUAAUUCUUGAAAAUUAGUCCUUUACCCGGUGCUCCUUUCAAGUAUUUGAUAAUUCGAAGCACAGCAUCCUAAUGAGUAGUCCAAGGAGAACCCAUGAAUUGGCUUACAACAUUAAUGGCAAAAGAUAUAUUAGGUCUUGUAACGGUAAGAUAAUUCAACUUACCAACUACUCUCCGAUAUUUCAUUGGAUCACGUAAUAAUUCUCCAUCUUCUGCAUCAAGUUUCACAUUGGGUUCCAUAGGAGUAUCAAUCGAUUUUGCUCCAACAAGUCUAACCUCAUCAAAAAUGUCAAAAACAUAUUUUCUUUGAGUUAAAUUUAUACCUAUAUGCGAAUAGGCAACCUCAAUACCUAGGAAAUACUGCAAACAUCCCAUAUCCUUAGUACUAAACUAUGUAUGCAUAAAUUGUUUGAGUCAUUGAAUACCAUCUGAAUAACUGCCAGUAAUGAUAAUAUCAUCCACAUAUACCACCAGAAGAAUACAAUUAGCUGAGGAGACAGAACUGAAGAUCGAAUGGUCUACUUGACAACACUUUAAUUCAAACUUGAUAACAACAUCACUAAACUUACCAAACCAAGUACGAGGAGAUUGCUUGAGUCCAUACAAUUCCUUAUGUAAAUGACAUCAGAUUCUCCCCCUAAGCAACAAAUCCAGGUGAUUGCUCCAUAUACACCUCUUCAGCCAAAUCACGAUGUAGGAAUGCAUUUUUGAUGUCUAAUUGAUGAAGAAACCAUCCAAAAUGUGCUGCUAGAGAAAUAAAGACACGAACAGAUGGAAUUUUGGCUACAAGAGAAAAAGUGUUGUCAUAAUCAACACCAUAUGUUUUAGUAUAUCCUCUGGCGACCAACCGUGUCUUCAAUUGAUCUACGGUGCCAUCAAGGUGGACCUUAACCGUGAAAACCCAACGACAACCAACAGGUUGCUUUCCCACAGGAAGGGCAGUAAGCUUCCAAGUGCGAUUUUCAAUGAGUGCUUUCAUUUCAUCCUCCAUGGCUUGUCUCCAACCAGAAUGAGCAAAAGCUUCAGUAACAUUGCUAGGCAUAGAAAUAGAGGACAAGGACGAGACAAAAGUAGAGAAGGUAGGAGAUAAACGAUCAUAAGACAGAAAGUUGAUAAUAGGAUGACAAGUAGGAAGACAAUCAGACAAACCAGAAUAAAGUAUAUAAUGAUCCACAGGAUGCCCAGCACAAGAUCGUGUACCUUUUCAAGUAGCAAUGGGUUGAACAGGAUCUGGAUCAGGGGAUGGCACAACAACUGAUGAGGGAUCAAAUGAAUCGGGUGAUGGCCGUACCUCUGUAAUGGGAGCUGUUCCUCGUCUAUGGUAAGUUUGAUUAGCAAACUGAAAUCCUAUUGAUGAUAUUGGAGGAAGUGAGAUUGUUGGAGGAAUUGGUAAGACACACUUGUCAUUGUCAGGAGACAUUGUAGAGACUCUGAGUACUGUAGUAUGGUUGGUCAUAAAAAAAUGUCACAUCUGCUGAUAUAAACACUUGACGACUAGUAGGAUUGUAAUAUUUAUAGCCCUUCUGAGUUCGAGAGUACCCAACAAAGACACAUUUAUCAACACGAGGAGCCGACUUAUCAAGACCUAGAGUUAGAGAAUGGACGAAACAAACACAUCCAAAGACAUGUAGGGGUAAUGCAAAGGGAGGGCAAUUUGGAUAUAAAAUAGAGAAAUGUAUCUCCCCCUGAAGAAUGGAAGUUGGAAGCCAAUUAAUUAAGAAACAGGCUGUAAGAACAGCAUGGCCCCAAAAUGUUUUCGAAAGAUGCAUGUGAAACAUGAGACAACGAGCAACGUCAAGAAGAUGACGAUUUUUACGUUAAUCUACACCAUUUUGUUGUGGUGUAUAUAAACAGGAAGUUUGAUGAAUAAUGUCAUGGGAAUCAAGAAAAGGUUGAAAACCAGAGGCAACAGCAAGAUACUCUUUGACAUUAUCGGACCGUAGAGUUUUCACAAAAGUAUUAUAUUGAUUCAGCACCUCAAAAUAGAAUUAACGAAAGCAAUGAAAAAUCUCAAUACGAUCUUUUAUUAAGAACAACCAAGUCAUUCGGAAAAAAAUCAUCCAUAAACGUAACAAAGUACCGAAGACCAAAUGUAUCAAAAACAUGGCACAGACCCCAUAUAUCUGAAUGAACCAACUCAAAGGGACUAGACACACAAUUCUAAAAGUGAGAAGAAAAAGAGACUUUAUGGUGUUUUCCAAACUGACAAGCUUCACACUCAAAAGCACUCACAGACUCAAACUCUCUAGAUACAAUCAUCGAAGAAUGUUUGGCGGUGGAUGACCAGCACGACAAUGCAUCCGAUAGACAUCAGUGGAUGUGUGCUUCAUAGCUGCUACAACUAUCACCUUCUUGUCUAGAUAGUAUAGGCCAUUUGAUUGAUAUCCCCCACCAAUCAUCUAUCCAGUCCUCAGAUCCUGAAAAACACAAUGAGAAGCAAAAAAGGUUACGGAACAAUUUAGUUCUUUAGUUAAUGAACCAACGGAAAUCAAAUUAUAUUGAGAUUUGAGAUGAAGGACGAAUGAUACAUAAAGGGAGGAACUCAAAUGGGCAUCUCUAGUGCUAGUAACUUGGGAAAUGGAACCAUCAACUAAUGUAACAGAGUUAGACACCCCAAGAGGUGUGUAAUUUAACGAAGACAAGUAACUCUAGAAUCUAUAACCCAGGAGUCUGACACUGUAGAAAGUAAACAGGAUGAACUACCUUUUGAACUAUGUGGUAAAGUUGCAGUGGGAGCUGAAGUUCCUGUCAUUUGUUGGGAGCGAAUCCAAGCCUCAUAUUUUGCAGGUGUCAAUGUAACCGAAUCUUUUGUAUUCUGCACAUUAGUAGGAUCUGAUUGAACUGGUGAGGAAGAAUCUUCCACUUUAGAAAAUGCAACAACUGUGGAUCGAAGCUCUAGAUGAAGCGUGUAGCAGUAAGCUUAGUAUGUCCAGCCCUCCAACAAUGGUUACAAUAUCGAGAGCCACGGCUACCAAUAAUUCUAUCACAACCACCAUGACUUCCACUCUAAAUAAACCCAUGUCCAUGACCCCGAUAAUGUCCAUUAGAGCCAUGAGAAAUCAUGGCAUUUGUCUCUAAAGUUGUAGUGGAGAUCUUGUCAGUAGGUAUCGAGCGUAAGACUCGAGAGAAAACCUCAUCAACUGUAGGAAGGGAGCUUUUAGACGUAAUCUACUGACGAAGGAAGGAAUAUUCAAGUCCUAGUACUUUAAGAAAUAGUAUCACUCAAAGAUCCUCCUAGCAUUUGACUAAUACAUUCAGAUCAUUGGAAGCUGGAAGAUAAGCAUCUAGCUGUCGACAAAGUGUAGUGAAACGAGCAUAAUAUUUAGAUAGAGACUAAUCUCCACGCUAAAGAUCAAACAAGGCCUCUCAUGUGUCACACACUCGUGUCAUAUUAUUUUGGUUAGAAUAAAGUAGAACACAUUUAUACCAAACUUUCUUAGCAGAAUUACAUCGAAUGAAGUGAGGGCUAAUCUUUGGAUCCAUACUAUUCCAUAACAGUGUACGGAUCAUUUCAUCUCCGGCAAUCCAAUCAUCUACUUUACUCUUAUCCAAAGGGAGUGUAGAUGUAAGAUAAUCAUGCUUUCUAGUUGCAUUAAGAUAAAUUUGGACAGCUUUAGACCAUGAUGGAUAGUUAGUGCCAUCCAACUUGACAGAUGUCAAUUGAAAAUGCGUUAAACCACUAGAUGAUGUAGAAGCCAUCAGUAUUUACUCCACUGAACUCCAAUAAUGCAAUUAGCCAGACUAGUUGAACACAAGAAUCGAUCGAACCGAAUAAGAAUGACACAAUAAUCAAGCACUUAACUCCAGUUGUGCAAUCAGCCACAAAACAACAAACAAAAAUAAGGGUUCAAUUGAUCCACCACUAAGUCAAUAUACUUCACCGAGAGGCCAUAAAUCAUACCAACCAGCACUUCAAAGAUGACCGGAAACCAUCCAACACUUAAAAGAUUACUAUGUGCAUACCAACUAGCACUUCAAGAAGCAAAUGAGAAUCCAUAUAAGUAUGCUAGAAAACAACUUAUGAUGCCCUCAGUUUGGGUAGAAUUUUUUUUUUUUUUUGGGUUCGGGGUGAAACCCUUGCAGAAUCGAACGAAGCCCUUGCAAAACCGAAGGCUUCCAAAAUCCUCAGGAUAUAUGAAAAUCACUUAAUCUAGAUCACAAGACAAACAAAGACCAAAUCAUGCAAUCGGUCUUCAAUCCCGUCAUCAAGAAAGAAGGCUAAACACAUACCAAUUUUGCUGGAUGGGCUUCAGCGACUGACGUUGGGCAAUAAUUCUGUCCAGAUCUGUAGGACAGGCGCCGGUGGGAGGUAGCGGGUGACAACGAUGACGCUGGUGAGGGGUGGCUAUGAUGAGGGAAGGAUCUAGGUCUAGAGUUCAACUUUAGAAAACUAGUGGAAAGAUCUUGAUCUGGGGAUGAUGACUAAACAACGAUGUGGGCGUUCUUUUUGCUCUGCUAUCUAGAAGAUAAGCACGCUGCGGCAGAGGAUUUGGAUCUAGUGACGGCCUCCGCCGCCAGGUUGUAGUGGGAUUGAUUUUUUUUUUUUUUAACCAUUCUCUGAUACCAUAUUGAAAGAGAGAGUAUUUUAUGUAUUGUAUUCUCUUAAUCAAAAAAGGAGUACAAGAAUACAUACAAUAUAUAUAUAUGAGUAACCCUCUCAACAUAAGAUUAACUAUUGACUAUUUUACCCUUAUUAUUAUUUCCUAACAUUUUGGAUUAAGAUGGUGCAGUUGAUGGCCUUUCUUGUCGGCUAUAGCACUGCAAUAGAAAAUCUCUUGGGAUGAAUUAUUGACCUUUUCACCUAUCAAAAAAUGGAAUACCGCUUGUUAGUCACUUAGAUCAGUUUCAUAGGUCUUGCUCUGUAUUUAUGUCUGUAGACCUCAUAUGUGUUUGGAUUGUCAAUUUUUGGUACAAUGAGGUGGCAACUCUGAAGGUUCCAGCCAAAGCUAUGCAAGGGCUUAUGACAACAUGAAUGGCCCAUCUCUAUCAGAAGAAUAAAGCAAGGGGAAGCAAAACGAAGACCUGUCUUACAUAUGGUCUAGAAGUUUAAAUAUGCAUUGAUGGAACUGAACACUCUCGGAAAGCAUGAAUCAGUUCAUCCACAUAAAUUGAAAAACCAUAAGUAGUGCAUACUUUUGACGACACAUGGUGCAACCAACAAGUGUUUGGUUAAUUUGUUACUGUUGGCCCUUUCACUUCUUCAUGUCUUGGGUGCACUUAGUUUUCCAUAUUAUCUGCUAACUCCUUUUCAUGGGUCCUUUUUGCAGAUUUUAAGGCUUAGUUUCAGGCAUCAGUGGUCCUCUUUCAAAAAUGGCUGGUUUUAAUGAUUUUUGCAAAGAUAACAUACUUGGGAAAUCUAUCAUGUUACUUGUCCUCCUCCUUGGAGUCAGUUCAGUCUCGGUUUUGUUGUGCUUUAUCUUCUCUCCAAUGGUAAAAUUUCCAUUGUUUGAUGCCAAGGGGGCUUUAUCAGCACCUCUCUUCCUUUGCCUUGGUGCGACAGUAUCACUUCAAUCUUCAUCCUCACUUGAAUCGGAUCAUUUAGCUCCAAAUUCCUCAUCAUAGAACCCUUUUUUUUUUUAAUGUGGUCCAGCCUCUCAAUAUGUCGUUUCGUAGGAAUACGGAUGGAGACAUCUUUGUCAGCGUCUCCUCCAGCAAAGAUUGCAGUUCACCCUUCACAAUUUCCUUCUUUUCAAAACUGUUUAUGGAGCUUCUUCUAGCAACACCUCUGUAGGAAUUAACCUCAUCCACUACACCUUCUAUGGCGGCUGCAAGAUCCUCAAAAUAAGAGGUAAAAGUCAUAAAAAAUUCCUCAUUGACUUUCUCCCCGUUCGGAGCAUCAGGACCAAAAACAUCAUCUUCCAAUUCAGCAGAAGGCUAACCCAUGCAAUCAUCUUUUAAAGGGGCCCCCCAAUUUGAUCAGAUGCGAUAUUACAUCCAGAUUCAUCUCCCAAAUCUUCAUCAACCUGAGGCACAUCUACGUCAUAAUCAGCAUCAUCCGGGUCAUUAGAACGAAGACCUAAAUUUGGGUCCUCGGUAGUUUCUGCUGUUGCAUCCUCAGGAAAACUUACUCCUCGUGUCGGUAAUAGAAAGAUUUGUUCCUUGUGAUUCGUUCAGCGAGUCCAUGCAAUCAACUCUAAAAUCACACUCAGGGCAUAGCCAACGGUGGUCUGAAGGAGGAAUGUCUUCUUCAUGCAACAGUGGUUCCAGAUAGUAUAGAUUGAACCCACGAUCACAAGCACCAUCGCACAGAAUUAUUUUGUUGUCAGCGUCAACUUUUGAGCCACACUUUGCACAGAAUAUACCCUCACUUUCAAUCAUUGCUUCUGAUACAAAUAGAGCUUCUGGCAGCUUUCCUUCUGCACAUAACGAAUCAAGCCGCUGAAAUAGAUCCCUUAUUCUCAGCUCGCGGUCUCCAAUUUCUGAUGUGGCCCGUUGAAAUUCCUUCUCCAGAUUUAUCUUUUCCAAGCUUAGGCCUUUCUACCCUUCACCAGAAUCAGCAUCAUUGAAGCUUCUCUCAUAGCUAAUUCUCUCAAGCAGCUAACUUAGGUUUUUCCUAAUUCUAGAAAAUUCACCAGCAAUAGCUUUCCUUGCUUGCCUCUUCUCUCUCUGCUUUCUUUUUACUUCUUCAUUAGUAUAUAUGUUUACUACAUCGUCAUUGGACUCAGCUAUUUUGAUCUCAAGCGAAGACCUCUAUUGCUGCCACGUGAUGAUCUCAAUGUUGCAACACCGAUGGAUCAUAACUAAAGCCACUGUUCACUUCCUCAGUGUAGACUUGCAGUUGCUCACUAACAAUAGAAUCCCCAUUAAAUUCAAUAUGUUCCAAAACAGAAGAACUAAUCUCCACAUUAGAUCGUAAUCCAACUCAAAAGUACUCACUUGAACUGAUAUAUUUUGAACUGAUAUAUUCUAACUAGGGAAACACAUGCAUAUCUUCUGGUGGUUGGCUUGAUGCUUAUGGGUCAUGGGUCCGCCUUUUAUCAAGACCCCAUCUACAUAUUCGAACAAAGUGGAUGACCAAGCUUAAGGGCGAUGUCCCCACCCAUCCAGUUUUGCUCUUGAUCUAUCCUCCACAACUUGAAGAAGUUGGACUUUUUCAACCAAUUAAUCAGGACAAAGUCCUAUCUUUUCGUGACUGUUUGCCAGACAGGCUGAAAGCUGUAAUGCAUGUCUUUGAUAAGGUUUAUGUGGUUCAGGUCCAGCUAUAAAUACUUCAGCAUGUAGUUAAAGUAAUAUCAUACAAAUUUUAAGUGCAGAGACUCGUGGUCUCUUCCAUAUUUUCAGAUAUAUCUCAAUAUAACUUUGUUUCCAUGAAGUUAUCACCCUACAUCAAUGCAAUCACGAUCACAAUUUUCGCCUCUUCUCUUGUUCCAGCUUAUUUCAAUGCUCAAGCGAGUAAUGGAACUACGAAAAGAGAGGAAGCACAUGCUCUGCUGGAGUGGAAAUCUGGUCUGGACAAUUCUAGUCAAGCUCUUUUAUCUUCAUGGCAAGAGAACGACCCUUGCAUAUGGAGAGGGAUCGGCUGUGAUGGCUCAGGAAGUGUCUCAGGGCUUAAUCUCACGAACAUGGGUUUGCAAGGUUCGCUCAGCAAACUUAACUUCACUGCUCUGUCAAAUCUAAUUAGCCUCAAUCUCUCGGCAAACUCACUCUACGGCUCCAUUCCUCCAUCCGUAGGUAACCUCUCUAAGUUGUCCACUCUGUCUAUUUUUAGCAACUCACUCUCUGGCACAAUCCCUCUUGAAAUUGGUAAGUUGAGCAGUCUAAGCAUUCUCUACCUUGACGGGAAUCAUCUCCGGGGAACUAUCCCGGAAGAAAUGGGAAUGCUGCACUCUCUUUCAAGCCUCACCCUGUAUGACAACAAUCUCACAGGUCGUAUUCCUACUACUAUGGGAAAAUUGAGCAACUUAACCUUUCUUGCCUUGGGGCACAACAAUUUCAUAGGGCCGGUUCCCCCAGAAAUGUGCACCCUAAGUUCUCUCACCUUCCUUUCUUUCCAAACGAACAAAUUAACUGGUUCCAUUCCUUCGUCUAUAGGAAAUCUGAGCAGUCUAAACGUCCUUAACUUACAAAAUAAUUAUUUUUCUGGUCCAAUUCCUCAGGAAAUAGGAAGGUUGAGAUCUCUAGAAAAGCUCACUUUUUCCGAUAAUGAUUUUAGUGGCCCGAUUCCUAUGUCCAUCGGAAACUUGACUGUCCUAACUUUAUUAGUCCUCACUUCGAACAAUCUUUCCGGCUCCAUUCCUGAAGAAGUUGGAAGUUUGAGACAUCUGAAGGAACUUCGCCUGUCAGAAAAUAGUCUCAACGGGUCAAUUCCAAGAUCAAUUGGAAAAUUGGUCAACUUGAGUGUACUCAGGUUGCACUAUAACCAUCUUUCUGGUUCUAUUCCCGAUGAAAUGAAUAAUCUUAGAAAUCUAAGACAUUUCUCCAUAGGUGAAAAUAAGCUUAUAGGGCGACUACCAGACAACAUAUGCCUCGGAGGGUUACUCGAAAAUUUCACAGCAUCUAAUAAUCACUUCGAUGGUCAUCUUCCUAAGAGCCUGAAGAAUUGCAGUAGCAUAUUGAGGAUUCGACUUGAUGGAAACCAACUCACAGGAAACCUGACAGAAGAUUUUGGUGCAUAUCCCAACUUGAAGUACAUUGACUUGAGUUAUAACCAAUUCUACGGCGAGCUUUCUUCGAAGUGGGGCUGUUCCCAUAACUUAACAAGCCUGAGAAUCUCUAGUAAUAACAUUUCUGGUGGGAUACAUCCCAUGAUUGGGAAUGUGACUCAGCUGAAAGUGUUGGACCUCUCAUUGAACUAUAUUACCGGCCGCCUUCCGAUGGAAUUGAGAAGAUUGACUUCACUGCUCGAUCUUGAUCUACAUAAUAACAAAAUCUCUGGUAGUAUCCCUCCUGAGAUUGGUUAUUUGUCUACAUUGGAGAAGCUCAACUUAGGAAGCAACAACUUUGGAGGCUCAAUCCCGCAACAGUUAGGACAGUGCGGAAGCUUGUGGAACUUGAAUUUGAGCAACAACAAAAUUCAAGCCAGUAUUCCUUCGGAGAUUGGCAAUUUACAGUUUUUGCGUCAUCUUGAUCUGUCUUUUAACUUGUUGGCAGGAAAUAUACCAGAAAGCAUCGGAAAGUUGACAACUUUGGAAGUGUUGAAUUUAUCCUACAACAGCAUCUCAGGCUUCAUACCCCAAAGUUUCAACAAUCUGUUGGGACUGGUAUCUGUGAAUAUAUCCCACAACGACCUGGAGGGUCCAAUCCCAAACAUAGAAGCCUUUCGUGAUGCUCCAUACAGCGCAGUUGCAGGCAAUAAAGCUGGGUUGUGUGAUGUUGCAGCUGGUUUGAAGAAAUGCUCCGAGAGGACUCGUAGUAAGAAAGGAAAUAAGAUUCUAAUCAUUCUCUCACUGCUCAGCUUCAUCAUCCUUACAUCUUUAUUCGUUGGAGUGAUAUUUCUAGCUUGCCAAAGGGGCAAAAGAACAGAGCAACACUCAUUGGAGGCACAAGUCCCUGGAGAUGCUUUUGCGAUAUGGAGCUAUGACGGAAAAAUGGUGUACGAGAACAUUAUUAAAGCCACAGAAGGAUUUGAUUCCAAGUUCUAUGUGGGAGAGGGAGGAUAUGGAGUCGUAUACAAAGCCAAGCUAUCCGAUAAUCAAGCUUUCGCAGUGAAGAAAAUCCGUGCACCGCAAGACAAUGAAACUUUGGGGUUAAUGUCACUAGAGCGGGAGGCCAUUGCCUUGGCAAAUAUACGACACCGUAACAUCGUCAAGCUCUAUGGAUACUGCUUCCAUCCGAGACACUCGUUCUUGGUGUAUGAAUUCAUGGAAAGAGGAAGCUUGAGAAGGGCAUUGAGUGACGACGAGAUGGCAAUGGAGUUUGAUUGGGCUAGGAGGGCGAGCACGAUCAAAGGUGUGGCAGAUGCAUUGUGCUACCUGCACCACGACUGCUCUCCUCCAUGGAUUCAUAGAGACAUCACUAGCAACAAUGUGCUUCUGGAUGGUGAUUAUGAAGCUCAUGUUUCUGAUUUUGGCACAGCAAGGCUUCUCAAGCCAGAUUCAUCUAAUUGGACUUCAUUGGUCGGUACACUUGGAUAUAUAGCACCAGGUAUGUAUAUGCUUGCACGUUUGUUAAUUUGUAUCAUUAUCUGUAACUUUGGCUCACUUCUUUUUCAUAUAUUGGAUUGCACUGCUAAAGAUUACAAGAUGACAACUUAAUGUUACCCUUAUAUCUUGCAGAGUUAGCAUAUUCAGCGGCAGUUACUGAAAAAUGUGAUGUUUAUAGUUUCGGAGUAGUAGCAUUGGAAAUAAUUAUGGGAAGGCAUCCAGGUGAUCUCAUCUCAAGCUCACGUCAAUCAUUAACAUUGUCAAUACAAAUUGACUCUGGAAUGUUACUGCAAGACGUGCUAGACCGACGUCUCUCGCUUCCUCUGGACAAAGACGCGGAGAACGUGGUCUCGAGCGCUAAACUAGCACUUGCAUGCUUGCGAGUCGAUCCUCAUCGUCGACCCACCAUGCAAAAAGUCUGUCAAGGACUUUCAAUUCAAGUGCCUUUAGUGAAGCCAUUCUCGGAUGUCAGAUUGAGUGAGCUGGAUGGUGUCCAUGGUUGAGGUAGCUGAACGUUCGAGGAUUGACCGGGAAAGAGCUUAAUCGUUUCUUGUCUGUAAAUGUUCAUAUUAAAUGCAGUUUUUCAUUCUUACUGCUGUAAAAGAAGGAAAGUGCAAAUGCAUAAAUUAUUCUCAUACACAACUUCUCGUCCACCCUACUCAACUUCCCAUCGCCCUUCUUGCUAGAAUAAGACUGGGAAAGCACCGCAAAAAUCCAAUACCUGUAAUGGGAAGAUAUGAGAGAUGGUUCAUAAGUUGAGCUCAUUGAUAAUCUAAUUGAGUCUACCUUCAUUUAGAAAUUUAAAUCAUCAAGCAUGAAUCAACCACGCAUUAUCAUUACCCACACCCAUUGUGGGACUAUUUUUGUCCUCCAUACACUCAAAUAUGCACAGAGGAAACAGUAAUAGGGUUAAAAAGAUCAAUUUAUGACUUUCUAGGAGGUUCUUCUUGGGGUGCUUAAUACAACGCGUUUAAGAAAAUUACUAGAUUGAAAGUAUUGGCUCAUGAAUAUUAGUACAAAAAAUGAAGUGGCUCGACAAUAUCAACUGUUUAACCAAGCACAUACCAUCUUGCGUUUUCAAUUCGCCUGCUUAAAUCAUGAACACGACAUUACUUUUCGAGGCAUAAAAUCUAACUCAUCGAGCCAUUGUCGCGAAGAUUAAUGUGCGCACCAUAAGUCCAAUCAUAUAGAUCGAGUUCAUCUCGACUAUUGAAAUGGAGGCCCGACCUGUUGCAAAGACUCACCCAGAUUUGGUAGAUCGCAUGGGCACCAAGCCACACGGCCCGAUCCAAGCAAGACCCGGUCCGUGACCGCUUUACCGGGUCGCGGCCUCGUCAACGGCACGACCGUCGCCUUUCUUUUACAGUUCCACCCGGGAAGAAGGCAAUCCUGCUUCGGACGAAACGGUGAAGGCGAAUUGUCGAUAAAGGCGUUCUUUUUCGUUCUCGGACAAGUUCCUUGGGCUCCGUCUCCCACGGCAAGGAUCGUUUCCUUUUCGGUGCUCAAGGGGUCGAUUCCGAGUAAGUGCCCGUGUCUGAUCACCUUUUCUUGAUCUUUUUCUUUGGAGAUCCGAAAUCUUGUGGUAGAAUUCCUGAGAUUCAGCUCGUGCAGUGAUCGUUUUGUUGGGAAAGAGUGAAUUCUUUUUUUAACUGGGCUAGUCGAAAGCUCUUCAAGAUUGGAGAUUUCUGGGUUUUGGAUACCGAGUAUUGUGCAAUUGGAGUGACUGUCUUGUUCCUAUUUUUGCUAUUUCUUGUCAGACCUCGGGAUUUUUAUGACGAGGGUAGUGCAUCGUCGUAGGCUGAUUCUUUAACUUCGUGGCUUUUGGCCUUUAGCUGAAAAGGGGUCAGUUGGGGACUGCAUUGGAGUUUGUUUUUCUGAGUGAUUGGUCGAGUUAAAAAAUGGGAUGGUGUGUUGUAAUCCUAAGUGAUUAGCAAUCAUCCGCAUUGCUCGAUCAUUUGUCACGCAUGCUUUCUAUGUAAUAACUAAUAACCACCUUUAAGUCCACUGCGUGAAGUCACCCAGAGGAUUCAUCUUUUGAGUGCUAUCUGGUGGGUAGAGUGGGUUGGACUAUGGAAACAUUUUUCAGCAGAAUCAAGAGUGUCACCACGAUUGAGAGUUCUUUUGCGGAGUUGUUUAAGUUUUGGUUGCUUGUGCCAAAGAUACUCUCCAAUACUGGGAAGUUUGUAGUAACUACUUUUUGGUAGCAAAGAUAAAUCAUUUGUGAUGCUCACGAUUCCAAUUGUUGCGAUUGCCAGAGUCUCUUAAGGUGUUACUGUUGCAUAUGCAUUGAGAUCAACAUCUUUGAGGUCCCUGCUUUCUUGGUGGGCAGUCAAGAUUUUUGUGUCUGACUGGUGCUGUAUAUAAAUAAGGCAAUCGAUUGUCCAAGCUCAUUAUCAGAUUUCAAGGGUUUCUUUUGGUGCCUGUGUUUUGGAUUAAUAUGGUGUAGCUGAUGGCUUUUCUUGUUAGCUAUAGCACUGCAAGAGAAAAUCCCUUGGGAUGAAUUAUUGACGUUUUCAACUAUCAAAAUAUGGAAUACCUUUUGUUAGACACUUAGAUCGGUUUCAUAGGUCUUGCUCUGUAUAUAUGUCUGUAGACCUCAUAUGUGUUUGAUGCAACCAACAAGUGUUUGGUUAAUCUGUUACCGUUGGCCCUUUCACUUCUUCAUGUCUUGGGUGCACUUAGUUUUCCAUAAUAUCUGUGAACUCCUUUUCAUGGGUCCUUUUUGCGGAUUUUAAGACAGUUUCAGGCAUCAGUGGUCCUCUUUCAAAAAUGGCUGGUUUUAAUGAUUUUUGCAAAGAUAAGAUACUUGAGUUGACACCUGUAAGUCCUAAAUACAUGUUGACCUGAGUCUUGAACAUAGUCCUUGGCCAAUGGAAUUGUAUUUUUGUGGUGAAGAGUGUCCUGAACAAUGUCUCUGGUUUAAUAUUUAUCCUUGGACGCUCUCCGUGAUUCAUGCAAUUUUCUCCUACCAUAAUCUAGUUGGGUCCAUUGUUUGUAUGAUUUUCAUAACUUAACGAAGAUAUGUGCGAUGGGUGCCACAGGACUAAAAGACUAUUUUGAUAUUUAAGUUAACACAAUAAAUAAUUAAUUUUGACAGUGGAUUUAGAAGAAGAAGCCAGUGAGAACCCAGUUAAAGGGGAGAAUGGUGACCAAGAAGAAAAUGCAAUUUCAGAGCCAUACGUGGGGAUGGAAUUUGAUUCUGAAGAAGCUGCCCGGAAAUUCUAUAUUUUGGAUUUGUAGUUCGUAUAAUGCAGUGUCGACGGUCAGGAAUUGAUGGCAGAACCCUUGCCCAUCGGCUUGGGUGUAAUAAGCAGGGUUUCUCACCAAAUCAGAAAGGUUCUCAUGGACCAGACAAGAAGCCACGGCCCAGUGCACGAGAAGGUUGCAAGGCCACAAUUCUAGUGAAGAUGGAGAAGUCUGGAAAAUGGGUGGUUACAAGAUUUGUAAAGGAUCAUAAUCAUCCUUUGGUUGUAACUGCGAAUGGAUUCGGUACAAUGGUGAGUUUGCCAUUUAGUCUUGUUGCUUGUGGCUGUUGGAGUGGUGGACUUUUCAUUUGUAAUAUAUCUGCUUGUCACAAAAUGCCUGAAACUUCAUUGAUUUUUUGUGAGGAGCAAUCCAUUGGCUAGUAAAUCUUUUUUUACACGAAACACUUCAAAUCAUUCAAAACUUACAAACAUUGGCUUGUAGAUUUGCAUAUUUUCAAAUUAUAAAAGUAAGUUUAAAAUUCAAAUCUAAGAAAAAGUAAAGAAUGAUUUAAACUACCACGACGAAUGCAUGUUGUUAGAAGUAAGAAGGGUAAAUGAGUCUUUACCACUUUUAGGGUUUAUUUUGAUGUAUAUAUAUUAAACUUUAUUGAAUAAUAUGAAGUAUGUUUUCCUCACAUGGUAUCUGAGCGUAGGGCUUAACCUUAUACGACGGAGCAGCCACUCGCCGCCAUCCACUUGCCGAAAUAGUUGGCUGUUACCGCCGCUCACCGAAAUAGGGUUUCUCUCGCUUCUUCAUGCGGCUCACUCGCGCAACUCGCGCGGCUUGCGCAACUCACUCGGCUCGUGCAGCUCGCGCGGCUCAUUUGCACUACCUGCACAGCUUGAUCGCGCUCGCGCAACUUGAUCGCGCUCAUGCGAUUUGCUGGCCUACCAGGGGUUUUGACGACCCUGUGCUAGUUGGACUUGGUGGCGUAGCUAUGCCACUUCCUAUACGUGAGACGCUGUACCAUCUCUCCUUGCUUCUCUCUCUUUGUUAAAAGGUGGAAGCAGAGGUCGGUGAACAAGAGGAAAAACCCUAGAGAGAGAAGGCAGAGAGAGAGAACAGUAGCCGAGGGACUCGCUGGGUAAUAGAGAGCAGUAAUACUUGUCGUGAUGAUUCUGUGGGUGAUGAUUUUGUGGGUUAGAAUUUUCUUUUAAGUUGCUGAUUUGGCUGAUUAAUUUAUUCGAGACUUGUGAUGAAGCAAGUUGUUGCUUGGGUAUAGUGCAGUUAUUUAUUUGGUGAUUUGAAAGUUAUGGGGUAGCUUCUGUCAUUUUAUAUGGUAGCGGUAAUAUUGGGUUAUUGAAUUAUUGAGGUUGAGUUGUUUGAUGGAAGCUAAGGUCGAAGUUUGCUUAUUUUUAUUUGGAAAAUGCGCGAUCACUUGAAGAGUACAAUUGAAGUAGAUCCUGAGAAGAAUAAUAUUGUGAUGACUGAGGUGAUUUCCUUUUCGUCUAAUCGAAUUACUGAUAAGAAGCUCGCAGGUGGUGCUAACUUCCACCAAUGGAAGAAAAUCAUGAAGCUUACUUUGACAGGCAGGAAUCAACAUAGACACUUAACUGAGUUUAAGCUCAGAGAUGAUGUAACUUGGGAUGGUGUUGAUGCACGUAUUCUUGGUCAAAUGUUGAAUUCUAUGGAGAGUAAUGUAGUUGACAUGGUAACUCAUAUUGAUACAGUCAGAGAACUAUGGGAGUAUUUGAAUGUGCUGUAUUCUGGCCAAGAUAAUUUAUCACGGAUUUAUGAGUUAUCGCAGAAGUUUUAUCGAUUUGAAAGGAAGGGACGCUCUAUUACCCAGUGCUUUGCAGACUUUAAGAGAUUGUAUGAGGAGUUGAAUGCCGUUCUCCCUAUUUCAGCUAAUGUUCAACAAAUGCAACGUCAAAGGGAACAAUUGGCUGUAAUGGGAUUUUUAAGAUGUCUUGGUUCUGAAUAUGAAAAUGUUAGGUCUCAAAUUCUUGGAGGAGAGAAUAUAGCGUCACUCACAGAUAUAUUUGCUUGAGUUCUUUGAGUAUCUCGUGAGUCUUCUCAGGAUACUACAGCCCCGUUUGGUUGGACUUUCCCAAGGAGCUUUGGGCCCCGAAAGCCCAUUGGGGAAAAAAUUUUGUGUUUGGCAAAACUUUUGAAUGCUCCUUGGUGGAAUGUGGGCAUUCCACAUGCUAAAAGCCCAAUGCUGGGGUAGGGCUGCUUUCAGCUUUGGCAUUUCCAAAAUGCCUGAGAGCCACUGUUUAUUCUUCUUCCCCACCAUCUUCUUCCCCGUUCGGUUCUUCUUCCAUUGCCUAAGAGUCGGUCGAGUUUCGCAGUUGGCGGCGCUCAACCGUAAGCGAGCUACCGGGAUGCCUCGCCUGAGGUCGCGCAACCUCAAGCGAGGUGGCCUGAGGUCGAGCGACCUUGGGCAUCGCCUGGGUCGAGCGACCCAGGCGCCGCCGCCUGAGGUCGAGCAACCCAAGCGACGCCACCUGAGGCCGCGCGACCUUAGGCGGUGUCUCCUGGGUCACUCGACCUCAGGCGACGUUGCCUGAGGCCGCGUGACCUUAGGCGAUGCCCUNNNNNNNNNNNNNNNNNNNNNNNNNNNNNNNNNNNNNNNNNNNNNNNNNNNNNNNNNNNNNNNNNNNNNNNNNNNNNNNNNNNNNNNNNNNNNNNNNNNNNNNNNNNNNNNNNNNNNNNNNNNNNNNNNNNNNNNNNNNNNNNNNNNNNNNNNNNNNNNNNNNNNNNNNNNNNNNNNNNNNNNNNNNNNNNNNNNNNNNNNNNNNNNNNNNNNNNNNNNNNNNNNNNNNNNNNNNNNNNNNNNNNNNNNNNNNNNNNNNNNNNNNNNNNNNNNNNNNNNNNNNNNNNNNNNNNNNNNNNNNNNNNNNNNNNNNNNNNNNNNNNNNNNNNNNNNNNNNNNNNNNNNNNNNNNNNNNNNNNNNNNNNNNNNNNNNNNNNNNNNNNNNNNNNNNNNNNNNNNNNNNNNNNNNNNNNNNNNNNNNNNNNNNNNNNNNNNNNNNNNNNNNNNNNNNNNNNNNNNNNNNNNNNNNNNNNNNNNNNNNNNNNNNNNNNNNNNNNNNNNNNNNNNNNNNNNNNNNNNNNNNNNNNNNNNNNNNNNNNNNNNNNNNNNNNNNNNNNNNNNNNNNNNNNNNNNNNNNNNNNNNNNNNNNNNNNNNNNNNNNNNNNNNNNNNNNNNNNNNNNNNNNNNNNNNNNNNNNNNNNNNNNNNNNNNNNNNNNNNNNNNNNNNNNNNNNNNNNNNNNNNNNNNNNNNNNNNNNNNNNNNNNNNNNNNNNNNNNNNNNNNNNNNNNNNNNNNNNNNNNNNNNNNNNNNNNNNNNNNNNNNNNNNNNNNNNNNNNNNNNNNNNNNNNNNNNNNNNNNNNNNNNNNNNNNNNNNNNNNNNNNNNNNNNNNNNNNNNNNNNNNNNNNNNNNNNNNNNNNNNNNNNNNNNNNNNNNNNNNNNNNNNNNNNNNNNNNNNNNNNNNNNNNNNNNNNNNNNNNNNNNNNNNNNNNNNNNNNNNNNNNNNNNNNNNNNNNNNNNNNNNNNNNNNNNNNNNNNNNNNNNNNNNNNNNNNNNNNNNNNNNNNNNNNNNNNNNNNNNNNNNNNNNNNNNNNNNNNNNNNNNNNNNNNNNNNNNNNNNNNNNNNNNNNNNNNNNNNNNNNNNNNNNNNNNNNNNNNNNNNNNNNNNNNNNNNNNNNNNNNNNNNNNNNNNNNNNNNNNNNNNNNNNNNNNNNNNNNNNNNNNNNNNNNNNNNNNNNNNNNNNNNNNNNNNNNNNNNNNNNNNNNNNNNNNNNNNNNNNNNNNNNNNNNNNNNNNNNNNNNNNNNNNNNNNNNNNNNNNNNNNNNNNNNNNNNNNNNNNNNNNNNNNNNNNNNNNNNNNNNNNNNNNNNNNNNNNNNNNNNNNNNNNNNNNNNNNNNNNNNNNNNNNNNNNNNNNNNNNNNNNNNNNNNNNNNNNNNNNNNNNNNNNNNNNNNNNNNNNNNNNNNNNNNNNNNNNNNNNNNNNNNNNNNNNNNNNNNNNNNNNNNNNNNNNNNNNNNNNNNNNNNNNNNNNNNNNNNNNNNNNNNNNNNNNNNNNNNNNNNNNNNNNNNNNNNNNNNNNNNNNNNNNNNNNNNNNNNNNNNNNNNNNNNNNNNNNNNNNNNNNNNNNNNNNNNNNNNNNNNNNNNNNNNNNNNNNNNNNNNNNNNNNNNNNNNNNNNNNNNNNNNNNNNNNNNNNNNNNNNNNNNNNNNNNNNNNNNNNNNNNNNNNNNNNNNNNNNNNNNNNNNNNNNNNNNNNNNNNNNNNNNNNNNNNNNNNNNNNNNNNNNNNNNNNNNNNNNNNNNNNNNNNNNNNNNNNNNNNNNNNNNNNNNNNNNNNNNNNNNNNNNNNNNNNNNNNNNNNNNNNNNNNNNNNNNNNNNNNNNNNNNNNNNNNNNNNNNNNNNNNNNNNNNNNNNNNNNNNNNNNNNNNNNNNNNNNNNNNNNNNNNNNNNNNNNNNNNNNNNNNNNNNNNNNNNNNNNNNNNNNNNNNNNNNNNNNNNNNNNNNNNNNNNNNNNNNNNNNNNNNNNNNNNNNNNNNNNNNNNNNNNNNNNNNNNNNNNNNNNNNNNNNNNNNNNNNNNNNNNNNNNNNNNNNNNNNNNNNNNNNNNNNNNNNNNNNNNNNNNNNNNNNNNNNNNNNNNNNNNNNNNNNNNNNNNNNNNNNNNNNNNNNNNNNNNNNNNNNNNNNNNNNNNNNNNNNNNNNNNNNNNNNNNNNNNNNNNNNNNNNNNNNNNNNNNNNNNNNNNNNNNNNNNNNNNNNNNNNNNNNNNNNNNNNNNNNNNNNNNNNNNNNNNNNNNNNNNNNNNNNNNNNNNNNNNNNNNNNNNNNNNNNNUAUGUACUUGAAGAUGCUUCUUCAGUUGCUUGCACAAGUGUAGUGUCCCCACAUCAAAUCCAUUGUCGUCUUAGUCAUCCUCUCUACAUAGUCUUCAAAAGUGGGAUUCUAGUUUUCCAUCUCUUUCUUAGUCUAGAGUGCGAGUCGUACCAACUUGUCAAAUUACAUCGUGUUAGUUACACACCUCGAGUCAUUAAAUGAUCAGCAUCUCCUUUUUUAUUAGUUCAUUCAUAUAUUUGGGGUCCAUGUCAUGUGGUUUCCCAAUUCGGGUUUCAGAUAUUUUGUUACUUUUGUUGAUAACUAUUCCAGAGCUACUUGGUUAUAUUUAAUGAAAGAUCAUUCAGAAUUAUUCUCUAUUUUUUGUGCAUUUAUAUCUAAAUUUUAUACUCAAUUUGGCAUGCAUGUUAAAGUUCUGCAUUCUGAUAAUGCUAAGGAGUACUUUUCCACAUCUUUUUUUUUGAUUUUAUGACUCAACAUGGUAUGAUCCAUGAAUCUUCCUGUCCUGAUACUCCACAACAGAAUGAUGUUGCUGAACGGAAGAAUAGGCAUUUAUUGGAAGUUACUAGAUCCAUGUUAUUUGAGAUGAAGGUCCCGAAAACCUUUUGGUCUGUUGCUAUUCUAACUGCAUGUUGGUGUUGCUGAACGGAAGAAUAGGCAUUUAUUGGAAGUUACUAGAUCCAUGUUACUUGAGAUAAAGGUCUUGAAAACCUUUUGGUUUGUUGCUAUUCUAACUGCAUGUUAUCUCAUUAAUUGCAUGCCUUCUUCUGUUCUGCAAGGUGGUAUUCCUUUUUUCACCUUGUUUCCUAGUGAACCACUAUUUGUCCUACCACCCCGUAUAUUUGGUUGUGUCUGUUUUGUUCAUGAUCAUCGACCUAGAGUGUUUUGUUCAUGAUCAUCGACCUAGAGUAUCCAAACUUGAUCCCAUGGGUUAUUCCCGCACUCAAAAGAGAUAUCGUUGUUAUUCCAAAUGUAUAUUUGGUUGUGUCUGUUUUGUUCAUGAUCAUCGACCUAGAGUAUCCAAACUUGAUCCCAUGGGUUAUUCCCACACUCAAAAGAGAUAUCAUUGUUAUUCUCCAUUACUGAAAAAAUAUUUUGUAACAGCUGGUUUCAUUUUUUGAAUCCACUCCUUAUCAUAAUGUUCCAAUUGAUGUGUCUGAAUUGGAUGAAGACUUGUGUGUAACCACCAUUCGGUCUAUUAUUCCAAAUGUAUCACCAGUAUCUACGAAGAAAUCACCUCCUCUCCAGGUUUAUAUUUGACGUCCUCGUGUUGCUACUACUGCUCCCCCCGCUCCUCCUGUCACUACUACGUCGUCUUCUACUCCAGAUCCGCCAUUAGCUUACCCUCCUCUUGUAUCUGAUCUUGAUCUUCAUAUUGCUCAUCACAAAGGUACACGCACUUGUACUCAAUAUUCUAUUGUAAAUUUUAUAUCUCACUCUUCUGUGUCUCCUACUUUUCGAGCAUUUUUAACUACAGUUGAACAAUAUCCUAUCCCCAAGUCUGUUGCCAAGGCAUUACAAAGUUCUAGCCGGAGGACAGCAAUGGAAGAAGAAUUAAAGGCUAUUGAGAUUAAUUAAACUUGGAACUUAGUACCACUUCCUUUAGGCAAAACUACUAUUGGUUGUCAAUGGGUUUAUGCUGUAAAAGUCAACCCCGUUAGUUCUCUUGCUCGUUUAAAAGCAAAACUUAUUGCCAAAGGGUAUGCUCAGGUGUAUGGGGUUAACUAUCUAGACAUAUUUUCUCCUGUUGCCAAACCUACUUCUAUUCGUAUUUUGAUCUCUCUUGCUGCAACGUAUAACUAGUCUUUAUUUCAACUUGAUGUUAAAAAUGUUUUUUUUUGCAUGGCACUCUUCAUGAGGAAGUUUAUAUGGAGCAACCUCCAAGGUUUUUUGCUCAAGGGGAGUCUAGACUUGUUUGCAAAUUAGAAAAGUCUUAUAUGGUUUGAAACANNNNNNNNNNNNNNNNNNNNNNNNNNNNNNNNNNNNNNNNNNNNNNNNNNNNNNNNNNNNNNNNNNNNNNNNNNNNNNNNNNNNNNNNNNNNNNNNNNNNNNNNNNNNNNNNNNNNNNNNNNNNNNNNNNNNNNNNNNNNNNNNNNNNNNNNNNNNNNNNNNNNNNNNNNNNNNNNNNNNNNNNNNNNNNNNNNNNNNNNNNNNNNNNNNNNNNNNNNNNNNNNNNNNNNNNNNNNNNNNNNNNNNNNNNNNNNNNNNNNNNNNNNNNNNNNNNNNNNNNNNNNNNNNNNNNNNNNNNNNNNNNNNNNNNNNNNNNNNNNNNNNNNNNNNNNNNNNNNNNNNNNNNNNNNNNNNNNNNNAGGUUAAAUUAGUUGCCGAUGAGGAGAAAUUCUUAAUAAUCCCGAGAGAUAUAGAAGACUGGUAGGUAAGCUGAAUUAUCUUACAGUUACUCGACCAGAUAUUGCUUUUCCUGUUAGUGUAGUAAGCCAGUUUUUGUCUUCCUCGUACAUCUCACUUGGAUGCAGUUGUUCGAAUAUUGAGGUAUUUGAAGAAAGCUCCGGAAAAAUGAAUUAUCUACCAAAACCAUAAUCAUAUCAGGGUUGAAGGUUUUUCCGAUGCUAAUUGGGCUGGGUCUCCAGAUGAUAGAAGAUCAACUACCGGGUAUUGUACCUUAGUCGGAGGAAAUAUGGUAUCAUGGAAAAGUAAGAAACAAAGUGUUGUUGCCCGCUCUAGUGCUGAGUCAGAAUAUAGAGCCAUGGCACAAGUGACAUGUGAAUUAGUGUGGAUUCGACAGUUAUUGACUAAAUUAGGCUUUAAAGAUUUAGUACCCAUGACUCUAUAGUGCGAUAAUAAAGCUACAGUGCAUAUAGCUUCCAACCCUAUGUUUCAUGAGAGAACAAAACACAUUGAAGUUGAUUGUCAUUUUAUCCGAGAGAAGUUGCAAAAUGGAGUAAUUCUUCCCAGUCAUGUUCGAACCAGCGAACAACUUGCAGACAUCUUCACUAAAUCCUUGGGUAAUGGGAGGAUAGAACAUAUUUGUAACAAGCUGGGCAUGAUUAAUAUUUAUGCUCCAGCUUGAGGGGGAGUGUUAGAAGUAAGAAAGAUAAAUAAGUCUUUACCACUUUUAGAGUUUAUUUUGAUAUAUAUAUCACUGGUCCGGAAACAAACAAGGGCACCGAAAGGGAAUUAUUCGAACACUAUAAACAGUAACUGUACUGUGAACAGUACUUUCCCUAGCCUAGUGCUACAGUAAAAGUGAACAGUGAUUUGCUACAGUGAAAAUGUACGGACUCAACGGUCUCGUCCGUCUCGAGCAUUGUAGCUGCAAACUGAAUCAUCUGAGUUUUCUUCUAGGAGAUGUGCCUCGUAUUUUUGUUCAAGGGCUUCAAGGUCUUCUGGUGAGAGAAUUUGAUUCAGUCUUCGUGAUGAGGAUGCUUGUUCAUGAGCCCAAUGUGAUGCUUCUUCUUCAGCCCAGUUUGUAUCUUCAUCUUGCUGAAGGUCAAUAAUUCUUGGCUGAGGCCAGUUGGAUGGUUCUGCAUAAAAAGAUGUGUCCAUGCUUUGGAAUUGUUCGUAGGGAUCUUGGGACAGAGGUCCUCCAAAGCGUGCAUAGGGGUCUUAGGUGGAUUGGACAAUGUCAUCUUCGAUUGUCAUUUCAGGCUCUUGGGACAAUGAGGCUUGUCUGUAUUGUCCGAGUGCUUCCUUAGCUUCUGGUGCUAGGUCAUAAUGAUCCCACGUAGUGGGUGCAUUAUUCCAAAUAUCUUCGGGAAUGGUCUUGUUUUCCUGGCAUAGGAUUCUCUGGAGUUCUCGAUAUUCAUGUUCACAAAUUCGAACAGAUCUAGGAUAAGAUUUGUAAAUCCGGGAUUCUCGGCUGUUCAGGUUGGGUUUAUAAGAUGUAGUUCCUAUUUCCAGUGGUGCAUGAAGAAUACUACCAUUAUUUCUGCAAAAAUUCCAAGGGCGUCGGAAAAAUAGGAUGGUAUGGACUUCAGGAUCUGGUGUCAUGGAUCUCAGUUCUUUUUCCAAGUCUUGUUUCCAACAUGUAGGAUGAUAGAACCAAUUUAGAAAUUCUAAAAGAUUUCUAUCACAUUCUUUUUCAAUGUUUCUUCCGAACAAGAAUAUCCCUUGUGAGGUUAGCAAUGAAUCUUCUGGUUGGGAUUUCAAAGGCUAUUAGAUACUUAUUGGGUUAAGUACCAUAAUAACGUUUUGAGCUGUUCAGGAAAUCGUCUUCUUUCUNNNNNNNNNNNNNNNNNNNNNNNNNNNNNNNNNNNNNNNNNNNNNNNNNNNNNNNNNNNNNNNNNNNNNNNNNNNNNNNNNNNNNNNNNNNNNNNNNNNNNNNNNNNNNNNNNNNNNNNNNNNNNNNNNNNNNNNNNNNNNNNNNNNNNNNNNNNNNNNNNNNNNNNNNNNNNNNNNNNNNNNNNNNNNNNNNNNNNNNNNNNNNNNNNNNNNNNNNNNNNNNNNNNNNNNNNNNNNNNNNNNNNNNNNNNNNNNNNNNNNNNNNNNNNNNNNNNNNNNNNNNNNNNNNNNNNNNNNNNNNNNNNNNNNNNNNNNNNNNNNNNNNNNNNNNNNNNNNNNNNNNNNNNNNNNNNNNNNNNNNNNNNNNNNNNNNNNNNNNNNNNNNNNNNNNNNNNNNNNNNNNNNNNNNNNNNNNNNNNNNNNNNNNNNNNNNNNNNNNNNNNNNNNNNNNNNNNNNNNNNNNNNNNNNNNNNNNNNNNNNNNNNNNNNNNNNNNNNNNNNNNNNNNNNNNNNNNNNNNNNNNNNNNNNNNNNNNNNNNNNNNNNNNNNNNNNNNNNNNNNNNNNNNNNNNNNNNNNNNNNNNNNNNNNNNNNNNNNNNNNNNNNNNNNNNNNNNNNNNNNNNNNNNNNNNNAGAAUUCUCUUGGCCUGUUGAUGGGUAUUUGUAAUGGGGGGAGAUUCUACAUAAUCUCCUUAAGUUCUGCACUGCUUUGGUCUGAGUUUUUCCCCGGGUGGGGAAUUCUUCUUCAGCAUGGAUUGCAAAGGGAUCAGAAGUUUGCAAUAUUUGGGACAAAGACCCUGAGAUAAUUGAUUAUCCGAGAAAUUGCUGAACUUGCUUUGUUGUGAAAUUGUCCUGAGGAAACUUCAAUAAUUCUUGGGCUAUAUGCGGCCCUGGGUAGUAUGUACCUUUGUUAAGGUGCAUACCAAGAAAUUCAAUUUCUGUCUGGGCAAUAUUCAUCUUCCUUUGGGAAAGCAUAAUACCAUGUUUUUUUAUGAUUUCUGCAAACUGCUCAAGAAGUUGACAGUGUGACUGCUCAUCAGGACUGUAGAGCAGGAUAUCAUCAAUGUAUACUGCUGCACUCGAUAGAAUUGGUUGGAAGAUGCGACACAUGGCCUUUUGGAAAAGGGAUGGUGCUACCUUUAAGCCAAAAGGAAGAACUUUCCAUUGAAAGUGUUGGUUCGGGAUACAAAAUCCUGUUUUGGAUCUGUCUUCAGGAUGGAUGCCCAAUUGCCAAAAUCCGGCUUUGAGGUCGAAUUUGGAAUAGAUGUGGGCCUUGGUUAAACCACUGAUGAUAGUUAAUUACCAAUCUCAUUUUUCCUCUGUUUUGCUCGGCACGUUUAUUGACAUAAAAGGCUUCACAAGCCCAUUGUGAGUCAGAAACUUCAAUAAGUCCUUGUUGUAAAAGUUUCGAGCAUUCCCUUUGAGCUAGAACCAAAUGUUCUGGCUUCAUUCCCAUGUGGCUUGCCUUGGUUGGGUUUAUGUCUUCAUUUUUCUUAAAAGGAAGCCUAACAAAGAACUCUGGGUUUUUCCAUAAAGGAUGAGGGCACUUUUGAGCAAAUUCUGCAUGAGAUUCUGAACAAGAUUCCAAUAACUUUUGCAUAAUCGGAUCUAGUAGACUCAUUUGAAUGGAAAAUAGUCUCUAGAUAUUAACAAACUCAGAGAAUUGAUUUUUAUAUCUAAGACAUUUUCCAGGAAUAAUACGAAGCUGGGAGACUUGAGUCAUGAUGUCCCACCCAAUUAUCAGGUCUUUAUUGGGAAGGUUAGAUCCAAAAAAUUUUGCAGUUAUGGAGCACUGCGGGAAGAACUGGACAGUUAUAGGAGUGGUUCUGACAUUUGUGGAGAAAGUAUCUCCGGACACAGAGUUGAAGUAUCGGGUGUAGGGAGUCCAGAAUUCUUCAGGGAGAAUUUUGGUGUCUAGAAUAGAACAACUUGCUCCUGUGUCAAUGAGAGCAAUGACAGUGAUCGGUUUGGCAAACUUUGAGGUGAGGAUUUUAACUGGGAAGUGUGGACAAUGGGUGUGACUUGAAAAUAUGUCAGAGUUUGGUUCUGGGGAUGAUGGUGAUAUAUGGAAAAUAUCUUCAGAUUCUGAGUCUGACCCAGUUUCACUGGAAGUUUGGUAGGAGGGAAUGGCACAAAGAGUUUGUUCAGAUGGUUCUUCAUCAACAGAGAACAAGGAUUCAAUAUCAUCAUUUUCAAGAGAAAUACCUAUUUCGCUUUCAAUAUGAUGGAUGAGAUGAUUCUGACAUUUUCUCGCUUGAGGACAACUUUUGGCGAAAUGUCCUUUUUGAUUGCAAAUGUAGCAACGAUUUGAUUUUUUGUGGCUUGUGCGAUCCUUUCUUUUGCGUAGGUAUCGCCAUUUCUUCUUUUUCCGGAAAUGCUUGGAGCUAUGUUUGGAUUUCUUUAUCCAAAAUUUCUUGUAGUGCUUCUUCUUGCGGGAGUACUUGCCACAUGUUCCAUCACAGUCUUUUUUGGAGCAUUUAAUUUUCAACUCUUGUCGGGAGCAGGUUGAUUCUAGGCGUUUGUCAUCUGUGAUGUAUGUUUGCACCAUCUUGCGCUUUAAGCAUAAUUCUUCUAGGCAUAGAUGGAUUUCCUGCUGUAUUUCUCCCAAGGGAAUUUCUUGUACCUGCCUUUGUUUUCCAAAAAAUGAUCUUUCAACCAUCUGGGAUAGUUCUUUCGAAAUGGAAGUAAGGAAAACAUGCUUCAGAUUUGGUUCUGCUCCAAUCUGAUAAAAAGUUUGAAGCAUUAACUUAAAAUGCUUAUCAAGAUGUUUCUUCUGGAGGGAGCAGCAUCGUCUUUCGAAGAACUCUCCUUUUUUUAUCUCUAUGAGAUCACCAGGUUUUCCCACAAAGACAUGAUAUAAGAGAGUAAUCGCAUGGCUGAAAGUGGGUGACAUUAGAAAAUGGAUCUGAUCUUGUUCUGAAAGGGAUUGCCACCAGUGCUUCAGACUUCCUGUGAAUCUUGUAACAAAGUUGUACAAUACAUCAUUCAUAUCAUGGUUGGUGAUAGACUGCGUAUUCAUCCAAGUGUGAAAUUCUUCAAGCCUUAUCGGCCAUUUUUGAUAAGGAAUAUCAUCAAUAGUGAAGAAUUGUUUUGAUGCAGUAGACACCUGAUGAGUAGGCUUGCUUGUCUAACCCAUUUCAGGGUUAUAAUAAUUUGAUUCCAUAUCAUCGCUUAGAGAGUCAUCCAUGAAUAUUGAUGAAGUAAUUGGUGCAAUAGGGAGGGUAUCGACUGUAGGAAUUGAGAAGGAUGAAGAAGAAGAGGAAAGGGAUACUGAAGAUUCUGUUUCAGUAUCCUGAGAAGUUUUCUUUAUUGAGAGCAAAGUCUGGUUUCUCUGAGGAUCAGGUUGUUCAGGCUGUUAGAUAACAGAGUCAGGUUCCUGGGUGCCUAAAUCCUUUAGAAAAAUUUCUAAUGGAUUUGAUAGCAUCAUCUAUUCUGGCCUUUCUCUUAUAAUAAUGGAACUUGAUCCUGUAGGUGGUGUUUUUUCUUUUCCCUUUUCUUUCUGUAGGGUUUUGAGGCGAUUUCGCAGGUCUGCCAUAUCUGGUUCUCUUUUGUAAGGAUCUGUUGGGAUAGUGGCGAAAAUGGAUGUUUUCGGUGGUGGAGGUAAAUACCCAGUUCUAACAGGAUGUGCUAAAGGAUCAAAUGGUCUGAACCUUCCUUCUUCAAGAAGCUGGAUUUGGUUUUUGAGUUUUUCUAUUUCUGGCUUUGGAUUUUCAAGAUAAUGGUACCCAAGAUGUUGUCCUGACUCCAAGGCGUGAAGCCUUUUCUGGAAUUCAGAGAGUAUCUUUUUGGUACUUUCAUCAUACCUUCGGAGAUCUUGUUGCACAUUUCCAAUUUUGGAGUCAAUUGCCUUGAAGGCAUUAUUUUGUGCUAACAGAGUCUCCGAUUGCCAGUUUAGAACGGCUUCAGCAGCAGAGGUUUUUUUCUGUCUUCCAUGUUCGUCUACAUCAGUGGGAGUAGAAACUUUAGGAACAUGUCUGUAUCUUCCUUGAGGAUCAAUAAACUCUUCUGCAGCCGAGAACGAGAGUUUAGAACCUUCCUUGACCAAGGGAGGAAAGUCAGCAUCCUGGAACAUAGCAAUAGAAGAAGUAGGUGGUACUUCUUCUGGAACUUCGAAGGGGUAAGAAUGCUUCUUGGCCCACUUAAGGAUUGGCCUAUAGAACAGAGAAAGAGUUUGCUUUUUGUGAGGAGGAGAUGGUGGUGGUGUUUUUGGUGGAUCUAGUGAGGUUUGGAAUGUAGUACUAGACUCUGGUGAUGGCUGUGGUGUAUAAGAAACCAGGAAUUGGUAUUUGUCGCUUUCACCAAGAGUAUCGAUGGAUGAAUCUCCAUCUAAGUACCUUUGACACAUCUUAUCCUUUGGCCUUUUCCGUCGAGGUGGAGGUUUUUCAAACGGGUUUACCUCGUCAGGAGAAUUUAUACAGGAGGAAUAUGGGCAGAAAGGAUCCCAAAAACAAUGACCAUAAUUGUCUUUAUAGUAAUGAACAGGAUGUCCAUCACCAUCAAAGUGUCGAACAUGCUUUUUUGGAUCUGGCUCGGAAAUGGAUGGAGGAACACAUGGUUCAAUCAUGAGUAGGGUUUGGAAAAUAGAAGGACUUUCUUCCUUUUCUUUGCCAAAUUUGAUGGAAACCGUUCCAUCUUUUUUCCUUACGAACUCCGAGUCCGUAGAUUGGAUAGGCUUGUUGUGCUGAUGUAGCUUCUCAUAGUUGGUAACCCAGGUCUCUGGAAGAAGCUUGGCUAACUUCUCCUUUGGAAUCUGUCUGGGAACAUGGAUACAGGAUGCUUGGUCAUUUUGCAUGGAGAUGAACAAGGCAUCUUCAUUACCAUUGUUGAAGUUAAGAUCAAGCGCAUGGUUCUGCACUCGAUAAACCAUCUGGUAAUGUAAUGUUGCAGCUACAGAGUCAGCAAUUUGAGGGGCUCCAGUGAGUUGAAGUUGAACUUUCAUAAAAGAAAGUAACUGGGGAUCUGAAAGGGCUAUGUUGAAGUUGGGGUAUAGAGUGACAAAGACUGUUCCUGCAUUCAAAGUAGUUUGAACAGUACCGAUGCAAGCAUGCUGAUAUUGUAAAAACCUGGUAUCUAGUAAUGCUAUUCUUGCCACAACCGGCAAACCCUUUCGACCAUGGAACGUGAGAGCAAGACGAACAGCUCCNNNNNNNNNNNNNNNNNNNNNNNNNNNNNNNNNNNNNNNNNNNNNNNNNNNNNNNNNNNNNNNNNNNNNNNNNNNNNNNNNNNNNNNNNNNNNNNNNNNNNNNNNNNNNNNNNNNNNNNNNNNNNNNNNNNNNNNNNNNNNNNNNNNNNNNNNNNNNNNNNNNNNNNNNNNNNNNNNNNNNNNNNNNNNNNNNNNNNNNNNNNNNNNNNNNNNNNNNNNNNNNNNNNNNNNNNNNNNNNNNNNNNNNNNNNNNNNNNNNNNNNNNNNNNNNNNNNNNNNGUAGAGAUAAUCUAUCUUAGAAGCAUUAGAAACACGAAAUUCUGGAGGUGUUGAAGAUGAAGCUAAAGGUGCCAGAGUAACCGGUGCUUCAAGGGUUUCGGGUUCUGUAGACAUUUUGAGGGAAGAUCUUCUCAGAUCUGGAUUCACCUGCCAAGCGCAUGGAAUGGAUUUAUUAAAAACGAUUCCAUCCUGGCAUCUCUGAGUGUCUCUAGGCUCUGAACUAAAAGGCUGAGGGGUUUUUUGCUAACAGGCUGUCCCUGAAGGGCUAGGUUCGCCCAUGUGGGAUGCAUACCUGCAAGAAAGUUUAAUAUAUAUAUAUAUAUAUAUAUAUAUAUAUUAAACUUUAUUGAAUAAUAUGAAGUACGUUUUCCUCACACGUCUUUAUCACCAAAAGCCGAUGACUCGUGAUUUCAAGUUCCAUCUCAUACUCCUUAAUAUUGCUUCGUGGCUGUUCAAAUGGCACUACUCUGGUCGAACAACAUUUCAUGGUUAGUCUUUUUGCUUGUUCAUGUCAUUCAGUUUCGAAUAGAAGAUCUAUGGUGGUUACAGAUUAAUCCGUUCAUAGUUUUAAGUAGUUGAGCUGUCAUGGGUAACAUGCCAGUAGAUAAUUUCUGAUGAUGGGGCGAAUCAUAGUCAUGAUAUCGUGCUUGUCUCGAUGACUGCAGGAGAUCCUUUUUGCAGAGAAGCUUUUAGCUUUUCGAAUAAUGUAGAGUCGGGGCCAUCAAAGAGGGAAACAGAUGCUCUAAACUACUAGAAAAUGAUGCUUUAUUAGAUGGAUAUACGCACUUUGUAUUCCAAUGCUUCGUGGAGAAUUGUUCAGGAACGCAUUCCUACGGGACGCCCCUCAGGGGAUUACCAGGGACAGCCCUCACAGGUGGCCACACUUCCUAGCUUUCCGCACAAGCAACUCAACCAUCUGGAGAAUUGGGGGUCCCCGGUUGAGAGCACAGGACCCAAAUAACAGUAAAUUCAAGCUCGAGCUAGAGCAGCUGGCCAUAGCUUUUGUUCUUCCCAAUUGAAUAAACUAGGGGUGAUCGGUUCCCGGUUCGGUCCGGUUCUACCUUGGAACCGGGAACCGGACCGGGAGCACCGGUUCCCAAAAUUGCGAACCGUGGACCGGACCGUUUGGUCCUAGGACCGGGAACCGGACCCACCAUCGGUUCCGGUCCGGUCCGGUCCGGUCCAACAAAAUCGGCUCUACUUUUUUGCACUAAAGAGUGACCGCGCUCCUGACCGAUUAAUCCAAUUCAGUUCUCGAGCAAUUCAACAAAACUAAUCACACAUGUUUCCAUGUGCAAAAUAUUCAAAUGUGAUUCACACUUCGUGUGUUUCAUACUUAACUUUAACCAUGAAAGCCGUGAAUAAUUUGGCUAAAAGUUAUGCUUAGCUUAGAUUUUAUAGACAAUCUAUGCUCUUUAAAUGUUUAGUCAAUGUGGGACUCUUGGAGGCUUGAAGUGCCUUGUGGGUCUCUUGGAACCUUAGUCCACAUCAAGUAGAAGAUGAAACUGAUAGAAAAUGAGAAAGAAAAUUGACAAAAACUGAGAAGGAAUUGGAGGAAUUUUCUGUAUUGUGUAUUGCUGUGUUUGUACAUGUAUUGCACACCUAUUAAUAAUACAAGAAAAGAGUACGAUAGGAAAGAAUAUACAAAAUAUGUUGUUUCCUAUACUACUGUCCUAAUAUCCAAUCUCAUGGAUUCAUAGAAUCAAUUAACCGUAUUUAGAUAAUUAGAAUAAAAAAACAAAUCAUAUUUCCAACAGAAACUAAUAAGGAGAUUUUUUUUCUAUAAAUAAAAGAGUAAUAAAAAUAGUUUUAAUGGUCUCUUGGCCACAUAAGAUGAUGCUACCUCAAAUUGCAAUUUUAGUUGCAAUAAGUUAUCAUGUUUAUAUAUUUUAUUAAUUCUAUGUAUAUAAAUUAUAUAUAAAAAAAAUUUGUUUCGGUCCGGUCGGUCCGGUUCGGUCCGGUUCCCACCUUGGAACCGAGAAACGGACCGACCGGCCACCGGUUCCAAGAUUAGGAACCGGGAACCGGACCGCCGACCAUGGGAACCGCCCAAAACCGGCCGGUUCGGUCUGGUCCGGCCGGUUCUUGGUUCGAGCGGUUCCCGUUGCACACCCCUAGAAUAAACCUUGUCUGGAUAUGCAUCGUGCUAGUCGUAAAAUCAAAAGAUUCUUCUCCCUUAAUUCUAACUGAAGAAAGCUUAAAACCCGGUUCAUUCCUCAAAAUAACUUACAUUUGCCACCCCACCCGAUGAGAUUAGAUAUCAAGAAUUUGACUUACGAUCUUUUACGCUUGAUGAUGCUAGUGCUAUUGAAGGAAUUGACUCUUAUAUGUCCAUCACUUGAAAUAUCUUUGCCUCAUUAAAUUAGGCGGUCUAGCCUUUUGCAAUAUCUUCAAUUUGGGCAUUAAUAUCUCGGACAAUUACUGAUGUAGGGACAAAAAUGCACAUUUGAACGGAUAAUGGUUAUCAUCAUCAAAGAAGUCUUGCGUUAGAAUAGAGUAUAAUAUGGAGAAACUAAUAUAUCAUAAUUAACUUAUAAUUUAUUGGUCAACUGAAUAUGUUGAUUGAUUCGGAUUUAAGUUUAUUUUUAUGAUCUUAUCAGGUAAAGGAAUUCUUGAAUUUGCGUUGAUCCCGACGAUAGCCAUGGAAUGAAAUAUAGAGAUGUCAGUGGAUCCAAGGAGGACUAAUUCGAGGUAACCGUUGAUGUCUCAUCAGACUCCUGGGUGGAUGGAAAUUUAACUUCUGUCUGGUAAUAAACCUGUACUUUCGUCAGACAAGAACGUUUACUUUCCGGAUGAUUAUGACCCUCCAACUACCCGAGUCUUCUGCUUCCUUAGCGGGAUAUUUAUGACGCUCCAACUACCCGAGUCUUCUGCUUCCUUAGCGGGUCUACGUCAAUGUCAAACGCUAAAUUGGAGGACCCCUCACCUUUUGAAGUCAUUGGAGUUAACAUCAGUAACAUUAGCGCGGAAGCUACCGGAUCGUGGAAUUAACGUGAAACGCGAAACUACAAAGAAAAUGAAUGAGGAAUAAUAAAAGCUGUUAAAGAUUUACUUAGUUUAGUAUCGAGUGUUGGUACUUACAUCUAUAGAAAGAGCCAAUAAUAAAUAAUUCACUAAUAAUCGAAGAAUUCAAAUUAUAAUCGAUCACAUAUUCGUGUAAUUCACACACUUAGAUUAAACUCAAACUUAAGGUAUUUGUAAAUAUACAGCUCCAAUUGAUAUAAUACUCUCACGGCACAAAUUCACAUGCGUAGCUCCGAGCACUACGCUUUCUAAAUUCAUUUCAAUUAAUUAAGGAUAUUUUGUUUCACAAAAGAGUGGAGCACAAUAAAUGGAAAAGAGCAUGGGAGAGAGAUAUUUAGAAGGCCUAUCAAACGAAUUUUUGCUUCGGGAAUAUAAAUUUUGUGUGUUAUUGAACGCAUAUCUUUACUUAGAAAUUAGUUCAAGGAAUAGAAAUAAAAAAAAAUUAUGCCCAACAAAUAAUUAUUCCAAAAAAUAGAAUAGUUAUCAGUCACGCCCUAAACUCUCUUCCUUCUCGUGUGGCUACACUUUGCUAAAGGAACCAUCUCCAUGCUUCUCAAAGAAAGAAGCCCCUAGCAACCAUUCACACGAUGAGGAACUCACUAGCUAGCUCAAGAGAGGCCAAAGUAAAAUGACCUAAUACCUUAAAAAACCUCCAAUUCUAGCUUUGUCCCAAUUUUAAUUCCUAAACUCCAGGUCGAAUCUCAAUUCUACUCUAAUUUUUUUUUUUUGUUUCAUAAAAAACCCUCAACUUUAGGUUUAAUACCAAUCUACCCUUCGUCUCAUAAAAAUUUCCAAUUUCAAAUUUACUCAAUUUUUAUCUCAUAAAAUAUCACAAACUUUUACUUGAGUUCAAAUUUGCCUCCAUUAACCCUCCAUCCAAAUCGCCCUUUGUGAUUUUGUGCUCGGUCUUCGAUCUCGUCUUUGGAAAUGUUCCAUCUCUUGUAGUCAGAGAGCUCAUGCUCGGGACGCUUGGACAACUUGUGCUUGGAAGUUUCCCAUCUCUCGGUUGUCAAUGAGAUUUUUUUUUAUGGAGGGUUGAUGUGGGUAGAUUUGUAAUUCAAGUAAAAAUUUUAGAGUAAAAUUAAGACAAUAUCUAAAGUUGUGGAUUUUUCAUAAUACAAAAAAAAAAAAAAGUUCAAGAUAGGUUUAGGACAAGAUCUAAAGUUGAGAGUUCUUUAUGACACAGAAAAAGUUUAAGGUAGAAUUAAGACUAAUCUAAAAUUAGAGUUUUUUCAUGAAACAACCGGUAAAAUUGGGAUAAAAAGUUAAAGUUGAAAGUUUUUAGGGUUUUAGGCCAAGUAAAACUCUAUAUUUUAUUUUAUUUAUUGUCUUCUCUCAUGAGACCUUUUCACCCCACAAUAGAUAUAAUAUUAGAAUAAAGCGAACCCCUUUUGCCUUGUAGUGGCAGAGGACAUCUUCCCCCUCAUUCGUUCAACCUUUUGCAAAGGUAAAUCCUUGGAUAAUUAUCCAAUCAAUACAGUUCCGUAAAUGACUCCAACUCGAAAUGCAAUUUAAUACUUAUACUACUAUUCUCCAAGUUCAAAUUAGGAAUGGGCCAGCGCUUAAACUUAUCGGUAGGGUCACUUGACUUUGGUUGACUUGCCAGAGAGUCUUGGAAUCAUGGCUUGCUCUGACAUGUGAAACAAAUGCACAUUUCGGGUGGCUGGACUCGAUGCUGAUGGUUCAUGAACGAGCCAACUUCUGAUCAAGACUCCAUCUGCAUACUCAAACAACAUAGAUGACCAAACUUGAGUGACUGACGUCCCGCACAUCUGAGAGGACUGAGCUUCUUGAUCUAUCAUUCAUUACUUCAGCCAUUCUAACACAUAUAAGAGGACAAAUGAGAAAAAAGAAAGAAGAACAAUGAAGUAAUUGGACUUUUACAACCAAUUAAUGCAGGGCAAGUCGUAUCUUUCCAUGACUGUUUCGAAGACAAGCCGACAAGAAAGAUAUUUUGCAUGGUUUUGUCAAUGCUUGUGUAGUUCAGGUUCAGCUAUACAUACCUCAGGAUGCUGUUAAAGUAAUAUAAUGCAAAUUUUUGUGCAGACACUUACAGCCCAAGUCAUGGCCUCUUCAGUAGUUUCAGAUAAACCUCGAUCUAAAGUUGCUUCCUUUAAGUUACUGCCCUACAUCAGUACAAUCACAAACUUCGUUUUCGCCGUAUCUCUUGUUCCAGCUUUUUCUUCAACAGCUACUUUCAGUGCUCAAGCGAGCAAUGGAACUGCGAAAGGAGAGGAAGCGCGUGCUUUGCUGGAGUGGAAAUCUGGUCUGGACAAUUAUAGUCAAGCUCUUUUAUCUUCAUGGCAAGGGGACGACCCUUGCAUAUGGAGAGGGAUUGGGUGCGAUGGCUCAGGAAGUGUCUCGGGGCUUAAUCUCACGGACACAGGUUUGCAAGGUUCGCUCAGCAAACUUACCUUCACUGCUCUGUCAAAUCUAGUUAGCCUCGAUCUCUCGGCAAACUCGCUCUACGGUCACAUUCCUUCAUCCAUCGGUAACCUCUCUAAGUUGUCCACUCUGUCUAUCUUUAACAACUCGCUCUCUGGCACAAUCCCUCUUGAAAUAGGCAAGUUGAGCAGGCUAAGUAUUCUUUACCUUGACGGGAAUCGUCUACAUGGAACUAUCCCUGAAGAAAUAGGAAUGCUGCACUCUCUUUUGAACCUCACCUUGUAUGACAAUCAUCUCGCAGGUCAGAUUCCUACUUCUAUGGCAAACUUGAGCAACUUAACAGCUCUUUCCUUGGGCAAAAACAAUCUCGUAGGGUCUGUUCCUCGAGAAAUGUACACCCUAAGUUCUCUUUCCUUCUUUUCUCUCCAAAUGAACAAAUUAACCGGUUCCAUUCCUUCGUCUAUAGGAAAUCUGAGUAGUCUAAAAGUCCUUCUUUUCGGACGCAAUCAUCUUGCCGGUCCAGUUCCCCAGGAAAUAGGAAGGUUGAAAUCUCUGGCAAAGCUCACUCUGUCUUCUAACACUUUCAGUGGUCCAAUUCCUGUGUCUAUUGGAAACUUGACUGCCCUGACUUUAUUAGACCUCACUUCGAACAGUCUUUCCAGCUCCAUUCCUGAAGAAUUUGGAACUUUGAGACAUCUGAAGGAACUUCGCCUGUCAGAAAAUUGUCUCGACGGGUUAAUCCCGAGAUCAAUUGGAAAAUUGGUCAGCUUGAGUGUACUGAGUUUGCACUAUAACCAUCUUUCUGGCUUCAUCCCAGAUGAAAUGAAUAAUCUCAGAAAUCUAAGACGUAUCUCCAUGGGUGAAAAUAAGCUCGCAGGGCGACUACCAGAUAACAUUUGCCUUGGAGGGUUACUUGAAAAUUUUACAGCGCCUAAUAAUCACUUCAAUGGUCAUCUUCCUAGCAGCCUGAAGAAUUGCAGUAGCCUAUCGAGGAUCCGACUAGAAGGAAACCGACUCACAGGAAACUUGACAGAAGCUUUGGGUGCAUAUCCCAACUUGAAGUACAUUGAUUUGAGUUAUAACCAAUUCCACGGCGAGCUUUCUACGAAAUGGGGCUGUUCCCAUAAUUUAACAAGCCUAAGAAUCUCCGGUAACAAAAUUUCUGGUGGGUUACAUCCCAUGAUUGGGAAUAUGGCUCAGCUGAGAGUAUUGGACCUCUCAUCGAACUAUAUUACCGGUCGGCUUCCGAGGGAAUUGAGAAGAUUGACUUCACUGCUCGAGCUAGAUCUACAUGAUAAUAAAAUCUCUGGUAAUAUCCCUCCUGAGAUUGGUCAUUUGUCCACACUGGAGAAGCUCAACUUAGGGAGCAACAAGUUCGGUGGCUCGAUCCCGCCGCAAUUGGCACAGUGCAGAAGCUUGUGGAACUUGAAUUUGAGCAACAACGAAAUUCGAGCCAGUAUUCCUUCAGAGAUAGGCAACUUGCAGUUUUUGCGUUAUCUUGAUCUGUCCCAUAACUUCUUGGCGGGAAAAAUACCACGCGGCAUCGGAAAGCUGACAAUUUUGGAAAAGUUGAAUUUAUCCCAAAACCGCCUCUCUGGCUUCAUACCAAAAAGUUUCGACAAUAUGUUGGGAUUGCUAUCAGUGAAUAUAUCCCACAACUACCUGGAAGGUCCAAUCCCAAACAUCAAAGCCUUCCGUGAUGCUCCAUACAGCGCAGUCGCAAGCAAUAGAGCUGGGUUAUGUGGGAUUGUGGCUGGAUUGAAGAAAUGCUCUGAGAGGACUUAUAAUGAGAAAGGAAACAAGUUUAUGAUUCCAGUCACUCUUUUACUAGUCAGCUUCAUCCUGCUCACAUCUUUAUUCAUCGGAGUGAUUCUUCUAGCUUGCCAAAGGGCCAAAACAGCAGAACAAGACUCAUUGGAAGCACAAGUGCAAGGAGAUGAUUUUGCGAUAUGGAGCUACGACGGAAAAAUGGCGUACAAGAACAUUAUCAAAGCCACGGAAGGAUUCGAUUCCAAGUACUGUGUGGGAGAGGGAGGAUACGGAGUUGUGUACAAAGCCGAGCUAUCAGCUAAUCAAGCUUUUGCCGUGAAGAAAAUCCACGAGCCGCAUGAUGAGAUUCUCGGGUUAACAUCACUAGAGCAGGAGGUCGCUGCAUUGGCAAAUAUACGACACCGUAACAUUGUCAAGCUCUAUGGAUACUGCUUCCAUCCAAGACACUCGUUCUUGGUGUACGAAUUCAUGGAAAGAGGAAGCUUGAGAAGGGCCUUGAUUGACGACGAGAUGGCGAUGGAGUUUGAUUGGGCCAGGAGGGCGACUGCGAUCAAAGGCGUGGCGGAUGCAUUGUGUUACAUGCACCACGAUUGCUCUCCUCCAUGGAUUCAUAGAGACAUCACUAGCAACAAUGUGCUUGUGGAUGGUGAUUUUGAAGCUUGUGUUUCUGAUUUUGGCACAGCAAGGCUUCUCAAGCCAGAUUCAUCUAAUUGGACUUCAUUGGUCGGUACACUCGGAUAUAUAGCACCGGGUAUGUAUGUGCUUGCACGUUUGUUAUUAUCUAUCAUCAUCUGUAAUUUUGGCUCACUUCUUUUUCAUAAAUUAAAUUGCAUUGCUAAAAUUUACAAGAUGACAACUUAAAGCUACCCUUAUAUCGUGCAGAGUUAGCGUAUUCAGUAACAGUUACUGAAAAAUGUGAUGUUUAUAGUUUCGGAGUGAUAGCAUUGGAAGUAAUUACGGGAAGACAUCCAGGGGAUCUUGUCUCAAGCUCACGUCAAUCAUCGACAUUGCCAAUGCAAACCAACUCGGGAACGUCACUGCAAGAUGUGCUAGACCGACGUCUCCCGCUUCCUUCAGACAAAGAUGCGGAGAAUGUAGUCUCGAUCACUAAACUAGCAAUGGCAUGCUUGCGAGUCGAUCCUCAUCGUCGACCCACCAUGCAAAAAGUCUGUCAAGGACUUUCAAUUCAAGUGCCUCUAGUGAAGCCGUUCUCGCAUGUCAGAUUGAGUGAGCUAGAUGGUGUCCAAUGGUUGAGGUAACUGAACGUUCGAGGAUUGAAUGGGAAAGAACUUAAAUCGUUUCUUGUCUGUAAAUGUUCAAAUUAAAUGCAGUCUUUCAUUUUAAUUGCUGUAAAAAAGGGAGGUGCUGAUGCAUAAAUUAUUCUCAUGCACAACUUCUCGUCCACCCUACUCAACUCCCCAUUGCCCUUCUUGCUAGAAUAAGAUUGGGAAAGCACCACAAAAGUUCACUACCUAUAAUGGGAAGAUGCAAGAGAUGGUUCAUAAGUUGAGCUCAUUGAUAAUCUAAUUGAGCCCACAUUCAUUUAGAAACUUAAAUCAUCAAGUGACUCAAUCACAUCUUAUCAUUAUCAACAUCCAAUUCGGGACUUUUUUCUUUUUCUUCACACUACUCAAAUGUGCACAUAGGAAACAAUAGUAAGGUUAACAAAAUUAAUUUACAACUUUCUAACGGGUUGUUCUUAGUGUGCUUAAUAUAACACAUUUGACAAAAUUACUAUAUUGAAAGAACUAGCUCAUGAACAACGUGGCCGGAUAAUUCAACUGUUUAACCAAGCAUAUGCCAUCCUGCGCUUCCGAUUCCCCCGCUUAAAUCAUGAACUGACAUUACUCUUCGAGGCGUAAAAUAUUAACUCGUCGAGCCAUUGUUGCAUAGAACGAUGCGCACACCAUGAGUCCGAUCAUAUAGAUCAAGUUCAUCUGAACUAUUGAAAUGGAGGCCCGACCUGAUACAAAGGCUCAGCCAGAUUUGGUACAUUGCACGGGCACCAAGCUACACGGCCCGAUCCAAGCAAGACCCGGUCCAUGACCGCUUUUACAUUGUCGUGGCCUCGUCAACGACACGACCAUCGCCUUUCGUUUACAGUUCCACCCAGGAAGGCAAUCCUGCUUCGGACGAAACGGUGAAGGCAAAUUGUCGAUAACGGCGUUCUUUUUCGUUCUCGGACAAGUUCCUUGGGCUCCGUCUCCCACGGCAAAGAUCCUUUCUUUUUCGGUGCUCAGAGGCGAUUCCGAGUAAGUGCCCGUGUUUGAUCACCCUUUUCUUGAUCUUUUUCUUUGGAGAUCCGAAAUCUUGUGGUAGAAUUAUUGAGAUGCAGCUCGUGCAGUGAUCGUCUUGUUGGGAAAGAGGGAAUUUUUUUUUGAACUGGGCUACUCGAGAGCUCUUCAAGAUUGGAGAUUUCUGGGUUUUGGGUACUGUGUUUGGUGCAAUCGGAGUGACUGUCUUGUUCCUAUUUUCGCCAUUUCUCGUCUGAACUCGGAAUUUUUAUGACGAGGGUAGUGCAUUCCUUGUAGUCUGAUUCUUGAACUCCGUGGCUUUUGGCCUUAGCUGAAAUGGGAUCAGUUUGGGACUACAUUGGAGUUUGAUUUCCUGAGUGAUCCGUCGAGUUAAAAAUGGGAUGGUGUGUUGUAUCCAAGUGAUUAGCAUCAUCCACAUUGCUCGAUCAUUGUCGCGCAUGCUUUCUAUGUAUACACUUUAGUCAACUGGCUGAGUCACCCGGAGGAUCAUCAUUUGAGUGGCUAUCUGGUGGGUAGAGUGGGUGGACUAUGGAAACAUUUUCAGCAGAUCAGAGUGUCACCACGAUUGAGAGUUCUUUGGUGAAGUUGUUUAAGUUUCGGUUGUGCCAAAGAUACUCUCAAAUACUGGGAAGUCUGUAGUAACUACUUUUUGGUGGCAAAUAUAAAUCAUUCCUGAGGCUCACCAUUGGAUUUUGUGUGAUUGCCGGAGUUUCUUAAGGUGUUUCUGUUGCAUGCACAUCGAGACCAACAUCUGUGAGGUCUCUGCUUUCUUGGUGGGCAGUCAAGAUUUUUGUGUCACUGGUGCUGCAUAUAAAUAAGGCAAUCGAUUGUCCAAGGUCAUUAUCAGAUUUCGAGGGUUUCCUUUGGUGCCUGUGUCUUGGAUUAAUAUGGUGUAGCUGAUGGCUUUUCUUGUUAGCUAUAGCACUGCAAUAGAAAAUCCCUUGGGAUGAAUUAUUGACCUUUUCAACUAUCAAAAUAUGGAAUACCUUUUGUUAGAUGCUUAGAUCGGUUUCAUAGGUCUUGCUCUGUAUUUAUGUCUGUAGACCUCCUAUGUGUUCAGUGCAACCAACAAGUGUUUGGUUAAUUUGUUACUGUUGGCCCUUUCACUUCUUCAUGUCUUGGGUGCACUUAGUUUUCCAUAUUACCUGCGAACUCUUUUUCAUGGGUCCUUUUUGCAGAUCUUAAGACUUAGUUUCAGGCAUCAGUGGUCCUCUUUCAAAAAUGGCUAGUUUUAAUGAUUCUUGCAAAGAUAAGAUACUUGAGUUGACACCUGUAAGUCCUAAAUACAUGUUUACCUGAGACUUGAACAUAGUCCUUGGCCAAUGGAAGUGUAUUUUUGUGGUGAAGAGUGUCCUGAACAACGUGUCUGGUUUAAUAUUUAUCCUUGGAUGCCCUCCGUGAUUCAAGCAAUUUUCUCCUACUAUAAUCUAGUUGAGUCUAUUGUUUGUAUGAUUUUCAUAACUUGACGGAGAUAUGUGCGAAGGAUGCCACAGCACUAAAAGACUCUAUUUUGAUAUUUGAGUUAACACAAUAAAUAAUUAAUUGUGACAGUGGAUUUAGAAGAAGAAGCCAGUGAGAACCCGGUUAAAGGGGAGAAUGGUGACCAAGAAGAAAAUGCAAUUUCAGAGCCAUACGUGGGGAUGGAAUUUGAUUCUGAAGAAGCUGCCCGGAAAUUCUAUAUUGACUAUGCAAGACGGGUUGGAUUUGUAGUUCGUAUAAUGCAGCGUCGACGGUCAGGAAUUGAUGGCAGAACACUUGCCCGUCGGCUGGGGUAUAAUAAGCAGGGUUUCUCACCAAAUCAGAAAGGUUCUCAUGGACCAGACAAGAAGCCACGGCCCAGAAUUGUGCAUAAUAAUCUUCGGAUUGCGCAUAUUAUUGAUUGAUAUGUUAUUUUAGACAGUUAUCUAAUGAAUCAUAUAAAUAAAUUGAUGUCUUUUUUCGUUGGAAAAUAUCGAAAUAUUCCAAAAUUUUACAAUGACACCCUAUUAUUAAGAAAGGCAGGUUAGCUCAUUCGAGCUUGAUCUGACUUGUUUUCCUUUUUUUCUUUUUACUGAGACCAAGUUAGACUAACAUGACUUGACUUGACUUGACCCAAAUAACAAUAAAUUCAAGCUUGAGCUAGAGCAGCCGGUCAUAGCUUUUGUUCUUCCCAUUUGAACCAAACUUGUCUGGAUAUGCAUCGUGCUGGUCGUAAACUCUAAACUAAAGAUUCUUCCCCCUUAAUUCUAACCGAAGAAAGCUUAAAAUCCUGUUCAUUCCUCAAAAUAACUUAAAUUUGCCACCCUACCCGAUUAGAUUAUUAUCAAGAAUUUGACUUAUGAUCUUUUACGCUUGAUGAUGGUAGUGCUAUAGAAGGAAUUGACUCUUCUCUGUCCAUCACUUGAAAUAUCUUUGCCUCAUCAAAUUAGGCAGUCUCCCCUUUUGCAACAUCUUCAAUUUGGGGCGUUAAUAUCUCGAACAAUUACUUAUAUAGGGACGGAAAUACACAUUUGAACAGACAAUCGUUAUCAUCAUCUUGUGCAAGGGCGCUAAGCAAGAGAUGUCUCACAUUAGAAUAUAGUGUAAAUAUGGAGAAGCUAAUAUAUUCUAAUAAAUUUAUAACUUAUUGGCCAACUAGAUAAGUUGGCAGGUUCAAAUUUAAGUUUGUUCUUGAUGAUCUCUUUAGGUGAAGGUAUUCUCGAAUUUCUAAUGCGUUGAUCAACAAUACCUAUGGAAUGAAAUAUAGAGAUGGUAAUGGAUCCAAGGAGGACUAAUUCGGAGGAAGAGUUGAUGUCUCGUCAUAAAUUCUUAUGCUGAGUGGAUCAUAAUGUUUUACUCCCUGAAAUGGGGGAUGGAAAUUCCACUUCUCUCUGGGUAAUAAACCGAUCCUUUCAUCAGGCAACAACUUUUUCCGGAAGUUUAUGACACUCGAACUACCACCGAUUCUUCUGCCUCGUUAGAGGCUCUACGUCAAUGUCAAGCACUAAAUUGGAGGACCCCUCACCUUUUGAAGUUAUUGUAGUAACGUGAGUAACAUUAGCGUGGAACCAUCCGAACCGUGCAAUUUACGUCAACAUAAAAUUAUAAAAAAAAUGAAUAAAAAUAAUAAAUUAUGCUAAAGAUUUACGUAAUUCGGUACCGAAUGUCGAUACUUACAUCCAUGAAAAGUGCCAACAGUAAAUAACCCAUUAAUAAUUGGAGAAUCCAAGUUAUAUUCGAUUAUAUACUCAAGUAUUUCUCACACGCAAAUUAAAUUCAAAAUUGAAGUGUUUGCAAAUAAACAACUCAAAUGGAUAUAAUACUCACAUCACAAACUCACAUGUGUAGCUCCGGCUCACCGCACUUUCUCAAUUCAAUUCAAGUGAUUAAAGAUGUUUUAUUUCACGAAAGAGGGGAGUGCAUUGAAUGAAAAAGAAAAUGGGAGGGAGAUAUUUAAAAAGACCUAUCAAACGAAUUUUGUUCCAUGAUUAUAAAUUCUGUAUUGUUGUUAAACGCGUGUCUUUGCUUAGAAUUCUUUCAAGGAAUAGAAAUAAAAAAGUUUAUCCUUGGCAAGAAAUUAUUCUAAAAAACAAAACGGUUAUCAUUCGCACCCUAAACUCUCUUCCUUCUUGUGUAGCUACACUUUGGUGAAGGAACCAUCUCCAUGCUUCUCAAAGAAAGAAGCCCCCUAGUGACCAUUCACACGAUAAGGAACUCACUAGUGACUAGCUGAAGAGUAAAAUGACCUAAUACCCUAAAAAACCUCCAAUUUUAGUUUCUAUUCCAAUUCUACCUUUUGUCUCAUAAAAAGCAUCUAACUUUUGCUGUAGUCCCAAUUCUAGUCUAAACUUUUUUCCUUCCUAUAAAAAACCUUCAACUAUAAGCCGAGUCUCAAUUAUAAUCUUCUUCUCUUUUUCUUUUUCUUUUUCCUCAUAAAAAUCCUCAACUUUAGGUUUAGUACCAAUUCUAUCCUUCGUCUCAUAAAAACCUCCGGUUUCAAAUUUACUUAAUUAUUUUUUUUUUGUCUCAUAAAAUAUCACAAAGUUUUAUUUGAGUCCCAAAUUUGCUUCGGUAGACCCUUAUCCAAAUAAUUAACAUUUAUACUACUGUUCUUGGAUAAUUAUCCAAUCAGGUCGGGUUACGUGAACGACUCAAACUUAAGAAAUAAUUAACAUUUAUACUACUGUUCUCCAAGUUCAAAUUGCGAAUGGACCGACGCUUAAACUUGACGCUAGGGUCGCUUGACUUUGGUUGACUUGCCACGGAGUCUUGGAAUCAUGGCUUUCUCUGACGUGUGAAACAAAUGCACAUUUCGGGUGGCUGGACUUUGAUGCUGAUGGUUCAUGAACGAACCAACUUCUGAUCAAGACUCCACCUGCAUACUCAAACAGCAUAGAUGACCGAGCUUGAGUGACGACAUCCCCAUACAUCUGGGAUGACUAAGCUUCUUGAUCUAUCAUCCAUAACUACAGCCAUUUUGACACAUAUAAGAGGACGAAUGAGAAAAAAGAAAGGAACAGUGAAGUAGUUGGGACUUCAUUUAACCAAUCAAUGCAGGCAAGUCCUAUUUCUCCAUGACUGUUUCGAAGACAAGCUGACAAGAAAGAUAUCGUGCAUGGUUUUGCCAAUGCUUAUGGAGUUCAGGUCCAGCUAUAUAUACUUCAGCAUGCUGUUAAAGUAACACCAUGAAAAAUUUUGUGCAGGCACUUACGGUCCAAGUCAUGGUCUCUUCAGAAGUUUCAGAUAAACCUCAAUCUAAAGUUGCUUCCCUGAAGUUACUGCCCUAUCUCAGUACAAUCACGAACUUCGUUUUCGCCUUAUCUCUUGUUCCAGCUUUUGCUUCUCCAGCUACUUUCAGUGCUCAAGCGAGCAAUGGAACUGCAAAAGGAGAGGAAGCGCGUGCUCUGCUGGAGUGGAAAUCUGAUCUGGACAAUUAUAGUCAAGCUCUUUUAUCUUCAUGGCGAGGGGAUGACCCUUGCAUAUGGAGAGGGAUCGGGUGUGAUGGCUCAGGAAUUGUCUCGAAGCUUAAUCUCACGAACAUCGGUUUGCGAGGUUCAGUCAGAAAACUUAACUUCACUGCUCUGUCAAAUCUAAUUAGCCUCCACCUCUCGGCAAACUCGCUCUACGGUCCCAUUCCUUCAUCCAUCGGUAACCUCUCUAAGUUGUCCGCUCUGUCUAUCUUUAACAACUUGCUCUCUGGCACAAUCCCCCCUGAAAUAGGCAAGUUGAGCAGGCUGCGCAUUUUUUCCCUUGACCGGAAUCGUCUCUGCGGAACUAUCCCUGAAGAAAUAGGAAUGCUGCACUCUCUUUUGAACCUCUCCUUGGAUGACAAUCAUCUCACAGGUCAGAUUCCUACGUCUAUGGGAAACUUGAGCAAGUUAACAUAUCUUGCCUUGGGCCAAAACAAUCUUGUAGGGUCUGUUCCUCGAGAAAUUUACACCCUAAGAUCUCUUACCUUCCUUUCUCUCCGAAUUAACAAAUUAACCGGUUCCAUUCCUUCGUCCAUAGGAAAUCUGAGUAGUCUAAAAGUCCUUUACUUCGAAAGCAAUCAUCUUUCUAGUCCAAUUCCCCAGGAAAUAGGAAGGUUGAAACCUCUGGCAACGCUCAUUUUGUCUUCUAAUUAUUUUAGUGGUCCAAUUCCUGUGUCUAUUGGAAACUUGACUGCCCUGACUUCGUUAAACUUUCCAGCUCCAUUCCCGAGGAAGUUGGAACUUUGAGACAUCUGAAGGAACUUCGCCUGUCAGAAAAUAGUCUCGACGGGUUAAUCCCGAGAUCAAUUGGAAAAUUGGUCAGCUUGAGCGUAUUGAGUUUGCACUACAACUAUCUUUCUGGUUUCAUCCCAGAUGAAAUGAAUAAUCUCAGAAAUCUAAGAGUUAUCACCAUGGGUGAAAAUAAGCUCGUAGGGCGACUACCAGAUAACAUUUGCCUUGGAGGGUUACUCGAAAAUUUUACAGCUCCGAAUAAUUACUUCAGUGGUCAUCUUCCUAAGAGCCUGAAGAAUUGCAGUAGCUUACGGAGGAUUCGACUAGAAGGAAACCAACUCACAGGAAACUUGACAGAAGUUUUGGGUGCACAUCCCAACUUGAAGUACAUUGACUUGAGUUAUAACAAAUUCUAUGGCGAGCUUUCUUCGAAAUGGGGCUGUUCCCAUAACUUAACAUGCCUAAGAAUCUCCAGUAACAACAUUUCUGGUGAAAUACAUCCCAUGAUUGGGAAUAUGGCUCAGCUGAAAGUAUUGGACCUCUCGUCAAAUAAUAUUACUGGCUGGCUUCCAAGGGAAAUGAGAAGAUUGACUUCCCUGCUCGAGCUUGAUCUACAUGAUAACAAAAUCUCUGGUAAUAUCCCUCCUGAAAUUGGUCAUUUGUCUACACUGGAGAAGCUCAACUUAGGGCGCAACAAGUUCAAUGGCUCAAUCCCGCCGCAGUUAGGACAGUGCAGAAGCUUGUGGAACUUGAAUUUGAGCAACAACGAAAUUCGAGCCAGUAUUCCUUCAGAGAUAUGCAACUUGCAGUUUUUGCAUUAUCUUGAUCCGUCCCAUAACUUCUUGGCGGGAAAAAUACCACGCAGCAUCGGAAAGUUGACAAUUUUGGAAAAGUUGAAUUUAGCCCAAAACCGCCUCUCUGGCUUCAUACCAAAAAGUUUCGACAAUAUGUUGGGAUUAGUAUCAGUGAAUAUAUCCCACAACGACCUAGAGGGUCCAAUCCCAAACAUCGAAGCCUUUCGUGAUGCUCCAUACAGCGCAGUCACAAGCAAUAAAGCUGGGUUGUGUGGGGUUGUGGCUAGUUUGAAGAAUUGCUCUGACGGGACUUAUAGUGAGAAAGGAAACAAGUUUAUGAUUCCAGUCAUUCUCACGCUAGUUAGCUUCAUCAUCCUCGCAUCGUUAUUCGUCAGAGUGAUUCUUCUAGCUUGCCAAAGGGGCAAAAGAGCAUAACAAGCCUCAUUGGAAGCACAAGUGCGAGGAGAUGCUUUUGCGAUUUGGGGCUACGAUGGAAAAAUGGUGUACAAGAACAUUAUCAAAGCCACGGAAGGAUUCGAUUCCAAGUACUGUGUGGGAGAGGGAGGAUACGGAGUUGUGUAUGUUGGGAAUGACUGAUCCCCGAAAACCGGAUUCGACACUAAAUCGAACCCCUAAAACGAAUGCGGAAGCGAAGUCCGGGAAAAUCACGUAUCACCGAUCCUAAAGCACACCACAGAUUCGAGCGUACCUUGUUAGCCACAGAUUAAACACCAAUGCUGAAAGAGGAAGAAAAUCUGGCCCUAGUUCGAUCCGAUGACGCCUUGAAGGGAAGACAGUGUCCGUUUGCUUACUGUUUUGUCUUAAGGGGGGAGAGAGCGUUGGAGAGAAGAAGACGUACAUUCUGCCAAAACAUUUUUCUUCUCUCUCUCUCUCCUCCCUUUUAUACCUUCCCCUUCCACGGGCCCUAUUCCCGUGGGCCGGGCCUUUUGGGCCCAGCAUGGGCGGACGGGCCAACUUAGGCCCAUCACUAAUUAAAAAAUCCAUCAUCUCCCACUCGCACAUGGUGGGCCGAACAUAAUUCUCUUUACCUCUCUUCAACAUUCAUACCGGUGAAUAAUCCGUGCGACCAGCAUACUUUGAGAGCUCGUUGCCAUACAUCUGUUAGGAAUAUAUAGCAGCUCAUAAUGGGCAUCACACUCCAAGUAGAUUUAGUAUGCAGUACCUUAGAUCGAUCAAUCACAUUUAUAUCUCUCUUGAUCUCUUUCAAAUAAUGAUAUAUACAUUGUAUUCACAAUUAUGAUUAUCCCAGAGACAUUCAUAAUUGGUUAACCGGUGAAUACAAAACUACAAUGUGAUUCUCCAAAAUCGAUCUUCCUCCUUCCUUCAAACUCUCAAUUUCAGUUCAGCUUGCUUUUCUAGAAAUGCCCCAUUAGAUCGAAUCAAACUCAUGACCAUUGGCAACAUCCUAAGAUAGCAAACACUAAAUAGAAAUCUUGAGAAUAAGUAAGAGUCAUGAGGGGACUAAAAAUUGAGGAACUCUUUUCCUCAAGAGUCUCACACGACAUAAAAAGUUGAGAUCAAACUUUUGACACUCUUAUUGGUUGUCUCAUGCAUACGUAGUAUGAAAUAUGUAUUACGGUAUUAACUCCUUUCCCAUGGAGCGUAUGUCUACAUCUUUCAAUACCGUACAGAUGAUAGUUUAGACAUACCCAAUGUCUAACUUGAGUUCACGUAUCUACUCAUUUACAAAAUUCAUCAGAACUCACAUCUAGCAUCAUAGACAGAUAUAGUAAAAUAUGUGGGGUAUUUUACUUUCGGACAUAGUAAGUAUUAUGUCCUCAUCUUAACACUCAGUUAAGGCGACUUACAUGUUUUAAGCUUGAGCUCUCGAUUAUCACCUAAAUAAUAAGCUUAAAAACAGUCUCAUCUCUAUUUAUCACACAGCAAAUAAAGGCGAUUACCCGUGUGAGUGGGCUAAUCUCAUAUCUGUCCGACAUACUUUCCUAACUUAAAGUAAUGCACUGAGCAUUAAGAUGCAUAAAGAUCAAACAAAGAUUCAUAGGCAUUAAUGAUGAAAAACACAAAUUCAUCAUAUGUGAACACUAAGGGAAAAAUACAAUAUUCAGGACAUCAGCCUCUACGCAAUCCUAGAGAUUUCAUAUGGCCACAAAACACAUCUCUAGGUACUUUCAUAGGAUCUGCUACCAUUCCAUGCGUAGUAUGUACUCUAAGUUCACCUCUUUUCGUGCAAUCAUAUCCAUGACAAAAUUAUACUUUGUAUCUAUAUGUUUGGUCUUGCCAUGGUAUUUUGGAUCUUUGGUGUACGCUUUCGCUGCUUGGCUAUCAUAAUUAACCAAUAACAAAUCUGCAGCACUUCCAAUAACACCUAAAUGAUCCAAUAAUCUCUUAAGCCAAACAUCUUCUUAUACUGCUGCUGACAAUGCCACGAACUCAAUUCCAUCGUGGACAAGGCUAUAUACUUUUGUUUCUUACUGCUCUAACACAUUAUGCCAUUAUUCGGUAAGAGAACAAACCUAGAGGUAGAUUUCCUUUCAUUUAAAUCUCCUCCCCAAUCAACAUCAGAAUAGCCUUAGAGUCGCAGAUCCUUUCCAUAAUAACUCAACGUAUAAUCAGCAGUCCACUUUAGAUACCUCAGUAUUCUCUUAACGGCUUUCCAACGUGCUUGACUUGGAUUGGAUUAGUAUCUACUCACCAUUCCAACUACAAAAACAUAUGUCGGGUCUUGUACACAUCAUAGCGUACAACAAGCUUCUAAUAGCACUAGCAUAAGGAACAUGUUUCAUUUGUUCCUUCUCUUGUGGAGUCCUUGGACACAGUCUAUGGUUCAAUCCUUCACCUUUUGCAAUAGGAGUGUCAAUGGGUUUACAAUCCCAUAUCAUUCAAUUCAAAAUUUGGAAGACAACCAACUUUUGACAGUAUUGACUGAUAUUGCUAGUACAAGUACCUAGAGGGGGGGUGAAUAGGUUUAUAAAAAUUUUCUUGAAGAUUGCACAAUACUUAGACAGAUGAAGGAUUUGCAAUAAUUAAAAAAUCAAUCAUAAGACUUAGUAAAGGAAAGAGAGAAUUGAACACGCGGUUUAUAGUGGUUCGGCUUAAUUCAAGCCUACAUCCACUCUUCUGCACUGACAGCCGAUUGGCUGGAUUCCACUAUGAACAAAGAGAUGUUACAGUGUUGAUCUUCCUUGAUUUCUCGAUGUAGAUGAUCUACUACACUCGCUCAAGGUAUCACCAAGUAUAAACACUCUCUGUGUAUACAAUUUCGCUCGAACUGUAUCGACUAACAAUCAAGGUUCUUCAGACUCUGGAAUUUUCCUAUCAAUCACACACUUAAAACAACUAGAGCGUCUUCCUUUUAUACUCCUUUAUGCCAUCAUAGCCGUUGGCACUUACCAAAGGAAUUCCUCCAAUCUACCCGUUGGACGGAAUCAAUUAAGAAGAUCAUCCGAGCUAUUUAAGGAAUCUGAUGAUAGUCCAUCAAUCCUGUUUGCCCAUACAAUCAGGAUCUUGGUUUCCAAGAAUAGAACAUUCCAAGAAUGUUUCGUUGAUCAUUGGAUCUUCAAUUGAUCUUAGAUAAGAAUCAAAGAAUCCGAAAUGAUUAUCCAACCAAGGGAUCUUUUCCAGAGGAUAGGAUCGAAUCCUCAACCAUAUACUUCGGCUUUGGAUUUCCUUCGUCACUAGAUUAGAAAGACUGUCAGUGAGAAUAGUCAUGAGUCUUGAGUCUUGAGUCUUGAGUCUUGAGUUUUCAAAGUCUUGAGACUUUAAACUGUCGAUAUCCAGACUAGACUGAUAGAAAUGUUUUGUCAGCUUCAAAAUAUUCUGGAAAGAUUUCUCCAACAAUCUCCCCCUUUUUGAUGGUGACAAAAAUUUCUUGUAGAUUUGAACAACUUUGAUUUGCAAAAACAUUUCUCAAGCAAUAUGGCUAACUCAUAAAGAUUAAUAAAACAACCAGACUCUGCAUCCACAGAAAAUUGGUUAGUCUUUCAUGAGUAAUACCAUAUAACAAAACUUGAUAUAAAUGUAACCAGUCAAGCAUCAAAAUCCACAGCCAAUUCAGUCAAAUUUAAAUUCACACCGAAGUUCAAGUUCUCAAGUCAUACUCAAAAAUAAACAUAACCAACCACAAAAGUCAAAGUUUUUAGAAUUGUUUUGGUUCAAAUUGGUUCUCCCCCUUUUUGUCAUCAUUAAAAAGGGUGAGAAAGGAGUCAUGUCUGCUUGGGAAUGCGUACGAUCUGGAAAUCUCCUAUUGACUGGACUACGCCUUCUAGCCUCUUCAAGGCCUCUCUUAGAUGAGUACCUCCUCUCCUUUGGCAUUGGCUUGAAGUUGUAGAGCGAGGUCUUUCAUCUUGUCCUCCAGGGUGACUAAAGAUGCUUGUCCAGCAUUCUUCAUGGCUUGAAUUUCACAAUCCAGAGCAUAUAUCUGACCACGCAUUCCAGAAGAAUAUCCAUGAUGCGAUGAAAAUCUGCAGAAUUGUCCGUCUGUGUACUGGCAUGAGCUUUCUCAGAUGGAGUAAAUGGAGACGAUGGCGCUUCUGUAUAGUCUUGCAGAUUUGGUGUCGACGUAUCACCUUCUUCAGGCAAUUGAGAAGCCUGAAAUUCUUCUGGGUCUGCUGGAGAUUGUCUUGGACCUUCACUAUCGGCUGCAUGAGGUGUAGACCUUUCUUGCUCGCCAACUCCCCCUGUCUCUAGGACAUCCAAAGGGGAAGAGUGAUGAUCAUGCUCUUGAUUUCCCUUCUCUCCAGAUUCAGCAGCAGACUUUUCUUUCUCUUCUUCAGCUUCUUUCUCCUUCUCUCUCUGCUCUUCUUCUUCUCUGCUCUUGGUUUGCUCUUCUUCUUCUCUCUGUUUCUUCUGAAGUUCUGUCGGCUGAGACACAGAACGUCUGGUUCUUGUCAGUGCAUGGAUAGUAGGAUCUUCAUCCUCUAGGAUGAGAGUUCUUUUCUUCUUUUUCGAUGGGGCACCAAUGGCCUCCUUUCCUUUUCUCUUUGAAGCAGACUGAACUGGAGAUUUCAUUCUGAAUUUUUCCAUUGCCUUGGAAAGUUCUUGCAGACGCAUCUUCGUUAACAUCUUCAAACCUACCACCAUCUUAUCACACGGUUGAACACAAAGUGUUUGUGGCGGUUCAAUAUUCAUGUGUCUGAAGAUCUUGGUCACCAGACCAGGAUAAGGCAAUUGUCCUUUGUCUUUCGACAUUGCUCUGUACAUAUGGAAGAGAAUAGUGUGUGGGAGAGAGAACUUCCGUCCUGAGUUGAUCGCGUACAUCAACUUUGCUUCAGAAAGAGACACAGAAGUCUUUGACGUAGACUUCGGUCUGAGACAGUUGAUUACAAUCUUAUGAAGCACAAUGUUGAUGGCAUUCAUCCUGGAAUAGGUAACUUUCUUCUCUGCGUUCCUAUCUUUGACAAGUUCCAGAGUAGUACGAGUAGGUGAGACUUUGAUUGGUAGAUAACGUCCUCGUUCAACUCUAACUAUGUUUGCCAAUAUAUUAACAUCUACCACGUAGACUUGGUCUCGUACACUGAAUGAAAUUCUAUUCGCAUCCAGAAAGCUAAGAUUUGAAUAGAAAUAAGCGGUCAGAUGAGCAUACCCGUCAGUAGAAUCAGAGCAAAAAUUCUCAAGUUGAAACAAAUUCAACUUUUCUCUUAAGUUCAUGUUGAUAGCGUCCAGGAAGUCAAAAUCGACACUUCUAGGGUUUAUCACCCCUCUUUUCAACAGCCUGAAAUACACUUUUUCCUGAUCCUUGGAUUUGAACAAAUCCAUCCGAUUUCCUUUCACCUUUGCUGUCACUCCCAUUUUCGGUUGAAAUUCAAGGAACAUUCUGUCAUCAUCGUUCCCUUCAAUUAAAGUUUGUCCUGGCAUACGAGGAUCACUUGGAAUGUUUGCAAGUGCGUCCUCUGCUUUUCCUUUCGGGGCAAUUCCCAAAUCCUCCAUUUUCCUCAGUAAAAGAUACUCAUUCCCAUAAUUUUUGUCCUUAAGGAAGUCAUCUAUAUAUUUCAAUGGAGUACCGAUGCUUUUCAACGCACGAUAAAGUUUAUAGAUAAAUGAGGGUUUUUGGACUCUUACUGGGUCGGCAUCCUCAAUUAUCUCUUCUUCCAGAAGAUGACUUUCACCUUGUGGGGCAGGAGGCGUUGAAUGACGUGGAUGAGAGCGAAUCGGACUUUGUCACUGACUUGUUAAGUCUUCUUCCUCAGUGAGAUCGAAGUGAGUCAGUCCCUUCUCCAUUCUUUGUGGUCCCCUGCUUGCGAUUCUUGAUGAUUUCCUCGAAUAAGACAUCUUUCUUUGUCGAUUGGAAGAUUCCUUCACUUGCUUUCCCAAGAAAAAUGACCACUUUCUCGACGACGAACAAGCAGUAGAAACAGUAUCGGGAUGAGAGUGCCUUUUAGGGUUUUGAAGAUUGGGAAAAGAAAAACUGUAUAUAUAUAACUCAGUUUUGAAAAAGGAAGUUCAAUCGGUGCAAGGAAAGUGUACGAACACUUCUUUUCAAAAUCAAUAACUGCCAAAAUUAUUUUUUUUUUUUAAAAAAAAGACAAGUCUUCAAAUUUUAAGCGGAUUAUAGAAUAACCGAACAAAAGAUCGUACCUUUUCGAGUUUAGAUACCUAAACGAAAAUUCGUACCUUUACAACUUACAGUCUAUAGCCACGAAUGUCUGAGUCUGAGGAUUUAAAGUCUGAAAGAUUAGAGUCUUAGAGUUGGUGAGUCUCUAGACUUUAACUUCUUCAAGCUUCAAAAUGUUGAGUCUUGAACGGAUAAAGUCAAAUUGAUUUUUCUCCAAAGGCUUUGUGAAUAUAUCCGCUAGUUGACUCUUUGAAUCAACAAAUUGAAUUGAGAUUUCUCCAUUUUGAAUAUGAUCUCUAAUGAAGUGAUGUUGAAUCUCAAUAUGCUUUGCUCUUGAAUGAAGGAUUGGAUUUUUGGUGAGAUUGAUCGCACUGGUGUUGUCACAUCUGAUUUCUGUGCAUGAGUCUUCAAUCCCAAAGUCUUGUAGCUGUUGUUUCAUCCAUAGAAUUUGCGAACAGCAGCUUCCAAGAGCUACAUACUCUGCUUCUGUCGUUGAGAGAGCUACAGUGCUUUGCUUCCUCGAAAACCAAGGCACUGUCCUGUUUCCAAGCAGUUGACAAGUUCCAGAAGUGCUUUUUCUAUCGACUCUGCAACCAGCCAGAUCUGCAUCUGAGUAUCCUAGAAGAUUAAAGUCUCCCUUCUUGGGAUACCAGAGACAGAUGCUUGAAGAUGAGGCAACGUAUUUGAUAAUACGUUUUGCAGCACUGAGAUGGGAUUCUCUAGGAUCUGAUUGAAACCUAGCACAAAUGCAAACACUCAACAAAAUAUCAGGUCUAGAAGCAGUAAGAUAAAGAAGUGAACCGAUCAUGCUCCUGUACAGCUUUUGAUCUACUUUCUUCCCUUCUUCAUCCUUGUCUAUCUUCUGAGAACAUGACAUUGGUAUGUCGGUCUUUUUGCACUUUUCCAAUCCAAACCUUUUGACAAGAUCAUUCACAUAUUUUUCUUGAUAAAUAAAAGUUCCUUCCCUCAUUUGUUUCACUUGUAGUCCAAGAAAGAAUGUUAAUUCUCCCAUCAUACUCAUUUCAACUCAUCCUGCAUAGACUUAGAAAAUUUCUUGCAUAGACUUUCAUUUGGUGAUCCAAAAAUAAUAUCGUCUACAUAUAUUUGAACAAGUAAAAAGCUUUUGUUUUCCUUUUUGAUAAACAAAGUAGUAUCUACUUUACCUUUGACAAAACCAUUAUGUAAUAAAAACUUACUUAGUCUGUCGUACCAAGCUCAAGGUGCUUGCUUUAAACCAUACAAGGCCUUUUUCAGUCUGAAGACUGAGUUUGGCUUCUUUGGGUCUUCAAACCCAGGUGGUUGUUCCACAUAAACUUCCUCAUGGAUGAAUCCAUUUAGGAAUGCACUUUUGACGUCCAUUUGGAAUAACCUGAAAUUUUUAUAACAAGCAAGCGCAAGUAAUAGACGAAUAGCUUCUAACCUUGCUACUGGAGCGUAAGUCUCAUCAUAGUCUAUUCCUUCUUCUUGCGUAUAUCCUUUGGCCACGAGUCUUGCUUUGUUUCGUACGACUUUUCCUUCUUCAUUCAUCUUGUUCCUGAAUACCCACUUGGUUCCAAUAACAGUUUUACCUUUUGGUUUAGAUGUCAAUUCCCAGACAUCAUUGAUGUUGAACUGUCUGAGUUCUUCUUGCAUAGCUUCGAUCCAACUUUCAUCAGAUAAAGCUUCUUCUAUGCUUUUUGGUUCAAUUUCAGAAAUGAGAGCCACAUCACUAGAUUCUUCACGCCUUUUUGAUCUGGUGCGGAUUCCUUCAUUGAUUUCGCCAAUAAUGAGAUCUUUGGGAUGACUGGAUUUAUGCUUCCAGUUACUGGUUGAUCUGCCUGGUUGAUGAUCUCUAUCUUUAUUUGAAUCUUCAUGAGUUUCUUGAUGUUGGACUUCCAGAGACUGAGAUGCUUCUUGAGUUGUAAGCAUUGGAAGUUCUGGAGUGGGUUCAGACUCUUCAUACUGAGUCUGGCUGGAUUCAUCUUGCAUUGAGUCUUGGAAUUUGACAUUCAUUGAUUCCUCCACCGACUGGCUUUUAUUGUUAUAGACUCUGUAGGCUUUGCUUGAUGUAGAAUAUCCAAGGAAGAUGCCUUCAUCUGAUCUUUCUUCAAACUUACCAACUCGAUCAUUUGCAUUUUUCAAAAUAAAGCAUUUGCAACCAAACACAUGAAAAUAUGAAACAAUAGGCUUCUUACCUUUGAACAAUUCAUAGGGGGUUUUCUCUAAAAUAGGUCUUAAAAAGACUCUAUUUAUAAUAUAGCAUGCUGUUAAAACAGCUUCAGCCCAAAAUCGUGAAGAAAUUUUGCUUUCAAUUAUAAGUGUUCUAGCCAUUUCUUGAAGAGAUCUAUUCUUUCUUUCCACAACUCCAUUUUGCUCUGGAGUAUAUGGAGAGGAAAACAUAUGAUUAAAACCAGAUUUAUCACAAAAUUUCGUAAAAUCUUGAUUUUCAAAUUCACUUCCAUGAUCUGUUCUUAUGCUUGAGAUUGCACAUCCUUUUUCAUUUUGAACCUUUUUGGCAAAUUUUUCAAAAUAUGAAAAGGUUUCUGACUUACUUGCAAGGAAAUAUACCCAAGUAAAGCGGGAGUAAUCAUCCACAAUUACUAGGCAAUAUUUCUUACCUCCAAUGCUCUGGGUUCUGGUCGGUCCGAAGAGAUCCAUAUGAAGCAACUGUAGUACAUGAUUAGUAGAGACAUGAUUUAUUGGCUUAAAUGAAUUUCUUACCUGCUUUCCCAGAAUGCAUGGAGUGCAUGAAUCAGACUUUUGGUAUGGCAAUUUAGGUAGACCUCGAACAAGCUUCUUUGAUGAGAUUUUGGCUAAUUGUUUCAUGUUGACAUGGCCAAGCUUUCUGUGCCAUAAGACUGCUUCAUCUUGAAUUGAGAUUAGGCAUUGUGCUUCAUUUGGUUUUACAUCAAGGAGAUAGAUAUUUCCAUGCCUUCGACCCAUGAAAGACUGAGUUGAGUCUUUGCUAAUUCCAGAACAUAUACCUUCUUGAAAGGAGAUCUUGAAACCAGUAUCACACAAUUGGCUAAUGCUUAGAAGAUUGUAGUUGAGUCCUUCCACUAGAGAGACAUUGCUUAUUGUGAGAUUUCCAAUUUUCACAGUUCCAAAACCCACAAUGCUUCCUUUGCUGUUUCCUCCAAAUGAAACUUUUCCACCAUUUACUUGAACAAGCUUUAUAAAGCAAUUUGAGUCUCCUGUCAUGUGUCUUGAACAUCCCCUGUCAAGAUACCACUUAACUUUCUUUUUGACAGAGACCUGCAUUAAAAGAGAGUCUCAAGCUUUCUUUGGUACCCAAAUUUUCUUGGGUCCUUUGGCGUUAGUAGAAUGAGCAUUACUAGGCCAUACCUUUUUAACAGGCUUCCAAACCAUAGAACACUCUUUUUCAAAAUGAUCCUUACUGUUACACUUUGAACACCUUAAAGCAUUUCGACCUACAGACUUUACAAAGACUUUCUCGAAAUGAUUUUUGUAAGCUUCUUUUGACGGUCUUUUCUUAAUUCUUUCUUUUACUUUUGGAAAAUCAAUCAAAGGAAUUGUUUCUACUAUCAUACCUAAACCAGACUUAUUGAAGUAAGGUCUUUGGAUUGAAAGAACUUUUUCAAGUUUUUCAGACCCUAUUGAAAAUUUCUUUGAAAUAUUUGAUAAGUCAGUUUUUAAGAAAGCAUUUUCUUUUGAAAUUUUAUCUUCAUUCUCCUUAAGAGUAGAAACAUUCAAGUCUAAACUUUUCACUUUUUCUUCUAAAAUAUUUUCCUUUUGUUUUAAAACUGAGUUUUCCUUUUUAAGUUCGGAAAUCUUUUUGAGAGAAGUCUUAAGACUAAAACAUAGUUCAUCAAUGUAUUUAGAGACUUUGACAGGGAUGUUAUAAUCACUUACCUCAAAUUCACUGUCUGAGUCUGAUCCAGAGUCUGAGUCUGAUUGUGCCAUCAGACACAGAUUGGCAUAUUCCUCAUCACUUUCUUCACACUCUGUAUCGCUCCAAGUUUCGGCUUUGAGAGCUUUUCGAGACUUUUCAGCUUUUCCUCUCUUCUUCUUCAGGAGAGGACAAUUUGGUCUGAUGUGUCCCUUUUUCUUACAUUCGAAGAAAACUACAUCUUUGUUUGGUUUCUCAUUAUCAACAAACUUGGUUUGCUGUUUCUGAAGACUUUGUUUCCUUGAGUUGAACCUUCUUCCUUUUCUAUUCAGCUUUCUGAACUUUCUAAUCAUUAGAGCAAGCUCCUCAUCGUCCAGAUCUUCUUCAGAGUCUGUAUCAUCAGAAUCAUCGUUAGAUUUUAAUGCAAUGGAUUUCUUACCUCUUGGAUCUUCGUCUUCAUUAAUUCGUUCCACUUCGUAAGACUAAAGAGUUCCAAUCAGCUCGUCUACAGAUAAUGGCAUAAUUCUUUGCGUCUCUCUUAUUGAAGUCUUUAUAUGAUUCCAAUCCUUGGAGAGUCCACGCAGCAGUUUGUUCACCUUCAUAGGAUCAGAAAUUUUCUGUCCUUGAUUUUCAAGGCCAUUGACAAUAUCUGUAAAACGGCUAAACAUGUCAGUUAUAGAUUCUCCUGGUUUCAUUUUGAAGGCUUCAUAUUGACCAAGGAGAAUGUUAAUUCUGGUCUCCUUCACUCGGUCUGUCCCUUCAUAAGUGAUAUGUAAUCUGUCCCAGACUUCUUUUGCUGUGACACAAGAAGAUAUUCUGUUAUAUUCAAUUGGUGAUAAAGCACAAUAUAAAGAGUAAAUUGCUUUUGCAUCGAGUGCUUGUCUCUUGUUUAUCUCUUCUUGAGACAUUCCACUGAUAUCAACAGUUUCUUUCCCUCUUUCGGAUACUGAUGCAGCAGUAGGAAUAAUUCCUCUUUCCACUACAUCCCAUUCCAGAGGAUCCUUUGACCGUAGAAAAGCUUUCAUCUUGUUUUUCCAGAUGUUGUAAUCCUUUCCAUCAAAGUAGGGUGGUCUGGUAUUGCUUUGCCCUUCCACCAGCCCUGGUGCUAGCAUACUAGCCAUGGAUCUUUUACUCUGAAGCAAAACACUUCAAAUAAAGUAAGAACACGAGCUCUGAUACCAAUUGAUAUUGCUAGUACAAGUACCUAGAGGGGGGGUGAAUAGGUUUAUAAAAAUUUUCUUGAAGAUUGCACAAUACUUAGACAGAUGAAGGAUUUGCAAUAAUUAAAAAAAUCAAUCAUAAGACUUAGUAAAGGAAAGAGAGAAUUGAACAUGCGGUUUAUAGUGGUUCGGCUUGAUUCAAGCCUACAUCCACUCUUCUGCACUGACAGCCGAUUGGCUGGAUUCCACUAUGAACAAAGAGAUGUUACAGUGUUGAUCUUCCUUGAUUUCUCGAUGUAGAUGAUCUACUACACUCGCUCAAGGUAUCACCAAGUAUAAACACUCUCUGUGUAUACAAUUUCGCUCGAACUGUAUCGACUAACAAUCAAGGUUCUUCAGACUCUGGAAUUUUCCUAUCAAUCACACACUUAAAACAACUAGAGCGUCUUCCUUUUAUACUCCUUUAUGCCAUCAUAGCCGUUGGCACUUACCAAAGGAAUUCCUCCAAUCUAUCCGUUGGACGGAAUCAAUUAAGAAGAUCAUCCGAGCUAUUUAAGGAAUCUGAUGAUAGCCCAUCAAUCCUAUUUGCCCAUACAAUCAGGAUCUUGGUUUCCAAGAAUAGAACAUUCCAAGAAUGUUUCGUUGAUCAUUGAAUCUUCAAUUGAUCUUAGAUAAGAAUCAAAGAAUCCGAAAUGAUUAUCCAACCAAGGGAUCUUUUCCAGAGGAUAGGAUCGAAUCCUCAACCAUAUACUUCGGCUUUGGAUUUCCUUCGUCACUGGAUUAGAAAGACUGUCAGUGAGAAUAGUCAUGAGUCUUGAGUCUUGAGUCUUGAGUCUUGAGUUUACAAAGUCUUGAGACUUUAAACUGUCGAUAUCCAGACUAGACUGAUAGAAAUGUUUUGUCAGCUUCAAAAUAUUCUGGAAAGAUUUCUCCAACAUUGACUAGCUCCAUAUUGCUUCCGGCAAUUAGUAUAUCAUCAACAUAUAAUGAUAUGAUCACAAAUUGAUCCUUGGAUCUUUUGAUAUAUAUACAAUGAUCCUCAUCUAUCAUUGUAAGAUCAUAUGCUAUUAUGGCAUUAUGAAAUCGUAUAUACCAUUGUCUUGACGACUGCUUAAGGCCAUAUAUCGACCCCCAAAGUUGACAUACAUUUUCUUCUUGGCCUUUCACUAUGAAACCAGCAGGUUGUUCCCUAUAUGUUCCUUCCUCUAAUUCUCCAUUGAGGAAAGCAGUCUUUACAUCCAUUUGAUGUAACUCAAGAUUCAUACCAAACACUAUUGCCAGAAUUAUGCGAAUCAAGGUAAAUCUCACUACAGGAGAGAAUGUUUCUACAUAAUCAAUUCCUUCCUGUUGAUUAUACCCCUUCGCCACAAGGCGAGCCUUAUGCUUUCUAUCGAGCCAUCAGCCUUUCGUUUCAUUUUGAGAAUCCAUCUGUUCCCAAUAGCUCUGCGUCCUUUUUGGAAGAUCAACCAGUUCACAGACUUGGUUUGACUUCAUUGACUCUAUUUCCUCUUCCAUUGCAUUAAUCCAUUUUUCCUUACUAGGGCAAUUAAGAGCCUCAUUAAUAUUUCUCGGCUCAUCCUCAUCUUGCGGAGCAAUUAUAAAAGUUUCCCCUUCAAUGUCAAAACGUCGACGGGGAAUACUUUAGCGACUUGUUCGCUAUAUGGGAGAUUGUACACUUAGCACAUCAUUCCCCAUUAUGCUCCCACUCGGAUUAGAUAAUGACGAUAUCAUCUCAUCAUUUGGUUGUAAUUGAGAAUGAGUUGAAUUCAAUUCAUCACUUCUCAUAUUACUCCCACUUGGAUGAACUCAACCAAUAUCAUUAUCUAGAUCCAAGGUUUCAAAUAGGAAAUAAUCUUUCCAUAUUUCGCCAGUCUUAGGAAAUUCAUCCACUAAGAAUGUGACAUCCCGUGAUUCAUAUUCAGUUAUACUCCCACUUUCCUGCUCACCUAUGAACACAUACCCUUUUGAGUGUUCGGAGUAUCUCAUUAAAAUACUCUUAUUUCCUUUAGGACCCAAUUUCCCAAACUUGUGAGAGGACUUAUGAGUAUAGACAGCAUAACCCCAUGGCUUAAGUAAACUUAAGUCCGGUUUUCUACCGGUCCAUAACUCAUAUGGAGUGGAACUAACUGAUUUGGAAGGCACCCGGUUAAAUAUACAGGCAGCAGUUAACAACGCAUCACUCCAAAAAGUGAUAUGUAAGUUAGCAUGCGCCAUCAUGGACCUAACCAUUUCUAAUAGGGUUCUGUUUCUUCUCUCUGCAACACCAUUUUGUUGAGGAGUAUAUAGAAUAGACUACUGUAUUUCUAUUCCUUUUCACCACAUAAUUUUCUGAACUCAUCAGAUAAAUAUUCUCGACCUCGAUCAAAUCUAAAUACUUUUAUUUUCUUGUCUAAUUGAUUUUCAACCAAGUUCAUAAACCUUUUGAAACAACUUAUGCUUCAGAUUUAUGAGAAAUCAAAUAGACACCUCCGAAUCGAGUAUAAUCAUCUAUUAAAAGUGAUGAAAUAAACAGCCCAUUGCCUUCCUUUCACAUUCAUUGAACCAUAGACAUUAUAAUGGAUUAAAUGCAGAGGAAAUUCAGCUCUUUUAUCCUUUCCAAAUGGCUUCCUUGUCGUUUUCCCUACUAGGCAAUGCUCACAUAUUGGCAAAUCGACUUUUUUAAUGUUGCCCAACAAGCCCUCUUUGGCUAGUUUAUUCAUAUGUUAUUGCCCAAUAUGACCAAGUCUAGCAUGCCACACAUUCACAUCAUUAUCUUAUGAAGUAGAAGACGUGAAACAAGGGAAUAACAUAUAUUGACAUCACCACAGUCAACAUUCGAUACAAUAAAACCAUCCAAAAAGUGACCACAACCAUAGUAGUUUGUAUUCAAAUACAAAUCUACAUUGCUAUUACAGAAGUUCACACUAAAACCAAGCUUAACCAAUAUCAAAAACAGACACUUAAAUUCCAACGAAUCUCCGGAGCAUAUAGAACAUCAUGUAGGAACAAGUUGCGUCCAUCACACAUAUUCAAUUGGCAGGUGCCAAUCCCUUUAACUUCAGCUCUGGAGUUGUUUCCUACAUAAAUCCACUUAGUUCCAGUUGAUACUCGUCGGAAUUCUACGAAGGAUCCUCUAUCCUUCGCUACAUCGUCUGUUGCUCCUGAAUCUACAGUCCACAAAGGAUUGGAUUCAGCUAAUAAUACAGAACUUAACACAUAAACAAAGUUCUCAAAUGUACAAGAGGUGUUUACCUUCUUUGGCUCACGACAGUCGCGAGCAUAGUGACCCUUCUUGUCACAGUUGUAACAUCUCACUCUUGACAUUUUCUUCACUUGAGGACGUUUUCCUCUCUUGUGUUGGUUAACUCUUGGUCUCUUGCAACAUGGACUUGAUCCUUUGCAUUUCCACAUAUUGAACGAAUCAAUACGCUUGCGCUUAGAGCACAAAGCCCUUUCUGAGCUAGAACCAGCAUUGCAAAUGUCUAUUCUCAGCUCACAUGUCGUUAAGCGGUCCUCAACCAGCUCAAGGUGGCGCACAGCAUCCUCUAGAUCUUCCAUAAGAUGGUCAAGAGCUUCUAGUGCUUCUUGCUUUUCCAACACAUAUUGAAUCUUCAUAUUCAAUAUUUCACAAUUGUUGCCGUUCAUAUCAGCAAUUAUGUUCUUAGUUGCUGAAAACAUCAAUCUGAACACAUCAGACAUACAUGCACGAAUAAUUAAUGCCUAUCAUUUAUGUAUCCCUAUUUGCAUAGACACAUCAUAUCAAUGAAUAAUUUCAAGUAAGGUUUCAGAAUCAAAAGGUCACUACGUUUCCAAUCAUCCUCCAAAAAUCCUAACUUAAAACUAUCAUUAAUAUAAUUGUCAUAUGCAAAAUCAAUUCUAUGAAGUUACAAAAAACUUCUAUAACUACCCACAGCUAACUACCCACAGCAAUCAGCAGUCACAGAAAGCAAAUAUUAUCUAACAUCCAAUAGAAUAACAGUGCUUUCACAUAAUUCAACUAUACAUUACACUAAGCAAUAUACAAAGAAAAAAAUAUCCACAUGAAAAGAGAUAUUUACAUCCAUAAAAAAAAAUCUCACAAUUAAUCUAAGAAAUAAUUAGGGAAUGUCCAUUCUAAUCUAUCAGUCAAAACAUCUGAGAAAACUGAAGGCACAUUUGCCAACCAUGGAAAAACUUUUGGAGAGCUUUCAUGUCGCCACCAAGGCGCAUUUGCUCUACGCCAUGUGGCGCUCAAUCUAAGGGUUGAAGUUUUGGCCAACUCAAUCCUAUAGUACUCUCUUACAAAAGCUUCCACCAGACUCCUAUAAUCUGGGACCACGUUGACCUCCCAUAGCCGAUCUAACACUGCUUGCCAUUCAGGUGGAAGAGUGUUCAUCAAAGCCGGCACCUUCUCAAAAUCCGGCAUAAGAUAACCAUUCUAAAUGAUUUCCUGUAUCAUCUGAUUGACCUUGACCAUGUGUGAUACAAAAUCACCAUCAAGCCACCGAUAAUCAGCUAACUCUUUAAUCAGCCUUUUCAGUCUAGCACUUCCUUCGUCCGUUCUUGGGAUUGCAGGUAUCCUUGCAUAACGCAUCAUAGUUCCUGCAACAAAUGCAGAACUAAAAAAUGGAUCACUUAUAAUCCAUAAUAAACAAAAUGGAAAAUACAUAAUUUUCCAUGAUUCAUGCAACAAAUGCAGAAUAAAAAAUGGAUUACCUACAACCCACACAGACAUAAUUGAAAAAAUAAAAAUAAAAUAAAAAAAUUACUCCUUUUUUCUUCUUCUUUUUUUCGGGUCAACGGUCAAAGUCAACAAUCAAUGGUCAGUCAACGGUCAACGGGUCAACGGUCAAGUCGUCGGACCGGUCGGACCGAUCGGGCCGGCUCGGGCGAACCGAAGGCACGUGCUGCGCACGUGUGCGGGCUGACGUCACACAGAUGUCAUCCCGCACGUGCCGUGCGCGUGCCGGAUCUCUCGCGGGUCGGGUCGCUGGCCGGUAACCGCCCGGCGAACCGUCGCCGGUGACGACGUCAUCCGAGCGGUUACCGACCGUUGGAUGACGUCACGAUGACGUCAGCACGCGUCAGUCCGCGGACCAGCGCGUGCCGGCUCGCCGGCCGGCGGUGCGCACGCGCCGGUUUGCCGACCGGCACGUGUGCCGCACGCGCUGGCGAGGCUGCCCUUCCGGGCGCGUGCGGCGUCGCCCAGCGGCGCACAACGUACCUCCAGACUCGUCUCGACGUCACCUUUCUCCCCAUGUAUUCAGAAAAUGGUUUCGACUUACGAAAACUCAGUAAAAUGGCCGAAGAACGCUCAGGUGUCGGGAUUUCUCGCCCCGAUCCGUACGGCCGAAACACUUUCGCGAAAAAUCAAUCAAAACAUCAAAACAGAUCGGGAAAAAACGUGAACUAAGGCUCUGAUACCAAUGUUGGGAAUGACUGAUCUCCGAAAACCGGAUUCGACACUAAAUCGAACCCCUAAAACGAAUGCGAAAGCGAAGCCCGGGAAAAUCACGUAUCACCGAUCCUAAAGCACACCACAGAUUCGAGCGUACCUUGUUAGCCACAGAUUAAACACCAAUGCUGAAAGAGGAAGAAAAUCUAGCCCUGGUUCGAUCCGAUGACGCCUUGAAGGGAAGACAGUGUCCGUUUGCUUACUGUUUUGUCUUAAGGGGGGAGAGAGCGUUGGAGAGAAGAAGACGUACAUUCUGCCAAAACAUUUUUCUUCUCUCUCUCUCUCCUCCCUUUUAUACCUUCCCCUUCCACAGGCCCUAUUCCCGUGGGCCGGGCCUUUUGGGCCUAGCAUGGGCGGACGGGCCAACUUAGGCCCAUCACUAAUUAAAAAAUCCAUCAGUGUACAAAGCCAAGCUAUCCGAUAUUCAAGCUUUUGCCGUGAAGAAAAUCCAUGCGUCGCAUGAUGAGAUUCUCGGUUUAACAUCACUACAGUAGGAGGUCGCUACAAUGGAAAAUAUACGACACCGUAACAUCGUCAAGCUCUAUGGAUACUGAUUUCAUCCGAGACACUCGUUCUUGGUGUACGAAUUCAUGGAAAGAGGAAGCUUGAGGAGGGCCUUGAGUGAUGACGAGAUGGCAAUGGAAUUUGAUUGGGCUAGGAGGGCGAGCACGAUCAAAGGCGUGGCAGAUGCAUUGUGUUACAUGCACCAUGAUUGCUCUCCUCCAUGGAUUCAUAGAGACAUCACCAGCAACAAUGUGCUUCUGGAUGGUGAUUAUGAAGCUCAUGUUUCUGAUUUUGGCACAGCAAGGCUUCUCAAGCCAGAUUCAUCUAAUUGGACUUCAUUAGUCGGUACACUUGGAUAUAUGGCACCGGGUACGUAUGUGCAUGCACGUUUGUUAUUAUCUAUUGUCAUCUAUAACUUUGGCUAACUUUGGCUCACUCAUUUUUUAUAAAUUGGAUUGCACUGCUAAAAUUUACAAAACGACAACUUAGGGCACAUUUGGUAACGUUUCUGUUUCGAGAAACAAUUUUUGAACAGAAAUAGUUUUUUUUUUUUUUUUGUUCUUGAGAACAAUUUCUGAGCAUAAGAACGCGCUUCGCAACUGUAAAAAAUUUAUAUUCUAGGAAUAGAAAUGUAGGAAUAUAAAUGUGUUUGGUAAACUUGUAUAAUUUUAUUGUUUCUUUUAAUAUUUUUAAUAUUUUUAUUAUAUUUUUCCUUUUUUUUCUUCUUUCUUUUUUCUACAUUUUCCUUCUUUUUCCUUUAUGGCCGGUCACCAGCCACGGCGACGACCGGCAACUGGCUAAACAGGUCCGACAAGCUCACUAGAGCCUCGCCAAGCCACCACGAGGCGACCUUGCUAGAUUUGGGUGAGGCCGAGUGGCCUCGGUGGCCAGGCGAGUCUCACCAGGCCACCGGCGAGGCUUGACCUCACCCAGGCGAUGCGAGGUCAGCCUUGCCCUAGCCUAGAAAGGUCCAACCUCACGCUGGCUGGCAAGGCUCGGCCUCACCUUGGCUGGGCAAGCUCGAGCUCACAUUUUCAGCGAGACUUAGCAUCGCCGGGGGUCGGCGACGCUUCAGCGAGGUCGCCAGCCCUCGUCGACCAGUUGUUGGCCAUGGCUGAGGCCGGUGACCAGCCAAAAGGAAGAAGGAAAGAAAAAAGAAGAAGAAAAAAGAAAAGAGAGAAAAAUUGUUUUUUAGAAUUGUUUACAGGAACAAGAAGUAACAUUUUUUUUAGUUUUUGUUUCUGUUCCAAAUCUAUUCCCAAGAACUUUGUUCCAAAGAACAAAAACACUUUUUAACAAACAAGCACUUAAUGCCAUCCUUAUAUCUUGCAGAGUUGGCGUAUUCAGUAGUAGUUACUGAAAAUGUGAUGUUUAUAGUUUCGGAGUGGUAGCAUUGGAAGUAAUUCAAGGGGAAGAUCGAUAUCUCAUCAAAGACUCUUCUGUUGAGUGGAUCAUAAUGUUCUACCCACUAAAACGGGAGACGAAAAUUCAACUUCUGUCUAGCUAAUAAACCUAUCCUUUUCAUCAAACAAUUACUUGCCGAUACUUCAAAGGAAGAGUUGAUAUCUCAUCAAAAGACUCUUCUGUUGAGUGCAUCAAAAGACUCUUCUGUUGAGUGCAUCACAAUGUUCUACCCCCUAAAAUGGUUGAUAUAUUUCAAGUUCUAUCCUGGUAUUAAACAUAUCAUUUUCAUCAGACUGUAACCUUUACUCUCCGGAAAUUUAUGAGGCCCGAGCUAACGAAUGCUAUUACCUCUUUAGAGGCUCUAGGUCAAUGUCAUGAACUAGAUUGGAGGACCCCUCAGGUUUCGAACUGAAAUAUUGCUAUUCUCAAUCCCUUUUCAAGUGGCAAAUUGACCGGAGCUUAAACUGGACACUAGUGUCGCUUGACUUGGGUCGACUUGCCUUCUUGUCUUGACAGGGUCUGGGAAUUGUGACUUUUUCUAACUAGUGAAACACAUACACAUCUUCUGGCGGUUGGCUUGAUGCUUAUGGGUCAUGGGUUUGCCUUUGAUCAAGGUUGGCCUAAUGCUUAUGGGUCAGGGGUUUGCCUUUGAUCAAGGUAGGCUUGAUGCUUGAUGUUUAUGGGUCAUGGGUUUGCCUUUGAUCAAGGUUGGCUUGAUGCUUAUGGGUCAUGGGUUUGCCUUUGAUCAAGGUAGGCUUGAUGCUUAUGGGUCAUGGGUUUGCCUUUGAUCAAGGUUGGCUUGAUGUCUACAUAUUGCAACAAAUUGGAUGACCAAGCCUGAGGGCGACGUCCCCACCCAUUUAAUUUUGCUCUUGAUCUAUCCUCCAAAACUUGAAGAAGUUGGACUUUUUCAACCGAUUAAUCAGGACAAAGUCAUAUCUUUUCGUGACUGUUUGCCAGACAGGCUGAAAGCUAUUAUGCAUGUCUUUGAAAAGGUUUAUGUGGUUCAGGUCCAGCUAUAAAUACUUCAGCACGUAGUUAAAGUAAUAUCAUACAAAUUUUAAGUGCAGAGACUGAUGGUCUCUUCCACAUUUUCAAAUAUAUCUCAAUAUAAUUUUGUUUCCAUGAAGCUAUCGCCCUACAUCAGUGCAAUCAUGAUCACAAUUUUCGCCUCAUCUCUUGUUCCAACUUAUUUCGGUGCUCGAGCGAGCAACGGAACUACGCAAGGAGAGGAAAUGCAUGCUCUGCUGGAGUGGAAAUCUGGUCUGGACAAUAAUAGUCAAGCUCUUUUAUCUUCAUGGCGAGGGGACAACCCUUGCAUAUGGAGAGGGAUCGGGUGCGAUGGCUCAGGAAGUGUCUCGGGGCUUAAUAUCACGGACACAGGUUUGCGAGGUUCGGUCAGCAAACUUAACUUUACAGCUCUGUCAAAUCUAAUUAGUCUCAAUCUCUCGGCAAACUCGCUGUAUGGUCGUAUUCCUUCAUCAAUCAGUAACCUCUCUAAGUUGUCCACUCUGUCUAUCUUUAACAACUCGCUCUCUGGCACAAUCCCUCUUGAAAUAGGCAAGUUGAGCAGGCUGAGCAUUCUUUACCUUGACAGGAAUCGUCUACACGGAACUAUCCCUGAAGAAAUAGGAAUGCUGCACUCUCUUUUGAACCUCACCUUGUAUGAUAAUUAUCUCGCAGGUCAGAUUCCUACUUCUAUGGGAAACUUGAGCAAGUUAACAUUUCUCGCCCUGGGCCAAAACAAUCUCGUAGGGUCUGUUCCUCGAGAAAUCUACACCCUAAGUUCUCUUACCUUCCUCUCUCUCCAAGGGAACAAAUUAACCGGUUCCAUUCCUUCGUCUAUAGGAAAUCUGAGUAGUCUAAAAGUCCUUGACUUCCGAAGGAAUCAUCUUUCUGGUCCAGCUGCCCAGGAGAUAGGAAGGUUGAAACCUCUGGCAGAGCUCCAUCUGUCUUUCAAUAAUUUAAGUGGUCCAAUUCCUGUGUCUAUUGGAAACUUGACUGCCCUGACUCUAUUAGCCCUCGCUUGGAACGAUCUUUCCAGCUCCAUUCCUGAAGAAGUUGGUAAUUUGAGACAUCUGAAGGAACUUUACCUGUCGGGAAAUAGUCUCAACGGGUCGAUCCCGAGAUCAAUUGGAAAAUUGGUCAACUUAAGUGCACUGGGUUUGCACUAUAACAAUCUUUCUGGUUUUGGUAAUUUGAGACAUCUGAAGGAACUUUACCUGUCGGGAAAUAGUCUCAACGGGUCGAUCCCGAGAUCAAUUGGAAAAUUGGUCAACUUAAGUGCACUGGGUUUGCACUAUAACAAUCUUUCUGGUUUCAUCCCGGAUGAAAUGAAUAAUCUCAGAUUUCUACGAGUUUUCUCCAUAAGUGAAAAUAAGCUCAUAGGGCGACUACCAGAUAACAUUUGCCUUGGAGGAUUACUCAAAAGAUUUACAGCUCAUAAUAAUCACUUCUAUGGUCAUCUUCCUAAGAGCGUGAAGAAUUGCAGUAGCUUACAGAGGAUUCGACUAGAAGGAAACCAACUCACGGGAAACUUGACAGAAGAUUUGGGUGCAUAUCCCAACUUGAAGUAUAUUGACUUGAGUUAUAACCAAUUCUACGGCGAGCUUUCUUCGAAAUGGGCCUGUUCCCAUAACUUAACAAGCCUAAGAGUCUCCAGUAACAACAUUUCUGGUGAAAUACAUCCCAUGAUUGGGAAUAUGGCUCAGCUGAGCGUAUUGGACCUCUCAUCAAACUAUAUUACCGGUGAGGUUCCAAGGGAAUUGAGAAGAUUGACUUCACUGCUCGAGCUUGAUCUACAUGAUAACAAAAUCUCUGGUACCAUCCCUCCUGAGAUUGGUCAUUUGUCUACACUGAGGAAGCUCAACUUAGGGAGCAACAAGUUCGGUGGCUCGAUCCCACCGCAAUUAGGACAGUGCGGAAGCUUGUGGAACUUGAAUUUGAGCAACAAUGAAAUUCGACCCAGUAUUCCUUCGGAGAUAGGCAAUUUGCAGUUUUUGAGUGAUCUUGAUCUGUCCCAUAACUUCCUGGCAGGAAAAAUACCAGGCAGCAUCGGAAAGUUGACAAUUUUGGAAGUGUUGAAUUUAUCCCAAAACCGCCUGUCUGGCUUCAUACCAAAAAGUUUCAACAAUAUGUUGGGAUUGGUAUCUGUGAAUAUAUCCCACAACGACCUGGAGGGUCCAAUCCCAAACAUCAAAG